rnacentral:lncRNA from 1 species
UCCUCCCUCCUGAGCUGACCACAUACAUUACACUCCAUUAUAUCAGAAGGAGCAUCAUCCGACCACAGAGGCAGAGGAGCCAAUGUCCCGCCGCAGUUUUUCCUGUUGCACAUAUACCUGACGAAGAAAUAUGCAUGGGGGAAGUCCGUCUCUUUCUCCUCUGCAAUACCCACCUCUGACCCGCUCAUUUGUUCAUCGGCAUCCUCAUCCAUCCCUUCACCGUCACCAUCAUCGUCUUCGCCGAUAUCAUCGUGCUCGUUCUCAUCAUCGGACCAAUUGGCCUCGACCUUGCACCGAUCGCAGUCACAGGCGAACCGGUAGUCUUCCAUCAACCUCUUCUGCCUAUUCGCAUAAUUCAAGUUGACAGGAAGAUAACUCAGGCAGAUCUCCCUCCCUUGAGGGACAUCAUGGAUCAUCCGCACGAUUAUAUCAGUAUUGCCAUCAGAAGCAGAGUCCACAUAGUCAAAUCUACAAGCAUUUGGAUUGCAAUCGUGGUUGAAGAAAGAAGGUCUUGGAUAAAUACCGUAAGCUCUCACCGAUCUCUCCCCAUCCACCUCGCCCCCACCCCGCGACGAAACCGGCUCCAUCAAACCGAAAGCGUUGAGCUUGUCCUUCGACAGCAAGGCCACGAUCAAUUCAAGAGAAAACCCCUGAGGAAAAGGCGAACCCGGAGGAGGGGCAGGACAAACCGAGGCGAGCAGCGAAUGCAGGAACCGGGCGGCCGAGACGGUGUCGUCGGCGUGCGCCUCUCGGCCCUCCUUUUUCUGAGGUCAAAGACAAACUUUUUCCUUUUCAUUUUAUCACUUUGUUUUUUUUUACCUAAAUUCCGUUUUUCUUAAGUUAAUUUGAAGUUUGACGCAAAAGUAAAUUUCAACAUAUAAAAACAAAUUUUAUUAGAGAUAACAAAAAAAUCGAAGCUCACUUGCGUCAAUUCUAUAUACUCCCACUACUCUCCUUCCUAAAAAAAAAAAAAAAAAAGACCCACCCUCCUUUCAUCUUAUUUUAUAGACUUAUGAAACAAAAUUUCAUUGAAACCUAAGAAAACUAUUGCUUUAGCAAAUGAAUAAAAGUUUAUUGUUUGAUUAACGGAGUUACUCCUGUCUCUUUGUAUGGUUUGACAUUCAAUCAUAGAAAAAUAGAGAUAACAUACCCAAAAUACUCUUUUACACACUCUCUCAAUUUCUAAUAAGUAACUACACAAAAACACCUUCCGGUUGUGACGGCCAUAAGUUAUAAUCACGACUAAACUAAUCAGAUUACUGAUGAUUGAUGAUUAUUAUAUUAAUCUCUAUUGUAAGCAAUAUGACUAUUAAUAUGAUACAUAAUUAGUGGUGUCGUUAUAUGAUUCUUGCAAUAUACGAAUUGCGGUGAAUAUACUCACCAUUCUAAUAAAUAAUAAUUCCCAUAAUUAUUAUUAAGCAUGAUGUAUAUAAAGGGAUGAGAUUUGAGUUUCCGAGUUAUGGAAUAUCACCCAAAAAAUUUGAGAAGACAUAAUACACAAGGCAACUCCAUUUAUUAGCUCAUGCUGACUCCUUGAAGCGUGUAGCUGUUUCAGUAUCAUUUUUGACGGAUGGAAGGAUGAUGUUCCUGUUGGUAAAAUAUGUCUUCGAAAUGGGUUGAACAAUGAAAUCGGAUCGAAUAAAAACAACUCGGACUUUGAGGCGUGAUAUCACUUUCUUUAAGGAUUUAUUUGCCCCACAACGUUGCUAAUGGUCACCGGCAAAAAUCCUCCAGGAUACAACAAAGUCUCGGAUGAGAAUACCAAAUAGCAAUUCUAGUAUUUCUACAGGGUCUCUCUAAGAAACAAUCGAAAAAUUGGCUGCAGUUUUUUUCAGAAAGAAGACUCGAAAAUGACCACACUUUUCUUUCCGAAAAUGACAAGUAUUUAUAUGAAACAGUCUUGCAACUCUUCGUGAAAAUUGCGAACAAACACGUCUUUAGAAAAUUGUUCGGAUAAACAAAUGCGACUCUUCGGAAGAAGUCGAAAACCGAACAAUUGCAAUCCUUCGGAAAAAUUAAAACCGAAUAAGUAAUUUUCCAAAGGUUGUCUUGAAAAGACACAAAUAAAAUUCGGAAUAAUUAUUAUUAUUUUUUAAAAAGAAUUUCGAAUUUUCAUUUAUAUUUCAUUUCCGAAAUUCUCAAAUUAAAAGGCAACCUUUGAACUAAAAUAUAAAAUAAAAUAAAAUAAAAAUAAAUAAAUAAAAAGCAAGGGAUUAAUGCUAAUUAAACCGCGCAAUUAUCCGCGCACCCGCACGCGGGUAUGGUGGGUCUAGCCCCACCUAAUUACUCCUUUAACUACAAAAGGAAAUUCCUCAUUAAUAAACUAAUCCUCCUGCUCCCACCUUUUCUAUGUGGGACAAAGUAAAAGGCACUUAUUUUGUUUUAACAAACAAAAUUCCAACAAUCCCCCACUUUGUUUGUAAAACAAAAUUUCAAAAUAAAAAUUUUAAAAACCAUACAGCCAAAGUUUCAGUAAGAUUAAUAUACAUACAUAAAGGUCUCUUUCGAGUUAAACCUUUACUUAGUGCAAGUAUAUCAAAGCUCUAUCAAAGUGACAAGUAGCUCGGCUUUAAACUUGUACUUUUAUGUAAUAGAACCGGACAUACCACACAUACACUAACCUCUUGUUUCAGCGAGAAUUUCUAUAUUACUCCGCACUAUUAUGGCCUUGUGCUUGAUCCUCCUGCUCCCACCUUUUCUAUGUGGGACAAAGUAAAAGGCACUUAUUUUGUUUUAACAAACAAAAUUCCAACAGUUCCUUAUGUUCUGUCUCACCUCGUCGUCUUGCUGUUGAGAAACAUACCGAGAAAUAUAUAACUGGGGACCAAACUCAGUCUCUACACAGGCUCGAGACGAUGAAAACACGAAAACAAGAUACGCGAAUAGGAUGCCAUUCGAUGUCUCCUUAUAUGGGUGAGAUUAGGGACAUGAGGGAAGAUCGCUGAGCUCGGAUUGGAGAAACUAGCAUCAUACACCGGACGUAUCCUUGGCAGUCAAACUAGUGAGGGAAGAAGCAAUGGAAACUCACCAGUUCACAAGUCCAAACACAACCAGGCUAGUAUGGCCCCAAGGAUUCCGAAGAGAAAGAAAAAGACCUGUCCCUUAAGAUCCACAAACAACCUUCCAAUUGAAUCAAAGCGUAUAUGGCAAGUUUUUCCACCUCCCAACAUCAUAGGUGGGGAAAUCAUAUCCUCAGAUCAAAUCUCUUAUCAAUAGAUUCGAUCACCAUUUCUAAUGCCAAAGAGCUGCAAAAUCUGAGGAUUGACAAAUACGAGCAACUUAGUUAACUUAAAGGAUCCACAAAACAUUCUAGUUAAUCAAUACACAUACUCAAUGAUUCCAAGAAAGAACUCAUGGUAAAUCUUCCCGGAACUUCAACUUAUUAGAUUUCAAAUGAUAUCUUGAAGUAAAUAAAGAAAGAAAAUUCACCUCCAGAGAAUUGCAGCUACACCAUCGUCACAGACAGAGCACAUGGCAUUCGGCAUCACAAGAUCAAUUUUUUCCCACCAAAUGGCUGAAAUUAGGAACUCAGUACUCGCAACCCACAACUUUCACCACAAGAGGAUUGGAUUGUAAAGCAAAGUUCUACAAGCUAGCCAACUAGGUCCCUCUACUGUUAAGCAUUGACUAACAGCCGAUUCGUUUGAAGUGCAAGGCCAAAGGAUGGUCUAGAAAAAAAAAAACAAAAUUCCCAGAAGUGAGUCCAUAAGGAGAAGAGCUUCUUACAACAUCGCAUCUCCGUCGGCUUCCGCCUCUUCAUCCUCCCUCCUGAGCUGACCGCAUACAUUAUUACAUUCCAUUAUAUCAGAGGGACAGCCAUCCGACGGAGGCAAAGGAGCCACUAUCCUGCCACAGUUUUUCCUGUUGCGCAUAUACGUGACGAAGACAUACGCAUGGGGGAAGUCGGUCUCUUUCUCCUCCGUGAUACCCACCUCUGACCUGCCCAUUUGUUCAUCGGGUGUCCUCAUCCAUCCCUUCAUUGUCACCAUUGUCGUCUUCGUUGCUAUCAUGGUUCUCAUUUUGGUCAUCGGACCAAUUGGCCCCGACCUUGUGCUGAUGUGGCUAGACUCGAGCUCACUGAGCGUUGCUGACCUCCGGUGAGGCUUGAGCUCACUGGAAUCUAGUGAGAUUAACCUUGCCUGUUGCAGGCGAUCGGCCAAAGAAGAGGCAAAAAAGAAAAACAAAAAAAAAAAGUAAUUGAAAAUUCGAUUUUAAAAGUAAAUAAAAUUAAAAAUUAAAAAUAAAACAAUAUCAAAGGAGUGGACGAAGGUUGGUACCAAGCGGUUGAAAAUAUUUUCUAAUUCAUUAUCUCAUUUCAGUUAAACACCUAAAAUAUUAUUAUUCUCCUAGAAAAACUAUUUACUGGAAAAAAAAUUUGGAUGCAUCACAUUUUUAUUAUUUUAUUAUUUUUUUUAAGUUUAUUUUUGGGUUUCAGCCAAAUGGGGCCAAUGUAACAUUGAACAUGAUCUAGUACAGUAGGUAGGUAAUCACUUCUUCAUCUGUUCAACAUUUAAAUAGUCUCACAAUUAUAACUCAUGAGUGGUAGAUACACUUAACAUAGACAAAUUCACCAUGCAUUCGAUUCAUGCUCCUAAAUUUUAUCUUUUUUCCUCCCCUUCUUGCACACGAUGCGUGUGCCCUAACGGUAGUGAAUUUAUUUUGUAAGGAUUCUUCUCAAAGCAAAAGUAGUGAAAUGCCUUUAAUCAGUUCUUUUUUUUUAAUCAAUCUUUGAGCAAGAAAGGAAUGUCCCCCAGUUGGCUUAUUUGGGAAAAAAAAACCAAAUGUGUUGCCCGCACGAAAGGGACCUGGAAUGAGGUCAUCAAUAUGCGUAAUUAGGGCUUAACCAAUUUAUCAAAAUGACGUACUAAUCUGAUCGGGUGAGGGUCUGGCAAUAUAUUUGUGUUCAGAGUUUACUAAUGAUAGCAGUUAUAAUGGAUCCAAGUGCUUCUCGAUUGGAGCUCAAAAGCAAUUAUAAUGGGUUGGAGCUCUUCUUGAUUAGAGGUUAUAAAUGCUUGUAGCCGAUUCCGUAUGAAACAGGUGGAAGUAUUUGAGUUUCACACAAGAUAGUUAUUACUAGUCUUAUGUGCCAUCUAAGUUAUUUAACAUGAAGUUAUAUGAUUGUCGUGAACAAACCCUGCACACAUAAUAUCAUUACAUCACUAUUUGUGGCAACGUUUUUUUCUUUUAUAUAUGUGCAGCGUAUGCAUGAAAAAAGUGCAUUGAAUACUAAAUUUGAGACUUGAAAGAGACCUAGAAUAUCACAAAUAUAUAAUGAAAAAAUGACAACAAAAAAGAAGUAUAAUUUUAAAUCUAGUGUCACGUCAAAUACGUAAAGUUGGUGUCCAAAUUGGCACUGCAAGUAUUCAAUCCAUAGGAGCCCUUUGAUUGAGAGGGACACACGGGAGAUUCAUCGAAUUCACAGGCUAAUGCACGAUCCGGGGAUUACGGGCGUUGCGUGCAUGAAAUUCGAAUCCUGGUGCAGGAGAAGUGAAUCACAUGUACAUGGCUUGUCCCGUAACUCAUAUUGAAGUAUUAGUUGGGCCUGGGCACCCCCAAAGUUUCAUCCCCCAGCCCUCUUCACUCUUCCAUUCUCUCCCUCUCCCCAUAUAUUCACCUCUUCUCUCACUCCUUACAGCUUGAAGAAAAAAAAACAAAAAAACAUAAAACAAGAGCAAAAGACCCUCCAGAACAGAAACUUGUGGAACCUGUGAAACUUGUGGAACUACGUCUCCUAUGGAACCGCACAAGUUCGACUCGAUUGCCCCACUUGAUGAGAGCCUCCAGUUCAUUACCUCCGAUGACGAGGAGCAACGACACUGGAAGAUGCAGUCCAUCUACAGGGUCCCCGCACGUAUCACCACCCUCAACGGCGAGGCCUACCAGCCACAAGUUGUCUCCAUCGGCCCCUACCACCACGGGGAGGCCCACCUCCUCCCCAUGGAAGAACACAAGCUUUGCGCGGUCCGCCACUUCCUUAAGCGGUCCAAGAAGCCUAUGGAGAGCUUCUUCGAGUCCCUGAGGGAGGUGGCGUGGGACCUCGAGGAGAGCUACGACGCUCUGGACCCGAAGUGGAAGGCAGGCAGCGGCGAGGGCGUGUUACCCCAGUUCCUGAAGCUGAUGAUAACUGACGGCUGCUUCAUGCUGGAGCUCCUGACGACUACGUGUUGAACGACCCCAUCUUCAGCUACCACGGGUUUCUCUACAUGAUGAAUGACAUUUGGAAGGAUAUGUCGAUGCUGGAGAAUCAGCUUCCGAUGCUAGUGCUGGAGCGGCUGGUGGCUGUGGAGAGCGAUGGCAAGGAGGUUACUUUCUUAGAUUUCAGUCGGUCGUAAGAUAAGAAAAUAUUGCAAGCACGCAAACCACUAUACUAUGUGCACCUAACAGUACAUCUUUGUGAUAUCACAUGAACCCUACGAUGGAUCCACCGAAUCUAAUGCUCCAGAUGCAUUGAUUACACAGUUCACAAUCAACCGAUAAUUUGAUUGAAACUUCAUUUUUUUCCCUUUAUCGCAAGUAGUAUCAAUACGACCACAAUCUCAGAUUCAAUGUGCUGACUUCACUCCAACAACACAGGACGACCAAUUCGUCAGCAUGCUCAUCCUCAAGUUGUGGUACUCCAAAAAAGGCCAUCAAAAGGAUGGGCAAAUGCCUGCACUUCCUGGACGUUAUCAGGAAGGGCACGCUGAUGGAGCGCAAGAAGGACGAGGAGGAGGUUACUUUCUUAGAUUUCACUCUGUCGGAAGAUGUUAUUGCAAGUAUGCUAGCCACCGUACUAUAGGCACCAAACAGUACAUCUUGGUCAACUCACCCUACGAAGGAUUUACUGAAUCUAAUGCUCCAAAUGCACUGGAUGCACGAUUCCAGAUCAACUGACAAUUUGAUGAUUAAAUCUAUCACCGCCAUAGGAAACUUUAUUUCUUCCCCCUUUUACUCAAGUUGUAUCGAUCCCACCACAAUCUUGGAUUCAAUGUACUGACUUUACUUCAACAACACAAGGGGACAAAUCCGUCAACAGGCUCAUCCUCAACUUCUGCUCCCCCAGUAAGGGCAUCGCGAGGAUGGGCAAAUACCUGCACGUCCCAGACUUCUUCAGGAAGUGCAUGCUGUUGGACCCCAAGAAGAAGGACGACGUGGACAGGCUGAACUUUCUGACGACUAUCCAAUUGGCCACCGAGCUCGACGAGCAUGGGAUCUGGUUCAAGAUUAACAAGACCGACAGCAUCAAGGACAUUUCCUUUGCAGACGGCGUCCUGAUGCUCCCCUACAUCCAAAUGAUGGAGGUCACCAUGUCCUGCAUCCUCAACAUCAUGGCGUUCGAGCGCCUCCAUGUCAGGGCUGGGAACGAGGUCACAUCCUGCAUCUACUGCAUGGGGCACAUAAUUACCAAGGGGUGGGACGUCACACUGCUCCGCGCCCAGGGCAUCAUCGUGCAUUUCCUGGCAAGCGAUGAAGCAGUAGCCAAGACGUUCAACUUGCUGACGUGCUCGAGGAGGUCAACAAGUACUACGAUAAGCGCUGGAACAUGUGGAAGGCUAAUCUCAUCCACACCUACUUCAGGAAUCCUUGGGUUGCAUUGUCUCUCAUUGCUGCCGUCUUCGUCUUUGCGCUCACCAUAAUUCAGACUGUAUAUUCCGUGCUCGACUUCCACAAAUGAACCCUUCGCCUCUCAGAACAAUAAUAUACUCUCUUUCUUCCAUUUUUCUUGGUUUUUCUUCUGUUGAAGGAUGCUUGAUCAUCAUCUCGUGAUCGGUUUGUCGAAUGUUGUUAUGAAUGAUCUUCCUCCUGUUUUUCAGUCACGUUUAUAUCCCUCUUUAAAUGUUUUGAAUAAUGAACAUUUUUACUUAACAUUGUCAAAUGAUAAUUCUCUUGUUUGAGUCUCCUUCGUAUUUGUCCAGUUUGAAUCGGGUAGGGUGAAGGAUGAUCAAGUUCUAGGCAAAUGAAAUUUUCAUCGCACCAUUUAUUCUCGAUUAAAUUUGUGAAGUUGCAGUGAAUUUAAGGGGGGAAACAAAUACGGCCUUCAAAGACAUCUCUAAUCACCAUUUGCUUUUAACAUCCUCAAAGAAUAAAGGUGUUUGAUUGUUGAUCUCAUGUUGAAAUGAUUUCUACUAUAUUAAAGAUAUUACAAGCAUUACCCUUUAUAAGAAAACAAUACAAUAAUAUAAAUAAUAAAACUGUCAAUCCCUUGUUUUAUUAUAUUCGAGAAUCUGCUCGUGAUUUUGAUUCACAUUUCCAUAUUCUUCUUUUCUCUUGAUUGAUAAAUCAGUGCCUUAACUCCCCCACAAAUUGGGAAUGGGACAAUCCCAAAUUCUCAAUUUGCAACGUAAGUUUCCAAAUGUGCCAUUUUUUCUUGCACAUACUGAUAAUCUAAUUCCAUAUGUUUAAUUCUUGCAUAUAACAUGAGAUUAAUCAACAUAUAAAUUGCAUUGAUAUUAUCACAAAAUAAUAUUGGUGGACUUUAGAGAUAAAUACCUAAACCUCUAAAAAGGGAAGAUAUCCAAACAAUCUCAACAAUGAUUGACGCCAUUACAUGAUACUCUAAAUUGGCACUAGAUCGAGCAACCGUUCAUUGCUUCUUAACACUCCAUGAUAUACAAUCACUACAGGUACAAAAUAUCGCAGUCAAUCGUCAAGUCAAGCAACAAUUUGCCCAAUCUUCUAUAGUUAACUUGGACAGGAUUCACAUUUCUUGAUCUAUUGUGCUACUUAUAUAGCGAAAAAUGUGCUUCACAAUUUGAAAAUGAGUCAUAAUAGGCCAAUGCAUGAAUUGACAUAUAAAAUUGACUGCACAUGGAAUAUCCAGUUGUGUGAUGAUGAGAUAUUAAAGAGCUCUGACAAUACUUUGAUAUAGCGUAGGUGUGGCAUCCUAAAAUUUCAUGACAACCCCUGGAUAUACCAUGAACCAUGAAUAGGUGAUGGAAGCGCCAUCGGACUAUGUUAUGGUCAUUGGCUAAUAGAUUACAAUUUAACAAGGCCGAGCAAUGAAUGGACAAUUAUUUUGUUGGAAAUUAUACCCCAUGUCCAUGAGUGAUCAAUGAUUGUACUAAGGGACAAAUUGAUAAGGGAAAUUUUUAUUCUUGGCCAUGCGCUUUAUAAGUUGGAUUUUAUUGAUUUAUGUUACAAAGUUUUAUGGCCAUAUAAAUUUGCAAUUAUGUAUUUAUAUAAGUGAGGAUUAAAUGGAAAAAUAUGAGAAGGUUUGGGCCGAUUUUCUUAAGGCCAAACCAGCCCAAAAACCAGCCCACAGCCCACCGCUUCCCCCCAUUUCGUUGACCAAGCCUGGCCCAAAUGAGGCCCAUUAGCCUUGCAUGAAGAUCAACAAGUGGUGUGAAGGGUGCUACAAGUGGCAAGAGGAACUUACCAAGUGUCCAUUGCCAUGCAAACCUCAUGAUUACUAGUUAAUCAUGAGGGUGAAAGGAAGAAAAGGGAGAGAGAAGGGGUGGAUUGCACAAGGGGAAUGAUCGUGCGAGAGAGGGAGAAUUCGAGAGAGAAGUAGAGAAAGAGAGAAAGCCGAGGGAGAGAGAGAGGGUUCGUGGGUGCUUUGGCGAGGGAAGAGGAAGACCAAGCCCCGCCGUGCGUGUGCCUAGCUUCGCCGUCGACCGUGCUGUGUUCGAAGUCCCCGGGUCGCCAUUACUUGCUUGAUUUCAUCGGAUCUAAGGCAAGUAGAGUCCAUUGAUCUACACUUUGUUUGCUGUGAUUGUGUGUGAUGUAUGGUGAAUUUCGGAGGUGGUGGAGGUGAGAAUUUUCGAAGUUAUGGAAGUAGUGCCUUAGUCUAGUAAUCUGUUUUCUGGAAAAACAGUCCGACCUUUGGUGAUUUCGUGAGCUGCAUGCAAUUUUCUAGUUGGAAUAUCACUUCAACUUCUUGAUGAAAGUUGUAGAGGACUUCUUGCAGAUUACAUAAUAAAAUUUGAGAUGAAACGGACAAGUAUUGGAUGGUGAAACCAUUUUUCUUCAAAGAUACUAGAUCUGGAAAACUGAUAUGUUGAUCCCUUGCAGUUCUGUGAAUUUUGUGAAAUUAUUCAGUCCGAAUUUGAUCUCUUGUCCUUAAUAAGAGUUGUAUAAAACAUCUUGAGGAGAAACAUACUGAAAUUUGAGAAUAAACGGACAAGUAUUGAUCGGGGAAAUGAUUUUUCUUUGAAGUGUUAAAUCUGGAAAUCGUUACCGAGGGUUAGGGAGCGUUUUGGUGAAUGUAGCUCAUGAUAUAUAACGAAUCUGACUUCGAGUUCUUCAGGGAAAUUUUACCUCUAGGUCUUGGCUAUGACAUAUAUAUUUUUCAGAAUUUUCUGAGUUGAUUUAGGGUUUAUACCAAAUUUAUAAAUAAAACUGUGCAAUGGUGAUGUUCCGAAACUUUAAGUUGUGAUGCAUGGACUGUAAGUGAGCUGUACGAAGCUCUUUUGACAUGGUGUUCUUCAUAAAAAAAAUUUCUCUAGAUCUUUUUUAUAACAUGUUAAAUUUUCAUAAUUUAUUGAGAUCGUUUACUAAUUUUUCCAGAAUUUUUAUUUAAGGAGUGCAUUCUGCUUUGUCCGAAAAUUUGCUCCAUUUUCAAGAACAAAUGAAUUGCUUUAUGAAGUGUGAUAUCUUGGGUGUUAUUUGUAUUGCAUAUAUGGUGACAUUUGGCAUAUCGAUAUCAAAAAGGCUGGUUUAAACCUCCGACAUUGUUGCAUCAAAUGUUAAAUUGAAAAUGAGAUAUAUAUAUAUAUAUAUAUAUAUAUGGGAAUAUGCAUUGUGAUUAUAAUAAUACCAUUGGAGGUGUGAGCUGACGAUACCCCGGGAGUGUCGGGAUGCCCGGAGUGUGUGUGCCGGAUGCCUGGAGGUGUGUGCCAGAUGUCCUCGGGAGUUUCGGGAUGCCCGGUGGUAUAUCGGUACGUAAUUAUAGGAAAUGCCUAGUGGUAUGUGGGUACGUAAUUCCGGAAGGCAGGGGUAACCAUUUUCAUGGCAAGCCCCGGCGAUUCCUCGUGAUGCCAAAUGGGAUGCGAGAUGCCCGGAGGUGUGUGCCGGAGGUUCCUCGCGAUGCCAAGUUGGGUGCGAGCGAUAUAUGAGAGAUGCAAACACUAGUCCCUAGGAGAAAGAUGAGAUCCUUUUGAAUAUCAAAAUGGGAAUUGAAUCAUGAACGUGUGUGUGUGCAUAUGACAUGGGAUAUAAUUGCCUAUGAAAUUAAGUUGAUACUAUAUGGCAUUGAGAAUGCGAUCAUGAAAGCAUUGAAUGGAUCUCAUGAGGAUAUAUAUAUAUAUAUAUAUAUGAUUGUAUGGGUGAUAUGGAUCAUGCGCAUGUAUGUGUAUAUGGCAUGGGAUAUAAUUGUCUAUGAAAUUGAAAUUGAGUUGAUACUAUAUGACAUUGAGAAUGCGAUCAUAAAAGGCAUUGAAUGGAUCUCAUGAGAAUAUAUAUAUAUUGCCUUAAUGAAUGCAUCUCAUAGAGAUAUAAGCAUGAUUACAUGGAUGAUAUGUGCAUUUCACAUGAAAUUGUGAUUGUCUUGCUUGUUGCAUUGUGUAGUUUAAUGGAUCUUUACUGCCAAGUGGUUGUACUCACCUUGUUUGGGGACUAACAUUUCAGACUAGAUAAGAUACCUUUGCUACCGGUAGAUGGAUUCGCGUGGUUGGAUAUAACCACGAGGAGGAGGAUAGCAAAGGAAUGAACUUUUAGAUGUCAACAUUGAACGAUAGACCUUUAAGUAUAUGACUGUUGGAAAAGAUAUCGGUCAUCUUUUGAAGUAUAACCAAGUAUAUAAGACAUUGGCAUUUUUUAUGUAUCGGCUAAUGAUGUCCAUCAAGUUAUGUAAAUAAAGGUGUUUAGCUUUAACUUAUAUAAAAUGUUUAGUUGGUGUGCACUAUUUUCUGAAUAUAGGGAAGGGAGUUGAUGGAUGUGCUUUUGCCAUAUAAAUUGCGCAUGGACCGAUCUAAAAUAUAUAAACCCCCAAGAUUGAUAGGCCUUCAGGUCAAGUAAGAAAGGUAAGCAAACUGUGGCGAUCCCAACAGAUCGGGGGCCGUCGAGGGGUGCCAUAGUAGGAUCCAAAAAUAAUUUCACAUUUGAGAGAAUGAGUGCAAGUGGCUAUAGGCAUGGAUCCUAGCUUGCAAGCCUCCAUUUGAGCACAAUCAAGAAUUGACAAAACAUAUUGCGGUUGGCACAAAUAAAGGCUAUCAAAAAAUAUCCUAAUCUCCACAACCAUGAAGUAAUGUAAUGGCUCUGUAUCCUUCAUCAUAAAUUCACUACUCAAUGAAGAAAUAAAUCCAUCGAGCAAGUUUGGAUCAUUACUGAUGCCAAUCAUAUCGUCCACAAAUAAAAGUAGACCUAGAAUGCCAUGAUCUGAUUUUUGAACGAAAAACGAAGGACCAAAAUGCUGCAAAAGAAACCCAAUGGUAAAAGAAAGAAGCUAAAAUGAUCAAACCAUGCUCUUGAUGCUUGCUUGAGGCCACACAAAGCUCUCUCAAUUUGCAAAUAUAAGACAGGUAUAUUUCGUCCUCAAAAGAAGGGGGUUGCUCCAUAUAAACAUAUUGUGGUAGAAAUAAAUAUCUAUAUUAAAAAAAAAAUUAAUGGGGAGUAGGUUAAAAAAAAAUAAAAUUCAAAGCCCACUUGCAUCAAUCCUACACUUUCACUACUCUCCCUCCUAUACAUCCAAAAAGUCCCUCUUUUCAUCUAAUUUAUAGAUAUAUGACACAAAUUUUUGAGGAAAAUUGUCCAAAAAGUCCUAAACCUAUUACACUUUUGCCAAUUCAGUCUUAAACUAAUUUUGCCAAUUGAAUCCUAAACCUUUUCAUUUCUUGCCUAUUCAGCUCAUCUGGCCAAUUUUGGCCAGAAAAUGUUGAUGUGGAUGCUAGCGGUGCCACGUAGGACUACUAGCACUGACGUGGAUAAUUUUUAAUAACAUUUUAAUAUUUUUAAAUAUUUUUUUUGAAUUUUGAAUUUUGAAAAUUUUUUUUUUUGGCUUUUUCCUUGGCCUUUUCCGGUGGCUGGCCAAGGAAAAAGAAAGGGUGAAAAGUGUUGGUUGUAAAACAAACAUGCCUCUUUUCCUUGUCCACGUGAAAAAGUUGGGAGGACAUAAACUAUUUUAUAAGUAUGAACUUCUUCUAAUUUACUUAAAAGAAAAGAAUGAGUUGUAGGUUAGAUUCACAAUAUUCACUUGCAGGUGCGUGAAUAUUAGGUGUAGUGACAUAUGCACCCGCGGUAUAGUUAGCACUAUUUUUUUAAAAAAAUUUAUUUUAUACAAUUUUCUUAUUAAUAUUUAUUUGUUGAAAUGUUAUGUUUAUUCAUUUAGUAUUUUUGGAAAUUGUGAAAUUCAUAAUUUUAUUACAAAAAUUAAUAAUCUGUUAAUUAUUCUUUUUCUGAAUUUUUAUGUCUUUUCAAGAUAACAUUUGAAAAUAUACUCGUUCAUUUUGUAACUUUGAAAAUUAAUUAAAUAUGUUAGUUUUGGCAUGAAUGUGUAUGGAAUAUUUUCGACUGUUCUUCCAUAACUACAAUCAUCAUUUCAAUUAUUUCCUUUAAGAGAUCAUGGAGCAAUAUUGGAAUUGUUAUAUAGUAUUCUUAAUCGAGACUUUGUUGUAUUCUAAAAAAUAUUUGCCGUGGGGCCUCUUUACCAUUAUGUAUAAAUGGGCUAUAAAAAAGGUGAUAUCACGUUUUAAAAUCUGAUUUUAUUAUUCUAUUCAAUUUGAAGCCAUGUUUUCGAACAUAGUGUCCUUGUUCCUUGGUGCUUCAACCCUGCACCUCGCUGUAACUCGUUUGACACAUUUUCUGGCCACCGCCCAACGAGGACGUUGGAUUUGCAAGCAUUCGGACCUGCUCCACUUCGUUGCUCCACCCCUGCAAUCUACGUUUGCUAAGCCACCAUUGUUGCACUAAGCCAAGCUUCCGACAAGGCUUGCUGAUUUGCCAUCUAUCCUGCUGUUGCUCUUGUUCCCUGGCUCGACGACGUUGCUGAGUUCCUUGCCCAAGGUCGAUGUUGCUGUUCCCUGCUCUUUCGACGCCUGCUUCGUCCAACAAGGCUGCCGUUCUGCUUAGCUUGUUACAGCUGUUUCUGUUAGGUAUGAAGAAGUUCUCGCCAAUGUUCGGCCAAGUUUCUACCCCUAUCCGUGACCUCACUUCCAGCCAAGAGUCGUCGCUGGGCUCUCUUGCUCGCUGUGAUCCCACUGAUCCGAAGCAGGCCUCUUCACCGAGACGCCCAUGGGCGUCAUUGGCCGUACCGAGAGCCCCCAUCGAGCUCACUCCUUGCCACUCAAGUCCGCCAUGCACCACCGUGAACCGGUCGUGAAGCCGCCCACCAUUCGUCACUCACUGCGAUUCCUCGCGUUGGUCACGUCCAUGAGGAGCCUAGUCGAUCGUCACCCGCUGGUCUGAUUGGGAGUUUGCAUAUUCAAGUUAGUCUAAUCCAAUCUUAGACUUGAUAUUUUAUUUCCUAAUUUGAACUAAUGUGAUUUUCCGCAUUAAGAUUUUUUUGAUUAUGUUUGUUUUUAUCAUUAAUUAGUGCUCUAUCAAGAUCGCAAUAUAAUCAUUAAUAUGAGCUGUGAGUGGACGGGUCAUUUUUUUGUUAUGUUUGAGUGCCCUAUCAAGAUUGCAAUAUCCAUUAGUUUAAGAUGCAAUAUGAUGACUUAUUUUUAUUGAUAUCAUAAUCUUUUAUUUGAAUCUUGAUGGAUAUCCUAAGUGAUUUUUGCUAUGUUUGAAAUUUUGAUUAGAUAAUAUUGCCCAGUUUAAAUUGGAUUGCAUGUUAUGAUUUUUUUUUUUUUUAAAACUUAGAGUAUAUUCUAGAUAUGAAUUGUCUUUACGGAUUUUAGAUAAUGUCUGCAUAUUCAUAUAAUGUUGCAUGAUUAUAAUGGUUUUCUAAAAUAGGAUAUGGUUUAGGUCAAAUUAUUCCCUAAUCUAGACUGGAUGACUUUUUAUUUUAGACAGUUUAAUUUGGGCAUUUACCAAUUUCGAAUUUUAAUAAAAACACCAAAAUAUUGCAUGCAUGUCCUAUGCCAUGUUAUAUUGCUAUGCCAUUUGUGUGUCCCAUAGUGUGUAUGUUAGGUUCAUUUAAUUAAAACUUGCACAUCAUUAGAGCUAGGUCAUGUAAUUAAAAUUGCAUGUCAUACAAACUAUUUUAUUUUCAAGAUAAAAGAAAACCAAAAAAUAAUUGCUUGCCAUGGUGUUUAAUUUCCUACAAUUUAUUACUUUGAUUAUUGAGUGUUUUGAUAAUGUUUGUGCACUUGCAAAAUUACUCCAUUGUGUGUUAAUGAUUUAGGCUAAAAUCAAUAUCCAAGCUACCUAUAAAUUUUUUUUUGAAAAUAAAAGAGAAUUGUGUUAGAAUAAUUUAGCGUAACCAAAUCUUUGAACUCACAUUCUCUAGCUUGUAGGAGUGAAUUACAAUUCCCAAUACUUUACUUGGGUAUCUAAUUAACUCAUAAAAAACUAAUUAGUGACAACAGCUGUAUAAAAAUUAUUUGCAUGUUAAAUGACUUUAACCUAAGUUGUGAAGAGUUUAGGAGAGCUCGAGCUAAAUUGAACUCAUUAAUUCCUUAGCCAACCUUAAGUGGUGCACCCACUUGGGGAAGCUCGCAACAUAUCUUUGCAUGUUCUCGAGUUUUUUCGUCAAUUAAAUUCUAGCACAAUUUGUGCAUGUGUUGUCAUGAAGGUGGCUAUACUUUCAAGCUUUGUCGUCGAUUAAAUUCCAACUAGAUUUGUACAGCAUUUUGGUUUGAAAUUUGAAGUAUAAGUUUGCGGUUAUUUAUUAUUUGCCUAGAUAUUCAUAUUCGGAAUCAUCAGAAAACAUGUCUCUUAUCCUAAUAACCCACAUUUUAUUGGAUUUUAUUACUUGAACUCAUUUUAACUCAUUCAGUAAAAUUAAGCUAACUCAUAUAUGACCCAACUCAUCAUAUAUGAGUUGAUAAAUAAGUUUUCAACCUAUUUUGACACCUCUACAUAUGACUAGACGUGUGCCCUAUUGCUGAUGAAUCUACUUCAUAUCUUAUACUUUCCCAGCUUCACAAGGAUUCUUUAAAAAUAGCGAACUUUCUUUAAUCAGUUCUUUUUUAAAUCAUUCUUUGAGCAAGAAAGAAAUGUCCUCUAGUUGGCUUAUUUGGGACUUAAACUGAAUGUGUUGCUCGGGCUAAAGGGACCUGGAAUGAGGUUGUCAAUUUGCAUAAUUAGAACUUAAUGUAGAAAACCGAUUCAUCAACAUGAUGGAUUAGUCGGGUGAUGGAAUUAGUUGCUUUUGGAUUAAAUUGAUGUUUCGCAAGAUAUUUAUGUUCUGAGUUUACUAAUUAUGGUAGUUAUUAUGGAUCCAACUGCUUUUGGAUUGGAGCUCUUUAGCAGUUAUAAUGGAUUCAAGCUCUUAUCGAUUGGAGCUCAUAAAUGAUUGCAACCGAUUGUACAAAACAAGGGAAGUAUUUGAAUUGCACACAAGAUUAUUACAACCUAUUUCAUGUGCCAUGUGAAGUUAAUUUACGAGAAGUUAAAUGAUUGUCAUAAGCUAACUGUACACACAUAAUAUCAUUGCAUCACUGUUUGCGAUGACUUUUUUUCUUCUUCCUACAUGCAAUGUAUGCACAAGGGAAGUGCAUUGAGUACUAGAUAUGAUACUCAAGUAAGAUAACUUGAAUAUGUCAAACAUACAAAAUAAAUAUUUAUCACCAGAUAUAAAGAAAAAGAAGUCUUAUUUUAAAUCUAGUGUCACAUCAAAUAUAUAAAGUCGGUACCCAAAUUAGCAUUAUGUGUAUUCAAUCCAUAUGAGCCCUUCAAUUUAAAGUAGCACUUGUGAAAUUCAUCGAAUUCGAAGGCUAAUACACUGAUCGGGAGAUCGCGGGCGUUGCGUGCGUGCAAUUCGAAUCCUCGGACCCAAAAUGUGACUUGCGCAUCCAUGGCUAGUUCCGUAGGACUUCUCCAUCCUGAAGCAUUGGGCUUGGGCAACCCCGAACACUAUUCCCAUCUCUCUCUCUCUCUCUCUCUCUCUCUCUCUCUCUCUAAAUUCACCUCCGCUCUCUCUCCAUUCAGCUCAAUACAAACACCAAGAACAUAAGGCACUCCAUAACAGAAACUUGCGGAACCAUGGCUCUGCCCUCGAACGAGACCAACUGAUCGUCCAAUUCAACGAGCAACAGUCCUGGGAGAAGUGGUCCAUCUACAGGGUCCCCACCCACGUCACCGACCACAACCGCGUGGCCUACCAGCCGCUGGCUGUCUCCUUCGGCCCCUACCACUACGGCGAGGAACACCUCCUCCCCAUGGAGGAACACAAGCACCGUGCAUGCUACCGCUUCUUCAUGCCGUCGGGGAGGCCCCUCGAGCGCUUCCUUGAGUCCCUAAGGGGGGUGGUGGGGGACCUCAUGGCAAGCUACGUCGCGCUGGACCCAAAGUGGAAGGAGGGCAGCGAGGGCACCGUGCGCAGGUUCCUGGAGCUGAUGAUCACUGAUGGCUGCUUCAUGCUCAAGAUCCUGAGGUACGCGACCGACAAGGGCAAUGACUAAGGGCCCAACGACCCCAUUUUCAGCAACUACGGUAUGGUCUACAUAAUGAAGCACAUUAGGCGGGACAUGCUCGUGCUGGAGAAUCAGCUUCCGACGCAAUUGCUGGAUCGGCUGGUUGCUGUCGAGAGCAAUGGCCAGCAGGUUACUUUCUUAGAUUUCGCUCCGUCAUAAGAGGUUAUUGCACGCACGGAAACCAGGUACCAUGUGCACCUAACGGCACAUCCCGGUGAUCUUAUAUGAAUACCGUGUGGGAUCCAUCGACUCUAAUGCUCCCAACUUGUUGGACGCACAAUUAAUAAUUGCAUUAUUCAAUCUAUCACUGCUAUCGAAAACUUAUUUUUUCUUUCCUGUUUAAAGCUAGUACUAAUCGAUAUGACAGCAAUCUCAUAUUCAACGCACUGACAUUACUCCAACAAUGCGGGAUGAAAAAUUCAUUAAUAGGCUCAUCCUCGAGUUCUGCUCUCCCGGCACGCACAUCCCGAGGAUGGGCAAAUGCCUGCACAUCCUGGACGUCUUCAGAAAGAGCUUGCUGCACCAUGUGGAGAAGCCCAAUAUCCCGCAUGAGUAGGACGAGGGCGGCAAAAAGAUAAUCCAACCGGCCGUCGAGCUCAACUCUGCCAAGAUUCGGUUCAAGAAGAGCAAGACCAACAGUCUCAGGGACAUCUCCUACGCCAGGGGGGAUCCUGAGGCUCCUCGUGAUCGAGGUGGAUGACACUACCGAGUCUGUGUUCCUCAACUUCAUCGCACUCGAGCGCUUCCACAUUGGGGUGGGUACAAGGUCACGACCUACAUCUCCUUCAUGGACGACAUCAUCGCCAACGAGCGGGACGUCCAGCUACUCCAAACCCAUGGUAUCAUCCACAAUGCCAUCAGGAGCGAAAAAGCGGUCACCGAGCUGUUCCGCUCCCUGUCCAAGGAUGUGGUGCUCGACCCUGAAAGCAGCCUCGACGCUGUGCGCAAGAGGCUCAAAAGGUACUGCCAGAAACCCUGGAUCAUGUGGAGGGCUAAUCUCAUCCGCACCUACUUCAGUAAUCCUUGGCUUGUAUGGUCUCUUAUGGCCGCCAUCUUCGCCUUGGUGCUCAGCAUAAUUCAGACCGCGUACACCGUGCUCACCUACAACCCGAAUUCUCAGUUUCCCACUCUAAAAUAAUCUUUUUUUCCAUAUUCUGGUUUUUCUCCUAAUGGCUGAUGCUCAAUAAUUAUCUUUUCAUUGGUUGGCGAUUGUAGUUAUAAAUGAUUUCCACCGUCUUUAGUCAUGUUCAUUUCCCUCUUAAAAUGUUUUGAACGAUGGACAUUUCGCUGAUUAUUUAUCAUUAUCAAGUGACGAUUUCAGUCUUUUUCAUGUUUGCCCAAUUUGGAUAGGUAAUGUGAAGGAUGAUCAAGUUUUAGACAAAUGAAAUCUUCCAUUGCCACAUUUUCUUCUUGAAUAAAUUCGUGAGGUUGUCGUGAACUCAAGUGAAAAACAAGUAUGGCCUUCUAAGUCAUCUCUAAUACUCAAAUUUCAAAGAUUUGGACUAGUGUCCCCGGAAAAUUUUAAACCACAUCUUAAACAAUAAUGUGAAAUCUUUUCAUGAUUUUUGGAGCACAAUUAGGCGUCCGAAAUGCUCGUUCUCGAAUUUGUUGAAUCCUGGAAAUUUACUAUGUUUUGACCUGAAGUAUAUAAAAUUAUUAGGACUCGUACAAGCUCAAACAGGUCUUGAAUUCUCCAUGAAAAACAUUCUUUGGAGACUCGUCCACAUUGUGUUAAAUUUUUGUGAUUUUUAGAACUGAUUUGCUUUGCAAAUGCCCUUGAUUUCUACAUAUGGGCGAGCUGCCCUUUUUCUGUCGAUUUUGGCUAAAACUCCCUUUUGUUACCCGUCCUUUUGAACUAGUACUGCCAACUUAAUGUUUGUAUCACUUCUCUGGUUUACAAAGGAUAGUUGAGGGUGGACAUUGAACUAUUCCCAUACAUUAACUCAGUGGAUGGCAUGUUUAAAUUGAAAUAUUGAAUUGUUGCACUAUGAGAUGAGUGUGUGAUUUGGGAAUGCCGUUGGUCCUUCUGAUGACAAUGCCUCAAGUGGUAAUAGGGAUGCAUGGAGGGAUAACUAAUUUCCUCCAAAUGCUUGGGGGUAUUGAUAUUGCUAGUACGAGUACCUAGAGGGGGGUGAAUAGGUUUAUAAAAAUUUUCUUGAAGAUUGCACAAUACUUAGACAGAUGAAGGAUUUGCAAUAAUUAAAAAAUCAAUCGUAAGACUGAGUAAAGGAAAGAGAGAAUUGAACACGCAAUUUAUAGUGGUUCGGCUUGAUUCAAGCCUACGUCCACUCUUCUGCACUGACAGCCGAUUGGCUGGAUUCCACUAUGAACAAAGAGAUGUUACAGUGUUGAUCUUCCUUGAUUUCUAGGUGUAGAUGAUCUACUACACUCGCUCAAGGUAUCACCAAGUAUAAACACUCUCUGUGUAUACAAUUUCGCUCGAACUGUAUCGACUAACAAUCAAGGUUCUUCAGACUCUUGAAUUUUUCUAUCAAUCACACCCUUAAAACAACUAGAACGUCUUCCUUUUAUACUCCUUUAUGCCAUCAUAGCCGUUGGCACUUACCAAAGGAAUUCCUCCAAUCUACCCGUUGGACGGAAUCAAUUAAGAAGAUCAUCCGAGCUAUUUAAGGAAUCUGAUGAUAGCCCAUCAAUCCUGUUCGCCCAUACAAUCAGGAUUUUGGUUUCCAAGAAUAGAACAUUCCAAGAAUGUUUCGUCGAUCAUCGGAUCUUCAAAUGAUCUUAGAUAAGAAUCAAAGAAUCCGAAAUGAUUAUCCAACCAAGGGAUCUUUUCCAGAGGAUAGGAUCGAAUCCUCAACCAUAUACUUCGGCUUUGGAUUUCCUUCGUCACUGGAUUAGAAAGACUGUCAGUGAGAAUAGUCUUGAGUCUUGAGUCUUGAGUCUUGAGAUUACAAAGUCUUGAGACUUUAAACUGUCGAUAUCCAGACUAGACUGAUAGAAAUGUUUUGUCAGCUUCAAAAUAUUCUGGAAAGAUUUCUCCAACAAGUAUAACACAGUUUUCCCAGAUAUCCUCACGAUGCCAGAUGAGUGUGAGAUGCCCGGGGGGUAACGGGGUUUCCCAGAAGAUGAUGGCAGCUAAUUCAUAGCAAAUAUGAUCAUUGACAUUUUCAGAUUUCAUUUGAGCUUUAUUGGUUUACUAUUUUUAAAGGAAAUGUUUUUCACCUACUAUUAUAAUUUUGAAAAAAGGUUCUCUAUCAAGUUGAUUUCAAAAUGGUCUUCUAUAUUUUAUUCUAAACUUUCUUGUAUGUGCCAAAAUUAACAUAUGUAGUAUGGAUUGGUUGGUAGUUUGUUUGUUGAGUUUAUACUCACUAUUGGUGGAUUAUUAUUUUUCAAAUGAGUAGACAUGCCACCAUUACCAGCAUCCCCCAUGACCCUCUACGAUGCUUUGAUAAAUUUCACAUGGCACCAAACUAAGCUGCAUGACCCCAACUUUCCUAAUGUCACCUUCAUCCAUGUCAUUGCGUUAUCGACAGUCGAUGUCGGUCUACCAUCGGGCCCAAGGCUAAUUGGAUUCGUCCUCGUCUACGCUUGGAUCGAUGGGCGAUGGAGAUAGCGGGGUCGAAUAUGACAAGGAUCGGAGGAUGAGGAUAGCAUUUUUGGAAGACUAGGCAGUUUGGAUGAGUUAGGUAAUCUUGUAGAUAUACGGUAUCAUGGUCGGAGUGGUACAGUUGAUGGAAUUUUCAUAUAGUCCAAAGUAGGAAUAUUUCGGUAAAUCCCCAAUUUACCUGACCUAGGUUGCCCAAAAGUAUCUAAAACUAAAGGAAAUGAAAUUAUCUUGGUUUAUAGUCCUACGCGCAUUCCUUGAAUUUCGUAUGUCCUGGGUGAUUAUUGGUCUAUAUAUAUGUUUCCGCAUGCCUAAAAAGUGGAAAGAUUUGGAUAGGCACGUUAGCCGUGACGUGCUGGAGACGUCACAAUGUGUCUAUAUGAUGGUCAAAGGAUAGCUACAAAAGUUAUCUUUCUCCAACGCAACGGCAUGGAAAUUACCAAGCAAAACGCUGAUAUUUCUCCCUCUCAUGGAAAACGUGUGGCAAGGUUCACCAUCUACUUUUCAAUUUAAUGGUACGGUUAGCCAAACAUAGUAGAGCGGGAAUAAAAUAGGAGGGAAGGAUACGAUUGUGCAAGUCAAAUGCACAUAUGUUAUAAUAGACAUGUAACUAGCGUUAAGCACGCCCUAUGCGUGAACGCAAAGUUAAAUAGGUUUAUAAGAAGAAGACUAAUAGACCGAAAGUUAACUCUAAAAAGUAAAAAAUAGAAGGCAUUUUUCUAGAAGAGGAAAUGGGUGAAGACUGAGAUAAUUGUCAUUUAGUGGGGCCAGUGAGCGCAUAAAUGGUGGAUGUGGAUAAAAUGAAGGCAGUUAACUUUUUCUUAUUAAGGAUGUUUUUGGAAGGAAUAGAAAGCGAGAUAAAACAAGUGUAAUGCUUAGCCAACCGUACCGUUAGCUGGAAAAAGGGACGGUGAAUCCUCAUCCACACGUCUUGGAUGAGAGAGAGGGAGACUUGUCUCUUGCUUGAAAUUUCCUAGCGCUUGUGUAAAGGAAAUAUCCUUUGACUGUCACACCGUCUCACGGUGAUGCUAACACCACUCAUAAAACAAUAUUUUGACUUAAAUGUCUUUUGUGAAUAUUAAGCUCAAAACUCUAUUGUCAAGUAUUGACUAGCAGAUAACUUAGCUGGAAAGCAAUGCGCAAAGGAUGGCGGAGCCCACUUGUCCAUAUCCUCUCCAUCGGGAAAAUUGUCUAAAAAAUCUUAAAUCUAUUACAUUUUUAUUAAUUUAGUCUCAAACAUUUUAAUUUUAUCAUUGAGUUCUAAUUUUUUUAUAUGAUUUUUCAAUUGAAUCCAUCCGCCAAUUUAGCUGGAAACUGUUGAUAUGGACAUUAAACAUUUUAUGUGACACGGUUGACGCUGAAGUGAAUAAUUUUUAAUAAUAUUUUAAUUUUUUUCAAAUUCAUUUUUUUCUUUUUCCUUUUUCUUUUUUUUUAAACCCUCGCCUAGCGACCGGCCACAAGUGUCACCCUUUGGCUAGCAAGGGCUAUGACGCUCUUGCAUCACCCAAGCGAAGUGAGCGCAUUGCGGUCCUAGCCUAGACUAGGCAAGGGCAUUGCGGCCCUAGCCAACCAAGGGCAAGGGUUGUGACCCUCACUUGGAUCUAGGUGAGGGCCAACAUCCUCACAUGUGGCUAGUGAGGGCCUGGAGGCCCUUGCCCGUGACUAGCUAGGGCAACAACGCCCUCGCCUAGGGAGGGCUAGCCUACGGUUAUUAAAAGAAUAAUAAUUUGAAAAAUAUAAAAAUAUUAUAAAAAAUUAUCAACGUUAAUGUCGGUCGUGCCAUAUAAGAUGCUUGCAUUCACAUUAGUGAUUUUUUUAUUAAAAUUGGCUAAAUGAACUCAAUUGACAAAACGUGAAAAAAAAAUUUAGAUCUUCAUUGACAAAAUUGAAAGACUUAUGAUUAAAUUAAUAAAAAUAUAAUAAAUUUAAAACUUUUUGGACAAUUUUUCCUUUAUCUAUCAGCUUCUGCCUCUAUAAUUGCAUUCCACAUACAUCACUCCAUUACAUCACAAGGAUGCGCCGUCUGAUGGGGCAUUGUUCCACUACUGUUUUGUUGUUGCACAUAUUCCUGACGAAGAAAUACACAUGGGGGAAGUCAUUCUCUUUUUGCCAUACCUGCCUUUGGAAUUUUUUGGCCAGUCUAAUAUCAUUAAAAUUCUCCAUACAAAAAUUCUUGACUACACAUAUGCAUUUGUGUAUCUAGGGGCAUAGAAUUUCGGACAUGCCUUGCUUCGGGGGAAUUUUUCUUUUUUUUAAGAGCCAAAUUUAUAUGGAUCUGAUCAAUUGCAAUAGUUGGUCAUGUGGAUCCUGCAUGACGUCUAUAUAUAUAUCACAUAAUCAACUAUUAUGAUUGCAUUUGGUUCACAAAAACGGUUCUAGGGAAGGAUAUUUUUAGGCAAAAGAUGGGCGAAUCUCUUUGGCUCGUUCGAUCAAUAGCCCAUGAUCAGGGAUAUCUAAGUGGUGGGUAAAUCUAUUGUCAAUCUGGCCGAAUCUGGUCAGAAGGUUCCUUAAGAGUUUGACAGGACUCCUUCGCAUCUUUAGUAUCAGACGAUGAAUUUUUUUUUUUUUUAAUGAUUAGCACAUAAUUGCUCCUCUUUCUUAGGGAGCCGAUACUAAUCGUCGGAGGCUAAUCUUGGCUUUUGAGGUGAAGCGCAAAAUGGUCCGUGCCCGAUGUGCAUCCUUCACUUAAAAUCCUGCAGCUUCUUCUAGGGUUACAUUGUGUUGAUACAGUGCCGACAACCAAAAAAAUCAUUUACACUAAAAACUUCAUGGAUAACGUAAUGGACAAAGUCAUUUAUAACAUGAUAGGCUUGCAAAAUUACAUUAUUUUAAUCGUAACAUUGACUUAAUCUAGUACAAUGAAUUUGGUAAUGACUUCAUCUGGACAACAUUUAAAUAGUCUCACUUUUAAAUCUCAUGAAAGAUCCAUGAUGACUUUGACUCGUGCUCCCAAAUUUUUGUGCCUUAAUGCUAAUGGAUAUACUUCAUAACUUAUACUUCCCCAGCUUCACAAGGAUUCUUCUCAGAGUAAUAGUAGCGUACUGCUUCAGUCAGCUCUUCUUCUUUUUUUACUCAGUCUUUGGUCAAGAAAGGAGUCUCCUCCAUUCGGCUUAUUUGGACCAAAACUGAACGUGUUGCCCGGGCGAAAGGGACCCGGUAUGAGGUCAUCAAUAUGCGUAAUUAGAACUUAACGUGGAAAACGGAUUCAUCAAAAUGAUGUAUUCAUUUGCGACUAAAAAAAAUGAUGUAUUCAUCUGUUCGGUUGAUGGAAUUAGUCACUAUUGGAUUAAAUCCACGUUCCACAAGAAAUAUGUAUUUAGAGUUUACUAAUUAUAGCAGUUAUAAUGGAUCCAUGUUCUUCUUGAUUGGAGCUCAGAAAUGCCCGUCGUUGAUUGUGUGAAACAAGUGAAAGUAUUUGAGUUUCACACAAGAGGGUUACAACCUGUCUUGUGUACUAUCUGAAGUUAAUGAAUGAGAAGUUUUAUGAUUGUCAUUAGCUAACCGUGCACGCAUAAAAACAUAGCAUCACUAUUCGUGGUCAUUUUUUUUGUUUUUCCUACAUGUGAUGUAUACACGAAAGAAGUGCGAGUACUAAAUAUGUAACUCCAGUAUUGCCAAAUAUAACAAAAAAGUACUAUUUUAAUUCUAGUGUCGCAUGAAAUAUGCAAAGUCCGUACCCAAAGCGGCAUCCAAUGUAUUCAAUGCAUACAAGCCCUUUGAUUUAGAGAGACCCUGGUGAAAUUCAUCAAAUUCAAAGGCUAAUACACGGUCGGGAGAUUACGUGCCUUGCGGGCUCUGAAUUCGAAUCAUCUCGCACGAAACGUGAGUUACAAGUGCAUGGCUUGUCCCCAAAUACCUCUUCGCUCUUCCCAUCUGUCUCCAUAAAUUCUCCUCUUCUCACACUCCUUUCAGCUUAAGAAAAUAGAACGUAGGACACUCCAAAACAGGAACCAUGCCGCCGCGGGACCGGUACGAGACCAACUGGAUCGUCGAAGUUAACGAGAGCCUCAAGUGCAUGCCCCCCGACGAGCAACGGCACUGGAAGAAGCGGUCCAUCUACAGGGUUCCUGCCUGUGUCACUGACCUCAACCGCAAGGCCUUCCAGCCACAGGCUGUCUCCUUUGGCCCCUACCACCAUGGCGAGAUCCACCUCCGCACCAUGGAGGACCACAAGCACCGCGCGCUUCUCCACUUCCUCAGGCGGUCUGGGAAGCCUCUCGAUCCCUUCCUCGAGUCCCUGAGGGAAGUGGCGCGGGACCUCGAGGAGAGCUACGACGCACUGGACCUGGAGUGGAAGGAGUGCGGUGGUGAGGGCGCAGCAAACCGGUUCCUGAAGCUGAUGAUAACUGACGGAUGCUUCAUGCUUGAGAUCCUGAGGAGCGCGACACAGGCAGUGGAUGACUAUGAGCCUGACAACCCCAUGUUUUACACCCACAGGAUGCUUUCCAUAAUGCCAUACAUAUGGCCAGACAUGCUGAUGCUGGAGAAUCAGCUGCCGAUGCUAGUGCUGGAUCGGCUGGUCGCCGUCGAGAGUGAUGGCAAGGAGGUUAGUUUCUUAGAUUUUGCUUUGUCAGAUUCACUAACAGUACAUCUUGAUGAUCACAGAUGGGCUAUGUGGACCUCACAUGGGAUCCAUCAAAUCAAAUACUCCAAACCUGUUGGAUGCAUGAUUCGAUCAACUGAGAACAUGAUUACUAAAUCUAUCACCACUAUUGGAAACUUCUUCUUAUUUUUAUUUUAUUUUAUUUUAUUUUUUCACUUUAACUCAAGUACAACUGAUACGACAACGAUCUCACAUUCAAAUGCACUGACUUCACACCGACAACUCAGGAUGACGAAUACAUCAACAGGCUCAUCCUCAAUUACUGCUCCCCUGGCAAGAACACGGUGAGGAUAGGCAAAUGCCUGCACGUCCUGGACGUUGUCAGGAAGAGCCUACUACUCCAUGAGAAGCCCAAGCUGGACAAGGUGGGGUGUGAGGGCCUUCUAUUAGUCCGGUCAGCUACUGAGCUCAACGAGCAUGGGAUCCGGCUCAAGAAGAGCAAGACCCGCAGCCUCACGGCCAUCUCCUUUGCUGGCGGGGUUCUGAGUCUCCCUGAAAUCGUGGUGGAAGAAGCAACCGAGUCCAUGUUCCUCAACCUCAUCUCAUUUGAGCGCUUCCAUGUCGGGACCGGGAACGAGGUCACAUCCUACAUCUACUUCAUGGACUACAUCAUCGCCAAUGAGUGCGAUGUCACGCUUCUCCACACCUUGGGCAUAGUCCUGAAUGUCCUGGGGAGCGACAAGGAGACCACCGGGCUGUUUCGCUUGCUGGCCAAGUACACAACUAUUGAACCCAACAGCGGUCUCAUUUCUGUGUGCAAUAAGGUCAACGAGUACUGCAACAAGCCCUGGAACAAGUGGAGGGCCAAUCUCCUUCAGACCUACUUCAGGAGUCCUUGGGCUUUAUUGUCUCUCGUUGCGGCUAUCUUCCUCUUCGCACUCACUAUAAUUCAGACCGUAUAUGCCGUGCUCAGCGAUUGAACCCACAAUUUGCCUCUCUGUACAAUAAUUUUCCCUUUCCAGUCAUGUUCAUUUCCCACUUUAAAUGUACCGAAUGAUGGACAUUUGGCUGUUCGUUUAUCAUUAUCAAAUGAUUCUCUUAUUUUAGUCUUCUUCAUAUUUGUCCAUGUUGAAAAUUGUGAUCCAUUUUCCAAAUUCUAUAGAUCUCUCCUCAACUAUGUCAAGAAUGGCGGUGGCUGAAGAAAAAAAUUAACGUGGGAAUGCAAGCAAGCAUCAGCUAAAGAAAUAGUAAGCAGAAGCCAAGUUGGAGAAGACUUAGGUGGGAAAAAUUUUAAAAAAGUCAAAAGAGUUGAGGCAUCCCCGUGAAGAAGGAAGUUGCCUUACACGUGUCAAGAAAGGUCGGUCGAUUAUUUUAAAGAGCCUAUAAAUAGAGCCUACGUAUGCUAGGUCGCGUGUGGGGUUUAGCCCUCCACCAAGUCUGUGGAGGAGUAAGCUCAAUAUACAUAUCCUAUACUCCUCCCCCGACAACUCCUUCAACUAUAUUUGUAAUACCAUUUUCAUAAACUAAUGAAACUAUUCUUGUCCCCUAAACUUUGUUUAUAACCUAUCUUUGUCCAUUCCUCUGCAUCAACUAGACCAUACACGUAUGCAUUGGAACACACGCUUCCACUAAUACUAGUAGUCCAAUUAUGUGAAGUAUGGUCUAGUUUUAGGCAAAUGAAAUCUUCAAUUGCACCAUAUUCUUCCUGAUUAAAUUUUAGCAGAUUUCAAUGAAUUUAAGUGAACAACAAAUUUGGCCAUCAAAGUCAUUUCUCUUCCCCCAUCAGCUUCAAAUUUCAAAGUCAUCUAUAUAUUUUCCGGUUGUCAAGCACACUUUUAUACUGAAAAAGAAAUAUUUUGAAACUUCCGACAUCCUUCCCAAGAUAGAAUAAGGGAAAGAUAUAACAGUUCUAAAUCGCCAUUAUAGAAUCCUACAUCAAAAUAAGAUAACAACAAACCGUUAAUUAUCCAACCAAGAAAAAAAAUUGUUAAUUAUGUAUGUAGAAUGUUAAGAUUAUGUCUCCAGUUUCGGCAGGUUUCCCAGUUUGAAGGGUCUGAACAAUCGCUUGUUAUUGAUCCUUAAAUCUUGACGACACAAUUAAACAUUUAUCGUAUAGAAAAAUUAAAGAUCAAACCAACUCAAAAACAAAAAUAUUAAUUAAAUUGCAUAUAAGUAUUAAGAACAUUUUAAUUAAGCCCAUAUAAUAUUCAUUAAUGGACUAAAGCAAGGGGGUUUUGAGCUUAAUUAAAUUAUUUGAACUAAGCCUGGGACAAUAAGCAUAUCUUGAUAUUCACAAUCAAAAUACAUGGGAGCUCCAAAAAGCAAUGACAGUGGGAGGUCCAUCUUACAUGUAUUUAAAAAUAAACGAGCAAGCCAAAACCUAAUAAGAGCCAAAACUAAUAAAUGAAAUCUUUAAAUUUAAGGCAAAACAUCAUCUUACUACUCAAUUACAUGAGAGACAAGCACAAAAAAAAAAAAAAAAAAAAACAUGUGUGACAAAAGUAGGAGUAAAUGCACUAUCUUCUUAUCAACAGUUAGAAAAAUUUACUCCUUCAUUUGUCAUACAUGGUUAUUUACUCCAUUUGUUUAAGGUAAGUGAUCAUCUUAUUGCUCAGCAUCUGAAAUGACCCACAAGUCAAUUUAGCGGUUGGAAAAAUUAACACGCAUGUUAGGGAAUCAAGAACUUCAUAAUUUGCCAACUACAGAAGUGCACGACAUGUCCCGUGUGAUAGCAACUGAACUACUCCUCAAAUGGUGAAACCUGUCAUAUUGUUCCUACAGGAGUGAUAAUGACGUUUCCGCUGAUCUGAUCUAAUUGUUGUCCAUGAAAUAAUAUCGUUUUGAAUGAAAUUAAAGGAAUAUGUAAUGUUUUUAUGAAUAAUGUUUGAUAUGUGAAUAUUUUGUUCAAUUAACUAGGAGCACUUUGAAAGAUUGUUUUUCUCAAUUCAAUGAAAGUGUUCCAUAAGCUCUAUUUCGUUGGUAUAAUAAAUAGAGGGCAUUGUAAUUUAAAACAUGAAUGAGAGACAUAUCAUUCUAAGUCGAGUUCAAUGCAUAUAUUCCAUUAUGCUUUGAAUUUUGCAUGAUUUCAAUCUUAUCGUUCGAGUUCACACUUCCUUUGAUCUUUUUGUAUAUGGGAAUAGAAAGUUAGGGAGAAGAACAUAAAGAAGUAUAGUGGAGGAGGAGGAGGAUGCUUUGAAUUUUGCACGAUUUCAAAGUUAUCUUUCGAGUUCACACUUCCUUCGAUCUUUUUGUAUAUGGGAAUAGAAAGUUAGGGAGAAGAACAUAAAUAAGUAUAGUGGGGGAGGAGGAGGAGGAUGCUUUGAAUUUUGCAUGAUUUCAAUGUUAUCUUUCGAGUUCACACUUCCUUCGAUCUUUUUGUAUGUGGGAAUAGAAAGUUAGGGAGAAGAACAUAAAUAAGUACAGUGGAGGGGGGGGGGGGGAGAGAGAUUUUUUUGUCGAAAGAAAAGGGAAGAUUAAAAAAAAAUGGAGAAAAAGUUGCUCUGAGAAAAGUUUAAAAACUGUCAUACUUCUUAUCACCAAAAAUGUCUUAAAAUUUUUGAAAUUUUGACUAGAACCUCUUCACUCUCGGUAAGAAGUAGGUAGGAAGGAGAUAUAGGUUGAAGAUGAAAAUUUGAUUACGGGACGAAAGGUGGGCCAACCCAAUUUAAGUUUUAAUAAUAGCUAGUUAGGGUGAUUAUGGUAAUCGAGAGUAGUUUAGAUAGGCAGUUUAGAUAGGCUUGUCAAGUUAUUUUGAAAUGACAUAAAUCACUAAUUUAGUAGAAGAAAAUAUUGGUUAGAGUUGGAUCUUCACGUGAGUCACUCUCGACUCCAGUCAUUGAUCACCGCAUGCUCAAAUGGCAGCCCACUUUCAGUGUAUUUGACAAAUCUUUAUGCUAUGUCUCUCUCUUGUGACAAAUGUUUAUGCUAUGUCUAAGGAGAAUUCAAAUCCUGCAUAAACUGAAUAUUUUUCGAGCCAGACUCUACUUGGAAAGAAAUGUUGCAUUCUACCUCCUUUAAGUAGGGUGCAUUUGCCUGUGAGAUACUUAGCCCCGCCAUUAGUUUCAGGCAAGCUUUAACGUUGAUGAUUGCAAAGUGCUUACUAAUAAGGCAUUUGAAUAUUGCAGAUUUAAAUCAGUAACGGUCAGUUUGGUUGCGAUAAUGGAAUAAGAUUGUAAUGUAAUAGCGUGGAGAAUGCCCAUUUCCCACCUAAUGUAAUAAAGACAUUUUAGCAACACUUUCUACAGAUGGUUAGAAACCGCACACGCCUUGCAAUUAUAUCGAGCACAUAUGGCACAUUUUUCACCUCCCAGCACCAUUUGGUUGGGAAAUCAACCACCUUCUCUAAUGCCAAAGAGCUGCAAAAUCUGAAGAUUGAAAAAUGGGAGCAACUUGGUUAACUUCAAUGAUCCACAAAUUAUUCAACUUUAUCGAUAUACAUAUUUGAUUACAUAUAGGAACUCGUGGUAAAUCUUCCACGUAAUUCAUUUAUCAGAUUUCACGCGAUGUAUUAAAUGUCAAUAAAAAGAGAAAAUUCACCUCCACAGGAUAGUAGCUCCCUUAUAGUCACAGAGAACAGGGUAUUCGGCAAUACAAGUUCAAUUUUUUCUCUCGAAUGGGUGAAAUGAGAAACUCAGAAUACUUGCAAUCCACGACUUUCACCACAAGAAGAUUGAAUUGCGAAGUAAAGUUCCGCAAAUUAGCCAACUAGGUCCCUCUACUGUCAAGUAUCGACUAACAGCUAACUUGGCUGGAGAGCAAGGCACAAGGAUGGAUUAGAAAAUAAAAAACAAAUUCCUGGAAGUGAGUCUAUGCAUAGAAGAGCUUCGUACAUGACCAAAGAUGGGGGAGCUCACUCGUCCAUAUCCUCUACUUCAUUGGCUUCCGGCUCUAUAUCCGCAUGCCUGAGCCGACCACAUACAUUACACUCCAUUGUCCCGCCGCUGUUUUGCUGGUACACAUAUAACUGAUGAAGAAAUACACAUGGGAAACGUCGUUCUCUUUCUGCCAUACCCGCCUUUGGAAUUUUUUGGCCCAUCUAAAAUCAUGAAAAUUCCCCAUAUAAAAAUUCUCGACCGCUUAUACACAUGCGUGUAUCUAUGGGCCUAGAAGCUUUUGAACAUGCCUCGCUGCAGGGGAUCUUUUUUUCUUUCGGAGCGAAGUCCAUAUGGAUUGGACCAAUUGCAACAUUUGGUCAUGUGGGUCCCACGUCACAUCCACAUACAUAUUUCCCAUGAUUAACUAUUAUUAUUCACCACCCGUUGUAGUGGCUCAGCUGGGUAGGCGCUCCUUCUCCUGGUGAGAGGUCGAGCGUUUGAAGCCCCUGCGAAGCAGGGAGGCUGGCAGAGACACUAAGUGACUUACCUGGUGGCACGUGUGUGGUGGCUAGCACGUGUCGCCCAGGAGGUUUACGGCGCACUGUCGGCGUAAGCUGGUUCCUCCUGUCCAAAAAAAAAAAAAAAAAAAAAAAAAAAAACUAUUAUAAUUCUAUUUGCUUUACAAAAACGGUUCUAGGAAAGGACAUUUUUAGGCAAAUCCACUCAGAGGAUGGGCAAAUCUCUCAGGGAAAAGGUUAGCAUAACUGUCCUUUGGAAAGUGACGGUCUCAGGGUCAAAGGGAAGCCAUAAACAUAUUUCGAGGAAACCGGGAGACUUCUUCAACCGGUUCCAAUAUUUGACCGUAUGUUUCCUAUUUUUCUUCUCUUUUUACUUUAAAGUUUCCUUUUUACAAGCUCAAUUAAGAGACAAAAUCACAAAAAGACCCACGGAAUCAAUUUUUUUUAAUAUAAAGAAAUAAAACAAUAAAAUAGUUACUGUAAUAUGAAUCAUGUUCCAUGGUGUCAUGACACUUUCAUCACUAUCAUCUUCGUUUGCAUUGUUCAUCUCAUCUUCAUCACUACCAUUAUUUUCAUUAGUGAAGUUACCUUUAGUUCAAACUCUAUCCAUCUGAAUGAAAUUAGAAGAAAAACUCAAGCAUUAUAUGUCUAAAAUAUAUAGAUUAAACUAAAAUUCAAUGACAAUGAAUACCCCUUGCUUUCUUGCAAUCAAGAAGCAUAAUUAACGAACCUUUAUCCAUAGUUAUGAUUAUUAUAUAAUAAAAAUGGGGAAAAUACUGAGAUAACCAUGCCAUUAGUUUUGAAUAGGAGCGGCCAUACCUCAGCCAUACAUUUUCCAUCUUCAAAAUUGGAGAAUUACUUAACAGAUUUCCCCUUUUUUAUUAUAUAGAAAUGCAUUUUCCAAAGUAGGUCAUGAUCAAAUUUGUUGAGGAAAUAUUCAAACAAGAUUCUGAUUAUCUAGAAUCAUUAAAGAAACAAAUCAAAGUAAUAAUAUUUAAACAAUAAGAAAUAUAUGAAGAACUCGGUUGCUACUUUUGAAAUAGUGGAUAUUAUUCUCUAGCCAAAGAAUAAGAUUAUAGUUCCCAAAUAAAAUUGUUGACACCUAAUUUUUUGCCCAAAUUAUUGCAUAUAGAUUAAUUAAUUAAAAAAAAGAUUACAAAAAAGUUUUUAAAAAAAAAAAGAAAAAAAAAAGGUUGAUUUAGGACGUGCGACCUAUGGAUGGAAAGAUAUUUGAGUGAAGUUUCACUCUCUAGUUGAAGGUUUUGGCUAAUUUUGGCCGAAGGGUUGUGAAAAUCUCACUUUUCUCUCAAAAGGUUGAUCUGGAAUUUCUGGGUUUGCUUUUCUGGAGUUGCUUUUGAGUGCCUCUUUGGGGAACGGUUCCGAGCUCUCUCCUCUCUCCCUCGUCUCUUUUUUUUCAUCCCUUGAAAGACCUUGCUUCAGUGAUCUUAUCCCAUGAAUUGAGGGAUUUUUGGUCAGCUUUUUGCCCCCCUACCGAGCCUGCCAACUGAGCUAGUCCACCCACUCUCCUGACUUAGCCAAUUUUUUUUAAUUCUGCAGCUGUUGAGUGUGCGGGUUUUGCUGCGAUUUUCCGGUGCUGUCAGAAGCUUAUCCCUGGCCAAUUUUCGUCCACUUGCACUACUAUAUACGGUCUUCCAUCACGUGCAAAGAUCGGGCUAGUUGGGCAGCUGAGGAGGAUAUGGUGGGGCCACCAAAUUGCUUACUCAGCAACUCCGGUUUAAGACCAACUCGUGGACUGAGUUUUGGCUACUGAUUUGAGUGCUUUAAUCCACUAAUUUGGCUGCGUUUUUUGAUCAAUUAGAAAGCUCAUGUCUAGUAGUUUAAGAUCUUGACCAUUUUUCGCAAUUAUCUCCACCCAAUUUUGCAAGAGAGUCCCUCAAAGUUGGCCAUUUUCUUGCCCGAAAAUGUCAAAUUCAAUGCAAUUAGGUCCUUUUUGCCCGAUUCAAUUAAUUAGACCUGACCCAAGUUCAAUUUCAACUUAAUUGGGGGCUAAGAUGAUGAUUUAAGGGCCCGGGUGAAAUUUUGCAAAAUUUGCGAAUUAGUCCCUCAACUUUUGGAAAUUGCAUUUUUGCCCCAAUUUGCCAUUUUAAUUCGAAUUUGACCUCCUGGGCUUGGCUAGUCACAUUUAGAUCAUUGGCCACAACUUUUUUUUCUUUUUUUUUUUAAACUUUUUUUUAAUCUUUUUUUUAAUUAAUUAAUCUAUAUGCAAUAAUUUGGGCAAAAAAUUAAGUGUCAACAAAAAUAAAAUAACGAUAAAUAAAAAAUAGGCAUGUAAUUAUCCUAUAUAAUUUGAACUCCCGAUUAUUGUAUGAUUUUGUAAUCUAAAAAAGCAUAACUAUGGAUAAAGGUUCGUUAAUUCUACUUCUCGAUUGUAAGAAAGCAAGAGGUAUUCAUUAUCAUCGAAUUUUACUUUGUGUCUAUAUAUUUUAAACAUUUAACGCUUAAGUUUUUCUUCUAAUUUCGUUUAGAUGGAUGGACUUCAUAUUAAAAGUAACUUCACUAAUGAAAAUAAUGGUAGUGAUGAAGAUGAGAUGAACAAUGCAAACAAAGAUGAUAGUGAUGAAAGUGUCACGACACCAUGGAAUAUGAAGUUUUUUUUUUGUUUAUCUUUUAAAUUUAAUAGAUCUAUAUAAUGACAUUGACAAUUUCUCUUUAGUAAAUAAUGAUAAUAUGCUGCUUGUAAUUAUUCAUAUUGCAGUAGCUAUUUUAUUUUUUAUUUCUUCAUAUUAAAAAAAAAAAUUGAUUCCAUGGGUCCUCUUGUGAUUUUUUCUCUCAAUUGAGCUUGUAAAAAGGAAAAUUAAAAGUAAAAAGAGAAAAGAAAAAUAGGAAACAUACGGUCAUAAAUUGGAACCGGUUGAGGAAGUCUCCCGGUUUCCUCGAAAUAUGUUUAUGGCUUCCCUUUGACCGUGAGACCGUCACUUUGCAGAGGACGGUUAUGCUAGCCUUUUCCAAUCUCUUAGCCCGUUCGGUCACCAGCUCAUGAUCAAGUAUAUUGAGUGGUGGAUAAACCACUUGUCAAUUUGGCCUGAUCUAGUCGGAAGUUCCUUACCAAGAGUUUGACAGGAGUCUUUAGUCUCAGAGGAUGAAAUUCUUUUUGUCGAUUAGCACAUAAUUGUUCCUCUUUCUUAGAGAGCCGAUACUAAUCGUUGGAGGCUAAUCUUUGCUUUUAAGGUGAAACGCACAACGGUACACCUCAGCUAAGAUCCUUCUGCUUCUUUUGGGGGAACACCGUCUUGACAUAGUGCCAACAACCAAAAAUCUCAUAUGUACUAAAAUCUCUACGAAUAAUGUGGGGGACAAAGUCAUUUAUAAAACAUGAUAGGCUUGUAAAAUUACAUUUAUUUUAAUGUAACAUUGACUUAACCUAGUACAAUAAGUAGGUAACGACUUCUUCACUUGGACAAAAUUUAAAUAGUCUCACAUUUACAACUCAUUAGUCAUUCUCCUAAGUUGUAUCAUUUUCCCCCUUCUUACACACGAUUUGUGUUCCCUAACGCUAAUGAAUUUACUUUUUAUCUUAUACCGCCCCAGCUUCACCAGGAUACUUCUCAGAGAAAAGGUAGUGAACUGCUUUUGAUCAGUUAUUAUUCUUUUGUUAAUCAAUCUUUGAGCAAGAUGGGAAUGUCCUCCAGUUGGCUUACUAAAACUGAAAGUGUUGCCCUGACGAAAGGGACCCGCAAUGAGGAAAUCAAUAUGCAUAACCAAUUCAUCGAAGUGAUAUAUUAAUCUGACUUGGCGAUGGAAUUAGUCACUUUCGGAUUAAAUCUUUGUCUCGCAAAUAUUUUGUGUUUAGAGUUUACUAAUUAUAAUAGUUAUUAUGGAUCCAAGUGCUUCUCUAUUGGAGCUCAUAAUGGAUUCGAGCUCUUUUCGAUUAGAGCUUAUAAAUGCUUGCAACCAAGUGGAAGUAUUUGAGUUUCGCACGAUGGUUAUAACCCGUUUUGUGUGCCAUAGCGAGAAGUUAUAUAAUUGUCAUGAGCUAAUCGUGCACAUAUAACAUCAUAGCGUCACUAUUUGUGGUAAUUUCUUUUUCUUUUUCCUACAUGCAAUGUAUGCAUGAAAGAAGUGCAUCAAAUACUAAAUAUAAGACUUAAGCAAUAAAUCGGGAAUAUCUCGAAUAUAUGACAAAAAAAGAUUAUCAAAUAUAACAAAAAAACUGUACUAUUCUAAAUCUAUUGUCACGUCAGAUAAGCAAAGUCCGUACCCAAAUUGGCAUUGCAUGUAUUUAAUCCAUACAGACGAUCGGAGAAUUACGUGCGUUGCGUACACGCAAUACGAAUCCUCUGGCACAAAACUUUAUCCCCCAACCCUCUUCACUCUUCCCAUCUCUCUCUCCAUGUCUCUCCAUAUUUUCACCAUUUCUCUCCAUAUUUUCACCAUUUCUCUUACUCCUUUCAGCUUAAAAGAAUAGAACACAAGCCACUCGAAAAUAGGAACUUGCGGAACCAUGCCACAGCGGGACCCGUACGAGACCAACUGGAUCGUCGAAAUCAACGAGAGCCUCAAGUGCAUGCCCACCGACGAGCGACAGUACUGGAAGAAGCAGUCCAUCUACCAGGUCCCGACCUCCGUCCCCGACCUCAACCACAAUGCCUUCAACCCGCAGGCUGUCUCCUUCGGCCCCUACCACCACGGCAAGAUCCACCUCGGUCUGAGAAGCCUCUCAAUCCCUUCCUCGAGUCCCUGAGGGAAGUGGCGCGGGACCACGGGGAGAGCUACUACGUACUGGACCUGGAGUAGAAGGAGGUCGAACGAGAGGGCAUAGGGGACUGGUUCCUGAAGCUGAUGAUCCCUGAUGACUGCCUCAUGCUUGAGAUCCUGAGGACCGCGACACAGGAGGAGGACGACUAUGAGCUGGAUGACCCCAUAUUUCACACCCGCAGGAUGCUUUACAUCAUGCCAUACAUAUGGCCAGACAUGCUGAUGCUGGAGAACCAGCAGCCAGUGCUAGUGCUGGAUCGGCUAGUGGUUCUUAUUAUUUUUUUUUUCACGCUAGCACAAGCUGAGCUCCACUUAUUAUUAUUUUUUUUUUAAGUGUACAGGACAUUAAAAAAUUAGUGGUUCUUCUUGCUCCGUCGCUUCAUUAAAAGUGAUGGAGUCGUCAUUUUGGCAUUUCUCAAAAAAGAUAUCAUGUUGAACCGACACCCUGAAAAAUGGAAAUGAAAGCGAACGCACACACGGAAAUUUUUAAAAAAAAAAAAAAAAGGACAAGUACAUGUAUUGAAGAUAUCCAGCUUGAGGCCCCAAAGAAUGGAAAGAAGGAUCCAGGACCAAAAACAAUAGAGAAGAGAGAGAGAGAGAGAGAGAUGGGAUGAAUCUACCGAACUGAGAGAAACUGGGGAUGUCUCAUAAAAGACAUACUAAGGAUGGACGCUUUCUUUGGAUUUUCUUUCCUUCCUUUCGGGAAGAUAUCUUGCCUUCUUAUGUCAUGCCUUCUUGCCGUCGAGAAUGAUGGCAAGAAGGUUAGUGUUUUAGAUUUUGCUAUCAUGUUCACCUAACAGUACAUCUUGUUGAUGACAAAUGGACCUCACAUGGGAUCCAUCGAAUGCUCCAAUCCUGUCGGACGCAUGGUUCAAGAUCAACCGAGAAUUUAAUUACUAUUAUCGGAAAUUUCUUCUUUUUCCUUUUACUCAAGUACUAUCGAUACGACAACAAUCUCACAUUCAAACGCAGUGACUUCACACCAACAACUCAGGAUGACGAAUACAUCAGCAAGCUCAUCCUCAAUUACUGCUCCGCUAGCAAGGACACCGCAAAUAAAGGCAAACGCCUGCAUGUCCUGGACGUUGUCAGGAAGAGCCUACUUCUCCAUGAGAAGCCGAAGCUGGACAAGGUGGGGUGCGAGGGCCUUCUGUUAGUCUGGUCGGCCACUGAGCUCAUCAAGCAUGGGAUCUGGUUCAAGAAGAGCAAGACCGGCAGCCUCACGGACAUCUCCUUUGCUGGCGGGGUCCUGAGCUUCGCCGAGAUCGUGGUGGAAGAAGCAACUGAGUCCAUGUUCCUCAACCUCAUUGCAUUUGAGCGCUUCCACGUCAGGACCAGGAACGAGGUCACGUCCUACAUCUACUUCAUGGACUACAUCAUCGACAAUGAGUGUGACGUCGCACUUCUUUACAACUUGGGCAUAGUCCUGACUGUCCUGGGGGACGACAAGGAACCAUGGAGCUGUACCACUUGCUGGCCAAGUACACAACAAUUGAACCCAACAACAGUCUCAUUGCCGUCUGCAAUAAGCCCUGGAAUAAGUGGAGGGCUAAUUUCAUCGAGACCUAUUUCAGAGGUCCUUGGGCUUUAUGGUCUUUCAUGGCCGCCAUCUUCCUCUGCGCACUCCCUAUAAUUCAGACCAUAUAUUUCGUGCUCAGAACCCACUCUUUGCCUCUCUGUACAAUAAUUUUCCCUUUCCAGUCAUGUUCAUUUCCCACUUUAAAUAUACCGAAUGAUGGACAUUUGGCUGUUUAUUUAUCAUUAUCAUAUUAUAAUUCUGUUGUUUCAAACUUCUUCAUUUUUGUCCAAUCGUGUGAAGGAUGAUCAAGUUUUAGGCAAAUGGAAUCUUCCAACGCACCAAUGCUUGAUUAAAAUUUUAACGAGUUGCAGCAAAUUUAAGAGAACAACAAAGAUGGCCUUCAAAGACAUCUCUCUUCCCCAUCGGCUUCAAAUUUCAGAGUCAUCUAUAUAUUUUCCGGUCAUCAAGCAAUCAAUCAUUAACACAGAGAACAUACUUUCAUGACUGAGAAAAAAAUAUUUUGAAACUUCCAACAUCCUUCCUGAAAUAAAAAGAGCUAAAGAUAUUCAAUGUUCUAGACCACCAUUAUAGAAUCCUAGAUCGAAAUAAGUUGACAGCAAACUGCUAAUUAUGUUUAAAGAACGUUGAGAAUAUCCCUCCAAUUAGGGUAGGUUUCCUAAGUUGAAGGGUGUUGGAGAAAUCUUCUUGGAGUAUUUUGAAGCUGACAAAACGUUUCCAUCAGUCUAGUUUGAAAAUUUGCAGACUCUACUAUUUAAAGUCUGAAGACCUCCAGACUGCCAGACUCAAGAUUCAAAGUCUAUUCUCAUUGACGGUUUCCAAUCCGUCGAAGAAGGGCUAUUCAGGACUGGAUGUUUUGUUAAGGAUUUGACCUUAUUGACUAGAGAAGAUCUCUUGGCUGAAUAUGACAUAACGGAAUCCUUUAUUGACUCAAAGAUUGAGGAUUCGAUGAUUAGCGAAGUAUACUUGGAAGGUUCUACUUAUGGAAACCGAGAUCCUGAUUGUAUGGGCAAGCAAGAUUGAUGGGCUAUCGACAUGUUCCUUAAAUAGCUCGAAUAAUCUUCCUAAUUGAUUCUGUCCAACGGGAAGAUUGGAAAAAUUCCUUUGGUAAGUGCCAACGGGUAUGAUGGCAUAAAGGAGUAUAUAAGGAAAACGUUCCAGUUGUUCGAGUGUGUGCGCGAUAGAAGAAUUCCAAAGUCUGAAGCUCUUUGUUCUUAGUCAAUUCAUUUUCUGAGCGAAAUCUUGUACGCAAAAGAGAGUUCAUAUUCUUGAGAAACCUUGAGGAAGUGUGGUAGAGUAUCUACACUAUGGAAUCAAGGGAGAGCCUUGCUGUAACAACUCUUUUGUUCAUAGUGAAAUCUAGGCGGUGGGCUGUCAGUGCGGAAGAGUGGACGUAGGCUUGGAAUAAGCCAAACCACUAUAAUUUCUGUGUUCAUUUUCUCUUCCCUACUCUCUGCUUUACUUUGAUCAUAAUUCGCUUUGUUAAUGAAAAGAUAACUUCCUUUCUAUUGUCUGCUUAGUAUUGCUCUCUUAUCUCGAGAAAAUAUUUUUUACACCUAUUCACUCCCCUCUAGGUGCUUAUACUAGCUAUCUCAAUUGGUAUCAGAGCAUGUGUACUCACUUUGUUUGAAGUGUUUUACUUCAGAGUUAAAGAUUCAUGACUAGUAUGUUAGCUCCAGGGCUGGUAGAAGGGCAAAGCAAUACCAGACCGCCUUACUUUGAUAGAAAUGAAUACAACAUAUGGAAAAACAAGAUGAAGGUGUUCCUAAGAUUAAAGGAUCCUCUGGAAUGGGACGUUGUAGACAAAGGAAUCAUUCCUAAAGCUGCACCUGUCUCAGAGAGAGGAAAAGAAACUGUUGAGUCUAGUGAAAUGACUCGGGAAGAGAUAACCAAGAGACAAGCUCUUGAUGCAAAAGCAAUUUAUUCUUUAUAUUGUGCUUUGUCACCUACUGAAUAUAACUGAAUAUCUUCUUGUGUUACAGGGAAAGAAGUUUGGGAUAGAUUACAUAUCACCUAUUAAGGAAUCGAUCGAGUGAAAGAAACCAUAAUCAACAUUCUCCUCGGUCAAUACGAAGCCUUCAAAAUGAAAUCAGGAGAAUCUAUAACUGACAUGUUUAGUUGUUUUACAGAAAUCAUGAAUGGUCUUGAAAAUAAAGGUCAACCAAUUUCUGAUCCCAUGAAAGUAAACAAGCUACUGCGUGGACUCUCCAAGGAUUGGAAUCACAUAAAGACUUCAAUAAGGGAGACACAAAGAAUUAUGCCACUAUCUGUCGAUGAGUUGGUUGGGACUCUUCAGUCUUAUGAAGUGGAACGAAUUAAUGAAGACGAAGAUCCUAAAGGUAAAAAACCCAUUGCAUUAAAAUCCAAUGAUGAUUAUGAUGUUACAGAUUCUGAAGACAAUAUGGAUGAUGAGGAGCUUGCUCUCAUGAUAAGAAGAUUCAGAAAGCUGAACAGAAAAUGAAGAAGAUUCAAUCCAAAGAAACAAAGUUUUCAAAAGCAGCAGACUAAGUCUGUUGAGGAUGAUGAAUCAAAUAGAGAUAUAGUAUGCUUUGAAUGUAAGAAAAAGGGACACAUCAGACCCAACUGUUCUCUUCUAAGGAAGAAGAAAGGAAAAGCUGAAAAGUAUCGAAAGGCUCUUAAAGAAGAAACCUGGAGUGAUAUAGAAUGUGAAGAAAGUGAUGAUGAUUAUGCCAAUAUAUGUCUGAUGGCACAAUCGGAUUCAGAUUCAAACUCUGAGACAGACUCAGAUUCAGACAGUGAAUUUGAGGUGAGUAACUCUAAAAUCCCUAUUAAAGUUUCUAAAUACAUUGAUGAGUUGUGUUUUAGUCUUAAGACCUCUCUUAAAAGGAUUUCCUAACUUAAAAAGGAAAAUUCUACACUUAAACAACAGGAAAAUGUUUGGAAAGAAAAUGUCAAAUGUUUAGACAUGAAUGUUUCUACUCUUAAAGAAAGAGAAGACAAUCUUUCGAAAGAAAAUGUAUUUUUAAAAAAUGACAUAUCAAAUAUUUCCAAAAGAUUUUCAAUAGGAUCUGAGAAACUUGAGAAAAUUCUUUCAGCACAAAGACCUUAUUUCAAUAAAUCUGGUUUGAGAAUGACCGUGGAAACCAUUCAUUUAAUUGAUUUUCCUAAAGUGAAGGAAAGAAUUAAGCAAAAACCACAAGAGAUCCUUACAAAAAUCAUUUUAAAAAUGUCUUUGUAAAACUAGUAGGUCGCAAUACUCUCAGAUGUUCAAAGUGCAAUAGUUCAAAUUAUUUUGAGAAAGAAUGUCCUAUGGUUUGGAAAGCUGUUAAGAAAGUAUGGGCAAAAACCGCAUAUUAUACUAAUACCAAUGGACCCAAGAAAAUAUGGGUACCAAAGAAAGUUUGAGUCUCUUUUUUAAAUGCAGGUCACUAUCAAGAAGAAGGUAAAAUGGUAUCUGGAUAGUGGAUGCUCAAGACAUAUGAUAGGAGAUUCAAAUUGCUUCAUAAAGCUCAUUCAAGUAAAUAGUGGAAAAGUCUCAUUUGAAGGAAACAGCAAAGGAAGAAUUGUGGGAUUCGGAACUGUAAAGAUUGGAAACCUCACAAUCAGCAAUGUUUCCUUAGUGGAAGGACUCAACUACAAUCUGCUCAAUAUCAGUCAGCUGUGCGAUACCGGUUUCAAAAUCAACUUUCAAGAAUGAAUAUGUUCAGGAACCAGUAAAGAUUCUACUCAGUCAUUCAUGGGUCGAAGACAUGGAAAUAUCUACCUCUUGGACGUGAAACCAGAUGAAUCGCAAUGUCUAAUCUCAAUUCAAGACGAAGUGAACUUGUGGCACAGAAAACUUUGGCACAUCAAUAUGAAGCAAAUAGCCAAAAUUUCAACAAAGAAGCCAGUUCGUGGUCUACCCAAUCUGUCAUACCAAAAGUCUGAUCUAUGUACACCAUGUGUAUUGGGAAAGCAGGUAAGAAAUUCCUUUAAACCAAUAAAUUAAGUUUCCACUAUUCGUGUACUGCAGCUUAUGCAUAUGGAUCUUUUUGGACCAACUAGAACUCAGAGCAUUGGAGGUAAGAAAUAUUGCCUAGUAAUUGUGGAUGACUACUCACGAUUUACUUGGGUAUAUUUCCUAACAAGUAAAUCUGAAACAUUUUCUUACUUUAAAAAGUUUGCUAAAAAGAUUCGAAAUGAAAAGGGUAUGUUAUUUCAAGUAUAAGAACAGACUAUAGAGGUGAAUUUGAAAAUCAAGAUUUUACAAAAUUAUGUGAUGAAUCUGGUUUUCAGCAUGUGUUCUCCUCUCCAUAUACUCCAGAGCAAAACGGAGUUGUGGAAAGAAAGAAUAGGUCGCUUCAAGAAAUGGUUAGAACUCUUUUAAUUGAAAGUAACAUCUCUUCACGUUUUUGGGCUGAAACAGUUUCUACAGCAUGUUAUAUUAUUAAUAGAGUUUUUCUAAGACUUAUUCUGGAAAAAAAAACCCCCUAUGAGUUAUUCAAAGAAAAGAAGUAUAUUGUUUCAUAUUUUCAUGUGUUUGGAUGUAAAUGCUUUAUAUUGAAAAAUGCAAAUGAUCGAGUUGGCAAGUUUGAAGAAAAAUCAGACGAAGGCAUCUUCCUUGGAUAUUCUACCUCAAGCAAAGCCUACAGAGUCUACAAUAAGAAGACUCAAUCUGUGGAGGAAUCAAUGAAUGUCAAAUUCCAAGAUUCUAUGCAAAAUGAAUCUAUUCAGACUCAUCUUGAAGAAUCUGAACCUGCUCCAGACUCUACAAAGUCUAAAUCUUAAGAAGCAGCUCAGACUUCGAAAGACCAGCAUCAAAUGAUUGUUGAAGAUUCAAAUGAAGAAAGUGAUCAUCAACCUGACAAUUUAACCGGUAACUGGAAGCAUAAGUCCAGUCAUCCCAAAGAUCUCAUUAUAGGCGACAUUAAUGAAGGAAUUCGCACAAGAUCCAAAAGGCGCGAAGAGUCUAGUGUUGUGGCUCUUAUUUCUGAAAUAGAACCCAAAAGCAUAGAAGAAGCUUUAUCUGAUGAAAGUUGGAUUGAAGCUAUGCAAGAAGAACUAAGGCAAUUCAGUAUUAAUGAUGUUUGGGAAUUGACUCCUAAACCGAAAGGUAAAUCUAUUAUUGGAGCUAAAUGGGUUUUCAGGAACAAGAUGGACGAGAAAGGAAAUGUCGUAAGAAACAAAACAAGACUCGUGGCCAAGGGAUAUACGCAAGAAGAAGGGAUAGACUAUGAUGAGACUUACGCACCAGUAGCGAGGUUAGAAGCAAUUAGAUUAUUACUUGCUUUUGCUUGUUAUAAGAAUUUCAGGUUAUUCCAAAUGGACGUCAAGUGCUUUCCUAAAUGGGUUUAUCCAUGAGGAAGUCUAUGUAGAACAACCACCUGGGUUUGAAGACCCAAGGAAACCAGACUCAAUAUUCAGACUGAAAAAGGCCUUAUAUGGUUUAAAGCAAGCACCUCGAGCUUGGUACGACAGGCUGAGUAAAUUUUUAAUUCAAAAUGGUUUUGUCAAAGGUAAAGUAGACACUACUCUGUUUAUCAAAAAAGAAAGCAAAAGUUUUCUACUUGUUCAAAUAUAUGUUGAUAUUAUUUUUGGAUCCUCUAGUCAAAGUCUGUGCAAGAAAUUCUCUAAGUCUAUGCAGGAUGAAUUUGAAAUGAGCAUGAUGGGUGAACUAACCUUCUUUCUUGGACUUCAAGUGAAACAAUUGAAGGAAGGAACCUUUAUUCAUCAAGAAAAAUAUGCUAAUAAUCUUGUCAAAAAGUUUGGACUGGAAAAAUGUAAAAAGAGUGAUAUACCAAUGUCAAGUUCUUUGAAGAUAGACAAAGAUGAAGGAGGAAAUAAAGUUGACUAGAAGCUAUACAGGAGUAUCAUUGGUUCACUUCUUUAUCUUACUGCUUCUUGACCUGACAUUUUGUUUAGUGUUUGCAUUUGUGCUAGAUUUCAAGCAGACCCUAAAGAAUCUCAUCUAAGUGCUGCAAACCGUAUUAUUAAAUACAUUGCAUCAACUUCAAGCCUUGGUCUUUGGUAUCCUAAAAAGGGAGACUUUACUCUUCUUGGAUACUCAAACGCAGAUCUAGCCGGAUGCAGAGUUGAUAGAAAGAGUACCUCGGGUACCUGUCAACUACGUGGAAGCAGGACAGUGUCUUGGUUUUCAAGGAAGCAAAAUACAGUGGCUCUUUCUACAGCAGAAGCAGAAUUCAUGCACGGAGAUUAACUGUGACAACACCAGUGCAAUCAAUCUCACCAAGAAUCCAAUUCUUCACUCAAGAGCAAAGCAUAUAGAGAUUCGACGUCACUUCAUUAGAGAUCAUGUUCAGAAUGGAGAAGUUUUGAUUCAGUUUGUUGACUCAAAGAAGCAACUGGAUGAUAUAUUUACAAAGCCUUCGUUCGUUGCAGACUCAACAUCUUAAGGUUUGAAGAAGUAAAAGUCUAGAGACUCUCAGACUCAAACAAUCAAGAUCUUUGAUUGUAAGUUAUUUUAUUCUCUCUCAGAUUAAAUCUUGAAAAUGUACGAUCAUCUGUCCAUAAUUGAUUUUUGCUACUUUCAAUUUCCAUGAUUAGUGCAAUCUUUCUUUUUCGAAAAUGGAGUUAAUUUUUAAAUGGCAGUUAUCUAAUUUUUUGAAAAAAAAAGGCAGUUAUUUUUUAAAAGGGCAUCUUUUUACUUUCCAUUACGACGUUUUGUAUGCCUCUCUUCAACUGACCUAUAUACUGUCGGUUCCUCUUUGUUUAACUAAAAAAAAAACCCUAAAAAGCAUCGAUCUUCCACUUCUGUCUUCUUCUCUUGUUUAAUCUUCGAAAAGUUGUCAUCUUUCUUGGGAAAGUCAAGUUUGGAAUCUUUCAAAGACUGUGAAAGAUGUCGUCUCAAAGGAAGUCUUUGAGGAUUGCAAAUAGGGGACCGCAGCAAAUGCGUGAGGGGCCUACGCACUUUGAUCUCACCGAGGAAGAAGAGUUUCCUAGUCAGCAGCAGAGCCCACAACAUUCUCAGCAGCGUCCAUCUUCUCCAUCUAGACCACAAGAUUUUGCUCGUCGAGAAGAGGAAGAAAUAAUCAAAGAUGCAGAACCCAUAAGAACUCUUAAGCCCUCUUUUACCUACAAGCUUUAUCGUGCUUUGAAAAGAGGUGGAACUCUUUUGAACUACAUUGACGAAUUUUUGAAAGACAAAGGAUACAAAAAUGAAACCUUCUUUUUACGCACAAUGGAACGGUUAGGAAGUGCCCCUGCUGGGUCGGCAGAAGAGGCAAUGGCAAAUAUUCCAAUCGAUCCACGUGUUGGAGGGCUGAAUCAGCUAGAUGGGAAUGAUGAUGACAAGUUGUACGGUCAGUUUCAACCGAGAAUGGGUGUUGCAGCAAAAAUUAAGAGCAAAAGGACAGACUUGUUUCGAUCGGAGGAACACAAGCAUCUAUACUCUAAGUUGUUGAAGCGUGGGGUCAUAAACCCUAGAAGUGUGGAUUUUGAUUUCCUUAACGCGGUGAACGUUAAUUUGAGGGAAAAAUUCAGUAUUCUUCAACUUGAACAGUUCUGUUCUGAAUCUACAGAAGCCUAUGCUGAACUCACUGCAUACUUCUAUUCAAAUCUCAGUUUCUUAAAUGUGAAUAGAUUCUCUUUUAGUGUCCGAGAUCAGGACUAUGUGGUGGAUAUAGAUAUGUUGGCUGAUGUGAUUGGGGUUGAGAGAGGGAGAUAUCAACCUAUCAAUGUCUCUAUUGCUCGUACUAUGUUAGAACUUGUUAAGGAUAGAAGGACAGAGGAAAAGGUUUCCUACUCGAGGAUGAGUGCGUUCAACAUUCUACUUCACAAGAUUGUGAUCAAUUGCCUCAGACCAAAAUCUACUUCAAAGACUAAUGUUUCAAACUCAGAGGCAAAGCUGAUGUAUGCCAUCAAUGCCAGGAAAAAGUUCUCUCUUCCUCACACUAUUAUAUUCCACAUGUAUAGAGCAGUGGUGAAGGACAAGGGUCAACUUCCUUAUCCAACUCUUGUGACAAAGUUAUUCAGACAUUUGAAUGUUCAGCCUCCCUGGAUUCUAUGUGUUCGAACUUGUGAUCAAAUGGUAGUGGGACUGAAAAUGGUGUCUAAAAUGCGUCUGAAGGAACUCAACAAGGCGUUGGAGAAAUUCAAUGAGAAAACCCCUGUCAAAUCUCAUCAAAUCUCUUCGGCAGCAAAAAGAAAAGGGAAGGAGCCCAUGGUUGCUCCAUCCAAGAAAAGAAGAGCUCUCAUUGUUGAUGAUAAAGAAGAUGAGGAAGACAUCACCAUUACUGCAAUGGCAUUGAAGAACUUGAGUCAUUCUGUUCCAGAAUCAACGGAAUGACAAGAGAAAGACACAGAACAGAGGACUGGAGAAAGAGAAGAUUUGGAAGCAGAAGAGAAAGAAAUAGAGGAGAGAGAAGCUGAAGAAAGAGAUGCAGAGGAGGAAAGAAUUGAAGAAGAAGAAGAAGAAGAAGAAGAGGAAAGAGGAGAUCAAGAGGAAGGAGAGCAUGAGGAACACUCUUCUCCACCUGAAGGCAUGGAAACAGGGGGAGAUCGUGAGAAAAGAGGAAUGUCCUCAUAUCCUGCUACCAGUGAAGGAGUCAGCCGCUCUCCAGCAAAUCCAGAGGACAUCUAUGCCUCUCAAUUUCCUGAGGAGGGACAUGAUGUUUCAUCGCCCAAUCUGUGUGGCUAUGCUGAUUUGCCAUCGUCUGCCUUUACUCCAUCUGAUCGUGCAGAAGCCAGUACGCAGACUGAUAAUUCAGUAGAUUUUCGCAGAAUUCUUGAUGUUCUCUUAGAAAUGCGGGGUCAUAUAUAUGCUCUGAGAUGUGAAGUACAAAAUUUGCAUAAUGCAAGUCAAGCUUCUUCAGUUUCUUUGAAUGAUCAUAUCCAAGCAUUUGCUCUUUAGAUUCAAGCAAAUGCUAAGGGUGAAGAGUUGGCUCAACUGAAGGAAGAGUUGACAAAGCUGGAAGACAUUAUCCAGUCAAUGGGAGAUUUCCAGCUUGUUCGUGUUCUCAAGCAUUUUUUAUUUCAUCUCAACCUUUUUUAUGAUGACAAAAAGGGGGAGAAAUGUGAUUUGUACUUUGAACCUUGAACUUUUUUGAACUAGAACUUGAACUUUUGAUUUGUUCUUUGACUUGACUUUUGUGUCUGGCUGUGAACUGGAUUUUGGAUUUUGGAUUGACUGCUUAUAUUAAGUACUAUUGAUAUCUUAUGGAUGGCUUUACUCAUAUGCAAGACUAACUUAUUUUCUGUGGCUGCAGAUUCUAGUGUUAUUAAUAAGCCAUUUAUCUUUAUAAGAUAUCCAUAUUUGCUUGAAUAAUGUUUUGCAGGUCAAAGUUAUCCAAAUCUGUAGGAAAGUUUUGUCACCAUCAAAAAGGGGGAAAUUGUUGGAGAAAUCUUCCUGGAGUAUUUUGAAACUGACAAAAUGUUUCCAUUAGUCUAGUCUGAAGAUUUGCAAACUUUACUAUUUAAAGUCUAAAGACCUCCAGACUGCCAGACUCAAGACUCAAAGUCUAUUCUCAUUGACAGUUUCUAAUCCGUCGAAAAAGGGCUAUUCAGGACUGGAUGUUUCGUUAAGGAUUUGACCUUAUCGACUGGAGAAUAUCUCUUGGCUGGAUAUGACAUAAUGGAAUCCUUUAUUGAUUCAAAGAUUGAGGAUCUUAUGAUUGGCGAAGUAUACUUGGAAGGUUCUACUUAUGGAAACCAAGAUUCUGAUUGUAUGGGCAAGCAGGAUUGAUGGACUAUCGACAUGUUCCUUAAAUAGCUCGAAUGAUCUUCCUAAUUGAUUCUGUCCAACGGGAAGAUUGGAAGAAUUCCUUUGGUAAGUGCCAACGGUAUGAUGGCAUAAAUGAGUAUAUAAGGAAGACGUUCCAGUUGUUCGAGAGUGCGCGAUAGAAGAAUUCCAAAGUCUGAAACUCUUUGUUCUUAGUCAAUUCAUUUUCUGAGUGAAAUCUUGUACGCAAAAGAGAGUUCAUAUUCUUGAGAAACCUUGAGGAAGUGUGGUAGAGUAUCUACAUUAUGGAAUCAAGGGAGAGCCUUGCUGUAACAACUCUUUUGUUCAUAGUGAAAUCCAGCCGGUAAGCUGUCAGUGCGGAAGAGUGGACGUAGGCUUGGAAUAAGCCGAACCACUAUAAUUUCUGUGUUCAUUUUCUCUUCCCUACUCUCUGCUUUACUUUGAUCAUAAUUCGCUUUGUUAACGAAAAGAGAACUUCAUUUCUAUUGUCUGCUUAGUAUUGCUCUCUUAUCUCAAGAAAAUAUUUUUUUACACCUAUUAACUCCCCUCUAGGUACUUAUACUAGCUAUCUCAAAGGGUUUGAACAGUUGCUUGUCGUUGACACCUAAAUUUUGACGACCUAAUUUGAUAUUCAUUACAUAGAAAAAUUAGGAAUCGACACCACUCCAAAACAAAAAUAUUACUUAAAUUGCAUAUAGAUAUUAGAAGCAUUUUAAUUAAGCCCAAAUAAUAUUGCAUUGGAGUUAAUGGACUAAAGCAAGGGGGUUUUAAGCCUAACUGAAUUAUUUGAACUAAGUCUGAGAUAACGAAAUUCAAAUGAUUCAAGUACAAGCACAUCUUGAUAUUCAUAAUCAAAAUACAUGGGAGCUCCAAAAAGUAGUGGCAAUGAGAGGUCCGUCUAAAAUGUUUGUAAAAUAAAGGGGUGAGUUAAAGCUCAGUAAAUAAAAUCCUUAAGUCUAAAUUAAAAAAUUAUCUUACCACUCAACUUGGUAUUGACAAACAAUGUGAGUUCAAGAUAAGUACAAAAUAACCAUGUAUGACUAAUGUAGAAGUAAACGCACUAUCUUUCCAUCAUAAUAUGCUCAUGGAAACCAUUAGAAACAUUGCAUAAGGUUAUUCACUCAACUACAAACAAAUGGCAUAUUAUUUCAUGAUCUUAGAUAUUGUGUGUGUGUGUAUAUAUAUAUAUUUAUAUACUCCUACUUGUCACUAGCUAGGACCCAUUUCAUAGAGGAUGAAAUCAUACAUACCCAUUUGCCACACCUCUUAUCCCAUCCAUCAAAGGUGUCUUCUAUAUCAAUGGUGAUAAAUACACAACUGUACAUUUGCAUAAUGAUUGUCAUUUCAUCGUCACAUUAACUCAUGGGGGAUGAAAUCAUACAUACCCAUUUCACACACCUCUUAGCCCAUCCAUAAGGGGUGUCUUCUAUAUCGAUGAUAAUAAAUAUACAACCGCACAUGUGCGUGAUGAUUGCCAUUUAUUAACAUCAUACCAAAGGUUAUACAAGCCAUGUCAUCAUAGGACUUCAUAUCCUCUCAACCUUGUAGAACCAUCUCAAACAGUAGGAUAUUUAGCUAACUCCAAAGUCUCAUACACAUACUCAUACAAGAGAAUUCACUUUGUGGCGAGUGGGCCGAUACAAAGUUCUUUAUCAUGUGGCAUCAAUGACAUACAAAUCAUUAUAACAUAACAAUUACCACAUGCAUAUGAAUAAUUUGUCAUUUCUCAUUCAAUUAAUCAUUAACAAAUAAUUAUAUGCACUUCAACACACGUAUCCUCAUUCUUUUUCUUGCUAAGCCAUCAUCAUUUAAUCUGAAGCAAUAAGUACGUGAUCAGUAACUUAAAAAUCGAUACUUGCAAAUUGACGACUCAAAAUGAACACUUCAGAACCAACAACUUUGAAACUGAUGUCUUAAUCCACAAAUUGACAACCUUAGAACUAGACAAUUUUGGUUGAAAUCAACAAUUUGAAAUGGGCAACCUUGGUCGGAAGUCAACUUCUUCUAAAUUGACUGCUUGAAGUUUGACACAUAGAAAUGGAUAACUUGGAUAAUAGAUUAGUUACUUAACAAUCGGUGAGUUGAUCACGAAAUCGAUUUACCUAGAAAGUUGAUUGGAUUAUCAAAAUCGGCAAAAACACUAGAAUUGGUGAAUUAGUAAGAGAACUGACAAUUGGUCAAGAAUGGUGAUUUAUCAAAAACCAAUGACUUUCAAAAUUGAAAUUUUGCUCAGAAAUCAAUUGAAUGACCAAAACUGGUAAAAUGACUUGUCAAUUGACACUUAAUCAAAAUCAAAAUCUCGUGAAUAUUUUUUCAAGUCCAAAUUCCAAAUGUUUACACUUAUCUCACCCAAAAUACAGCCAAGGCUUUUGGGGAGUCGAUCACACACUUUCUUUGCCGAAAAGAGUUAUCAAUUUAUGUCAAGUAAACAUAAUAUUUCAAUAUGCCUUUAUCAAAUCUUGAUCGCACUCGGGAUUAACAUUAGAACUCUGUUAACAAUCAUCAAACAACCAAAUCAAAAGUAAUAAAUAUAUUGACCUAACUUAAGCGUUAGAGUUUCACUUACCUUGAACAAAGACUUGGACAACUCAAAGCCUUAAUCAACUUCAAGGUAAAAUAAACAAAAACAAAGAUUAAUAGUUCUCAAUCUUUUAACAAAACUAGUUUAAUAGAAGAGAAUAAAGCCCAAGAAUUCACCUUGUGAACUCUUGAAAGAAAAAAAAAACUCUUGAAAGAUGAAUUUUGAAGCAACAAUAACACAAGUAUAGAAUUUUUUUCUUUUACUCAAAAGAUUUGAAAGUGAUAAUAGAAGAGAAGAGUGACGGAUGAUCUUUCUCUCUAAGCAAGAACAAGUUGGGAUUCUUUUGAAGCUCAGUUAUUCCUACAAGGCUUCAUACAAUCAAGAGAGGAUGUACUUUGAAGACUUACAUGAGUUACGAAGGGAUAAAAAUGUUUAACUAAGGUUAAAAGCAGUGAUAACAUUGGAUUAAAAACACUAGGUUGAAAUUGAGCAAGAGCUGUUCAAAUUAGAAAGAGACAAAUGGCUCAAUUAUAUGAUUUCAAAGUAGACAUUGCAAUGGGUUACUAAGACAUUUAGUAUUUCAGUACAUAAAUAAGGAAAUCAGUGUCCAUUAUAAAGACUAGUCAGAAAAAAUAUUUUGAAUCCACUGAAACUUUUCGUGAAAGUUACCAAAUGCAGGGAGAAACUCAACUCAGUAGAUUUCUAACUUGCUACUUUAACAAUACGUAAUCUUGGAGUGUAUGAAUCUCCAACAAUAAUUAUUACGGUGAUACAUGUUUCAUAGCCAUUAUAUAUAAUCAACUGUAAAUGUUUAUUAAUUUGUUCUUAAUUGAAUUAUUUUCCUAAAACCACUAUAACGGAAAGUAUAUUUUGAAUGUUCCGAGUACUACAACAUUUUUUAAUCCAACUGGAAUUUUUCACAUCUUGUCCUACAUAUCAGUAAUUGAUGUAGGAAUUUCUUAAUGGCAUAUUCACUCUCUCUCUCUCUCUCUCUCUCUCUCUCUCUCUCUCUCUCUCUCUCUCUCUCUCUCUCAAAGUUUUUUUAUAUGUCAUCGGAUCUUAAACAUUUUUAUGGUGGCAUACAGAUAUUUUGAUAUUAAAUCUGCAUGGACAAGUAUAUUUCAGAGAAAAGAUUCCUUUUUUUUCUCUUAAAAGCUCACCAUAUGUUGAUGAUGGAAAGGUUUGAUUAUAUAAAUCAAGCAUAUUAGGGGACUUAAUUGCAUCGAAAAAAUUGAGAAGCGGAAUUGAUAAACUCUAUAAGUAAAAAGACUAAAUUAGUCAUUACGUAAUAUGAUUUUGGAAAACAGUGGGAGUUGAAUUUGUUAAAGCUCUUCGAGCACUUUUUUUGGUAAUUGAUGUUAUGUAGAUACAGAAGGAAAAAAGUGAAAAUAUCAAAGCGGACCAUCUGAUGGGCCUACAGAGUUUUCCGAGGUUUAACUUGUACUCUAGCAGCCCAACCCUUUUUAAGAACCAAAACUGGCUCGGGUUAUUGAGGUAAUCAGGAGGCACGUUUGGGCAAGCUCGUUUAAUUCUUUCGAAAUGACAUGAAUGCCUUGUCACGUACGAUGCUCCCCUUAAUAUCUUAAUAAAUCUCGUUGUUGAUCUAUACAAAUAAGGGAUAUGUCAAUGCUGAAACUCCAAGAGUAACACUAUAGGCAUAAAAGAUUUUACCUGUUUUGAAAUUCUCUGGCCUUUCUAAAAUCGUGGAAACUCUUUAUUGCAGCUCCUGAGAUCAAUCAUGGGUUAUUUAACCGAUUGCUAGAAGGGCGCAUAUAAUUCUCUGAUGAGAUAGCCACAUAACGGGCUCUCCCAAAUCUUAUCGACCUAACUUGAUUUCUCAUUUAUGGGAUAAGGAUCUCAUGAGUAUCAUAACUUUCCUACACUUAAGUACUAUAACUUGCAUGUCAUGACUUCUAUUAAUAUUCUAUCGAGUGUCAUACUUUUUAAUUAAUUGGUUGAGUGUCAUAAACAUUUUAAAAAAUUUCAUCACAAUCAUCUUGUCACAUCGGAUUUUCAAUUCUUGUAGUGAACAUCAAAAAAUUAUGAGAUUAUCACUUCCUCUAAACCCAAAAGCAACCUCGAAUUACAUUAUUAAUUGUUAGGAACAUCAUUCAGCUAUCAUAAGCCCCAAGAAAAUGGAAGCAUGACAUAUGACAACAAUUAUUAGAUGAGCUCAUCCUGUGCUCAGUAUCGAAAUGAUCCACAUGUCAAUUUUCAGUGGUUGGAAUUAAGGACUUCAUAAUCUGCCAGCUAUAGAAGGGUACGACCAUCUCCUGUAUGCUUGCGACUGAACUGCUCCUCAGAAUGGUAAAACAUGCCAGAGCCUUCCUACAAGAGCGAUUCUGAUGUUUCCGCUGAUAAUUAUCUCCUACCAAACAAUGUCGUUCUAAAUGAAAUUAAAGAAAUCUAUAAUGUUUGAUAUGUGAAAAUUACGUUCAAUUAAAUAGGGACACUUUAAAAGUUGAUUUUUCUCAUUUAUAUAUAUUAUAAGUACAUGCCAUUGGCAUGUAAUAUAUGAAUGAGAGACGUAUCAUUCUAAGUCGAGUUCAAUGCAGAUAUUCUGUCAUACUUCGAAUUGUGCACAAAUUCAAUGUGAUCUUUCGAGUAUACACUUCAUUUGAUCUUUUUAUAUAUGGGAAUAAAAGAUGACGAGAAAGAACAUAAAGAAGUACAGCAGAUGAGGGAGGGAGAGAGAGAGAGAGAUUUGUUGAAACAAAUCUGAAAAUUAAAAGGAGAAAAAAAAAUGGAGAAAAAAAAUUUUAAGAAAAAUUUAAAAGUUGUCAUACUUCAUUAUCUCCAAAUAUGUCUUAUUAAUUUCAGAAUUUGGACUAGAAUCACUUCCCUCUCGUUAAGUAGAUAACGAGUUGAAGAGAAAAAUCUAGUAACGAAUCAAAAGGAGACUCGACCCAAUUUAGGAUUUAAUAAAAGCUAGCUGGGGGCGGUUGAGGCAAUUAAGAGCAUAUAAAGAUAGGCUUGUCAGGUACUUUUAAAAUGACGUGAAUUCUUUAUCUAUUUAGUACCACAAAAUAUUAGGUGGUGUUAAUAACCAUGUCCACAGUGGCCGCACCACCAACCACAGCAAGCUCACGAUGGCCUUGCCCAAUUGUGAAUUGGAUUUGUUUUUUUUUUUUUCCCCUUGUAGAGUUUCUUUUUCUUUUUCUUUUUCUUUUGGGGGGGGGGGGGGGGGGGGGUUGUGGUUUCUCAUCUUGAAUUUCUUACUAAAGGGGUUUUGCUUGUUCUGGUUUUGAAUUGAUGUGCAUUUUGAUUACUUCCUUUGAUGUUGAUUCUCUCCCCAACAGCACGAAUAUUUACUUUAACUUAUAAAAUUGAAUCCGUCAUAGUAGUUUGAUUUUGAUUUGAGUUUUAAUAUAUCGUUUUGCUAGAAUCAAAUUUUCUCCAUAUGAAGCUGAUAAAAGCUUUUGAAUUUGACACAAGAUGAGUAUGACUUGUCUUGUGCAUCACCAGAAAUCGAUUUAUGAGAAAUUCUAUGAUUGCCAUGAGCUAAUUAAGCAUAUAUAUAUAUAUUAUUGAAAAAUCACUCUUUGUAAAAUAUUAUCCUUUUUUUUUUUGCUAUAUGAGAUGUACAUACGGAAGAAGGGCAUUUGAGCGUUUAAAAGGAGAUCUCAAGUAAGAAAUAUGGAUUAUCCCAAAAGUAAAACUUAUAGAUCUAUCAUCACAUCAAAUAUGUGAAGUGCGUACCAAAAACACAUUAAAUGCACUCAAUUCAAUAUGUAGAUGGUAACCAUGCAAUUCAAUUCCCACGUUUUUCACAGCACAUACCUAAACACUUUUUGUCAUCUUGAGUUUCUUACUAUAGGGGUUUUGCUUGUUCUAGUUUUGAAUUGGCGAGAAAAAUCUGACUUUUCUUAUGCAUUUUAGAAGGUUAUGGAAUUAAAAAGGGAGGUUUCGAUGUGAAUUUUGAUUUCUUCCUCUUCUGAUGGUGACUCUCUCCCCAACAACACGAAUAUUUACAUUAACUUAUAAAAUUGACUCCAUCGUACUAGUUUGAUUUUGAUUUGAAUUUUAAUAUAUCGUUUUGCUAGAAUCAAAUUUUCUCCAUAUGAAGCUGAUAAAAGCUUUUGAAUUUGACACAAGAUGAGUAUAACUUGUCCUGUGCACCACCAGAAAUCGAUUUAUGAGAAAUUCUAUGAUUGCCAUGAGCUAACUGAGCAUAUAUAUACUAUUGGAAAAUCACUCUUUGUGAAAUAUUAUCAUUUUAUUUAUUUUUGCUAUAUGAGAUGUAUAUACGGAAGAAGGGCGUUGAGUAUUAAAAAGGAGAUCUCAAGUAAGAAAUAUGGAUUAUCCCAAAAGUAAAACUUAUAGAUCUAUCAUCACGUCAAAUAUGUGAAGUGCGUACCAAAAACACAUUAAAUGCACUCAAUUCAAUAUGUAGAUGGUAACCAUGCAAUUCAAUUCCCACGUUUUUCACAGCACAUACCUAAACACUUUUUGUCAUCUUGAGUUUCUUACUAUAGGGGUUUUGCUUGUUCUAGUUUUGAAUUGGCGAGAAAAAUCUGACUUUUCUUAUGCAUUUUAGAAGGUUAUGGAAUUAAAAAGGGAGGUUUCGAUGUGAAUUUUGAUUUCUUCCUCUUCUGAUGGUGACUCUCUCCCCAACAACACGAAUAUUUACAUUAACUUAUAAAAUUGACUCCAUCGUACUAGUUUGAUUUUGAUUUGAAUUUUAAUAUAUCGUUUUGCUAGAAUCAAAUUUUCUCCAUAUGAAGCUGAUAAAAGCUUUUGAAUUUGACACAAGAUGAGUAUAACUUGUCCUGUGCACCACCAGAAAUCGAUUUAUGAGAAAUUCUAUGAUUGCCAUGAGCUAACUGAGCAUAUAUAUACUAUUGGAAAAUCACUCUUUGUGAAAUAUUAUCAUUUUAUUUAUUUUUGCUAUAUGAGAUGUACAUACGGAAGAAGGGCGUUGAGUAUUAAAAAGGAGAUCUCAAGUAAGAAAUUUGGAUUAUGCCAAAAGUAAAACUUAUAUAUCUAGCAUCACGUCAAAUAUGUGAAAUGUGUACUAAAAACACAGUAAAUGCACUCAAUUCAAUAUGUGGAUGGCAACCUUGCAAUUCAAUUCCCACGUUUUUCAUGGCACAUACCUAAACACUUUUUGUCUUUACCUGGCGCACAAACAAGCGACACACUCCUUACUUGGGCACCUCCCAAACACUCUUCCCCCAUUAAUUUGAUUGGUUUGAAUUAGUUGCCUUCGAUUAAGUCAACAUUUUUUACGAGAUUUUUGUGAAUAUAUUUAAGUACUUAUCGAUUGAAGUUUUUUGUAAUAUUAAAGCGAAAACUCAUUAAAUCUACUAGCAAAUCAACACGAAAUCACUAAUAAAUAAACGAAGAAUAAAAAAUAAAAAAUAAAACACUAGAUUUUUAUGUAGUUCAGUCUAAGUAUCGGUAUUUGCUCCACUGGAAGAGUCAAGAGCAAAUAGUAGUCUUGUGACUAAUCUAAAAAUUAUAGAGUAACAACCACUUACAAGCUCAAAUAUUUUUCAUACCUAAAUCACACACGAGCCCACAAAGUUCAUGAAUAACAUAACUUGAUCCUUCUUUCUUUCUUACUUGUUCGUCCUCGAAUGGAAGACUUUCUAUAUCUUUUCUGCAUCUUAAAAUCAUGAAAAAAUUUAAACCAUUUUCUUGAUACGGCCAACCAACGGUGGCGCCACUUGUACGGCCUUCAGAGAAGUCAAUCUCUUUUUUGAUCAAUCUUGGAUACUUACACAGUUGCCACUGCUCCAAAGAAAAUAAAAAGUAAAAUAACAACCUUAUCUUGUUCGAACUCCUAGGACAUGGCUCCAAUAGGUAUUCAGUUAAGAAUUCUGGUCCAUCUCACCCAUUUUGGAUUGGGUCUCACGCACUAGCUCAAAUUCGAGAUAUCAUUUAAAAGAGCUCAUAAAUUCUCAUAGUUAAUUAUGCUUAAGUGUUCAAAUCCCCACAUUUUCAUGGGGAUGGGGUGGGAACGUGUAAGGUUCAAGAGUGGAUUUCGACUCCCACGCCCUGCACGAGGCGCGACAAAAGUCUAAGAGUGAGUGUAGAGUAGGAAUAGAAUAGGACUGACAAAAAAAAAAAUUAUGCUUAAGUGAUUUGAAACUAAAGAAAUUAAAAAAAUAAAACCCACACUAAUAUUUAGUUUCAUAUAGAAACUUAACUUUGAUUUGAGUUCUAAUAUAUCUUUUUGUUUAAAUUAAUUUGAUUUUUAAAUUUCACACAAGAUGCUUACAACUUAUCUUAUGUGUCAUUUGAAGUUAAAUAUAUGAUAAACUAUAUAAUUGUCAUGAGCUAACCAUUCGGGGAUAUCACUAGAACAUUUUACUCAUUAUGAAAUUCUUUCCCCACAAGUGAAAUAUAUAUAUAUAUAUAUAUAUAUAUAUAUAUAUAUAUAUAUAUAUCAAGUACUAAAAAUGACAUCUCAAAUAAGAAAUUCCGCAUGUCCCAAACAUAGGAGGUACAAAUUAUUAUCAAAUGCCACAACAAAUAUCAAAUAUACGAAGUUUAUGCCUCAAUUAGCGUGCCCGCCGACAGGCAACAGUACUGGAAGAAUCCGUCCAUCUACAGGGUGCCCGCCUUCAUCACCAACCUCAACUGGAAGGCCUACCAGCCGCAGGUUGUCUCUUUCGGCCCCUACCACUAUGGUGAGGUCCACCUCGGCCAAAUGCAGGAACACAAGCACCGCGUGCUCCUCCACUUCCUCGAGCGGUCGGGGAAGACCCUCAAGCGCUUCCUUAGCUCCUUGAGAAAGGUGGCGCGGGACCUUGAGGAGAUGUACGACACGCUAGACCCGAAGUGGAUGGAGGGCGGAGGGGGCCGGUUCCUGGAGCUGAUGAUGAUGGACGGUUGCUUCAUGCUCGAGAUCAUGAGAACCACGAUAGAGGAGAAGCAUGGCUACUCGCCCAACGACCCUAUCUUCAGCACCUCCAGGCUGGCAUACUUAAAGCCGUACAUAAGACGAGACAUGCUGAUGCUGGAGAAUCAGCUGCCGAUGCUAGUGCUGUAUGAGCUGGUCGCCAUCGAGAGCGAUUACACGAUGGUUAGUUUCUUAGAUUUCGCUCCCUUGUUAGAGAGGUUAUUGCAUGCACGCAAACCGCCGUACUAUGUUCACCUAAUAGUACAUCUUGGUGAUCUCACAUCAACCUCACGUAGAAUCCACCAAAUUUAAUGCUCCAAAAAUGUUGGAUGUUCGAGAUCACUCAACAAUUUCAUUAUUAAAUCUAUCAAUAAGAGAAAAAAGGAAAAGGGAAAAUUCUACCAAAUGUCUCUUAACUAAUUAUAAAAAAUAUAUCAAGUAUUGCGCUAACUAAUAAAUCCUAACUAAUGAUGUUUGAUAUGUCAAAUAUUAAACAAAUAGGAAAAAAACUUUUAGCAAAUCUUCUCUAGUACUCCCUCUCAAGUAGGUGCAUGGAGGUCACAAAUGCCCCACGUGCUAACGAGAAAUGUAUACCAAUUUUGACUCAAUGUCUUGGUUAAAAUGUUUGCCAAUUACAGUCUAGUGGGUACGUGCUCAAUUUUAAUGGCCCUGGACUGUGUUCUCUAGAACAAAGUGGCCAUCAAUCCCAAUAUGCAUUAUUCAAUUGUGAAAUACCGGGUUUGCUGCAAUGUGUGAGGCGGCAUGGCUAUCGCAAUAAAGACCCAUCGGUUUGUCGUACAAUAAUUUAAGGGAGGCAAGUAAGUGUGUAACCAAAUCAAUUCACUAGUGGUAGUUGCCAUAUUCAACUUCAGCAGAAUAUCAAGAAACGGUGAUGUGCUUCUUGGUUCUCCAAGACACUGGACAACCACUGAGCAUGACAAAGUAACAAGUCAUCGAAUGCCGAGUGAUCGGGCAACUCGCCCAAUCAAAAUCACUAAAGGCAGCCAAGCGAAAUGAAGUCGAGAAUGGUAACAAAAUCUCUUGUCCUGGGUUUUUCUUGAGAUAUUUAAAAACUUGUGUAGCGGAAUUCCAAUGUACUCCUUCGGAUGUUGCAUCAACUGAAAACACUACGUGGACGAAAUAACAUAAUUUAGGUCGAGUGCUAUGAUAAAAAUUAACAAAGAUUUUGUAAAUCUCUAAUUUUUCCUUCAUCAAAUAGAUCCAAAUUGCUCGACUAUAAUUAUCGUCGGCACAAAUUUUACACAAGGCAUUGCUUAACGGAAAAGGAAAAGGGAAAAGGGAAAAUUUACCAAAUAUUAUUUAACUAAUUAUACGAGAAAUGUUAUGCUAACUUAUAAAUCCUUGCUAACGAUAACAGAUACACUGUAAGGAAAGUAAGUCUUUAGCCAAUCUUUUCUAAUAAUCACCUCUAUGGGAGACUUCUGUUUUUCCUUUUAAGCAAGUAGUAUCGACGCGACAACAAUCUUGUAUCCAAUGCUCUGACUUUACUGGAACAACACAGGACGACGAAUACGUCAACAAGCUCGUCCUCAAGUUCUGUUCCCCCAGCAUGCGCAUCACAAGGAUGGGCAUGGGCAAAUGCCUGCAUGUCGUGGACGUCUUCAGGAAGGGCCAGCUGACGGACACCGCGAAGGUCCGGUACGAGCCAGAACAUGUGGAGCUUGAGGCUGCUGCGGAGACUGAGCAGAUAGUCCGAUCGGCCACCGAGCUCAACGAGACCGGGAUCCAGUUCAAGAAGAGCCGGACCAACAGUCUCAAGGACAUCUCCUUUGCCAGAGGGGUCCUGAGCCUCCCCGUUAUCAAGGUGACUGACACCACCGAGUCCGUGUUCCUCAACCUCAUGACUUUCGAGCGCUUGCACAUCGAGGCUGGGAACGAGAUCACAGCCUACAUCACCUUCAUGGACAACAUCAUCAACAGUGAACAGGAUGUUGCGCUGCUUCAUGCCCAAGGCAUCAUCCAGAAUGGCGUUGGAAGUGACAAGGCAGUCGCCAAGCUAAUCAACUCUCUGUGCAAGGAAGUGCCGCUCACAUCCAACAAAAGCCUUGAUGUUGUGCAAAAGAACAUCAGUAAGUACUGCGCGAAGCGCUGGCACAAGUGGAGGGCUAAUCUCAACCAUACCUACUUCAAGAGUCCUUGGACUAUUUUGUCUCUCAUCGCCGCCUUCUUCCUCUUCGCGCUCACUGCAGUGCAGACAGUAUAUUCCGUGCUCAGCUACAAUUGAACCCUCCCGUUGCCUAAUAAUUUAUUUUUUCCAUUUUUAAGUUUUUCUCCUAAUGGCUGAUGCUUGAUGAUUAUCUCUCGAUUGGUUGUUGAUUGUUGUCGUGAAUGAUUUUCCUCCUAUUUCCAGUCGUGCUUAUUUCCCUCUCUAUAUGUUUCAAACGAUGGACAUUUGGCUGUUUAUAUAUCAUUAUCCGAUGAUGAUUCUCUUGUUUCAGUCUUCUUCAUUUUUGUCCAAUUUGGAUAGGUAUUCUGACGGAUGAUCAAGUUUUAGGCAAAUGAAAUCUUCCAUUAAAACAUUUUCUUCUUGAUUAAAUUUUGUUGAAGUUGUUCCAGAAAAACCAAGACUCUGCAAGUUUCUAGAUCUAUUUUAAGUAGUUAAAGUAUGUGGUUCUAGCUUAGUUGGUGGUAGUUAGAAGUAAUGGCUAAAAAUUUGUCCAACAUGAAAUAUAAAGCAAAUUUCUCUGUUUGUGACGGAGAUUCUUAGCAGAAGAGUCAAUUAGGAAGGACUAUAAAAAGGCUUCAUGCUCGUUCAUUCAUGUCCAGAUCGACUACAGCUCCACAAAUCCCUUGUACCAAACAUUUUGAUAAUACAAACAUCUCCAAAAGCUCCUUCCCUUGUUCCUUUGUUGAGUAAAUCCCACAGACAUACACACUUGCUCAUUAACACCAAAAGCUAACAGUGGUAUUAAAGACUCGUUCAGUUGCUAUUGGACAUGAGUCCUAUCUACCAAUAAGGUCGCAGAUGCGCUAAGUUAGAAGUCAUCAAUUGUGCAAAUGAUGGUUCAAGAGCAGACUCUACUCGAAGGAGUUUGAGAUUUGAAUUUCAAGUUUGAAAUAAGCCACCUUUCAAGUCUUUUGGCUAUCCUCAGAAUUGAAUUGGAAGUGCAGGUGAAGAUUAAGACGUUGCAAUCGUCAGACCUUGAAAUCUAGAAGAUUCUACAAGAAGACACAGAAAAGAGGAAAACGGAUAUUCAAGUAACUGAGGAUGUAAUAUUAAAGUUUUGUGGACGAUUGUGCGUUCCCAAUAAUGUGGAGCUUAGGGAAGAAAUCUUGUUGGAAGCCCAUCGUAGUGGUUAUAAUAUUCAUUUAGGCAGCACAAAGAUGUUUCAGAAUCUAUGCCAAUACUAUUGGUAGAACGGUAUAAAGGUAGAUAUCACCAAGCUUAUCGCCAAUUGUUUAAUGUGUCAGCAAGUGAAGGCACAACAUUGCAAGCUUGGCGAACUUUUGCAACCUCUGGAGAUUGCCAAAUGGAAAUGGAAACAUAUUACGAUAGAUUUUGUGAUAAGAUUGCCGAGAAGUCAGUGGGGUAACAAUUCCAUCUGGGUCACGGUUAAGAGGUUGACAAAGUUUGCACAAUUCAUCACCAUACGAAAGGACUUUGCCUUAGACAUAUAUGAUGAAUUGUACGUGCAAUAGAUAGUUUAUCUUCAUAGAGUACUAGUAAUGAUCACGUCAGAUCGAGAUCCUAAGUUUACGGUGGCUUUUUGGAAAAGUCUGCAAAAUGCCUUAGGAAUGAAGUUACAGUACGACACAGCCUAUCAUCUGCAUAUGAAUGGCCAAUCUAAAAGGACUAUUCAGACGCUCAAGGAUAUGCUGCGAGCUUGCGUAUUAAACUUUAAGGGAAAUUAGGAGAAACAACUUCAUCUGGUUGAGUUCACCUACAACAAUAGCCAUCAGCAGAGCAUCAAGAUGGCAACAUUUGAAGUGUUGUAUGACAAGGUUUGCAGAACUCCUAUCUGUUAGGACAAAGUUGAAGAACGCAAGGUUACGAGUCCUGAGUUAGUUCAGUAGUUAGUGGACGCCGUCAAAGUCAUUCAAGAAAGGCUUAGGAUAGCCCAAAGCCAUCAAAAGAGUUAUGCAGAUAAACGACAUAGGCUUUUAGAGUUUCAAGUAGGCAAACACGUUGUUCUCAAAGUGUCACCGAUGCCAGGAACUUCACGUUUUGGCAAAAAGGAAAAGCUAAGUCCAAGGUACGUUGGUCCCUUCGAGAUUUUGGAGCGAAUUGAGACUUUAGCUUAUCAUCUCACCUUGCCAUUGAGACUCGCUCAAGUAUAUGAUGUUUUUCACGUGUCGAUAUUGAAGAGGUAUGAACCUUAUCCAACCCACGUGCUAAAUUUUGAAAAAAUAGACUUGGAUGAAAGGGUAUCGUACAUGGAGAGGCCAAUUCGGAUAGUGGAUCAAAAGGAGCAAAUGCUAUGCAACAAGACGAUUCCCUUAGUCAAGGUGGUCUAGCAACACAGCAGAACGGAGGGAGUCAUGUGGGAAAGCGAAGAGAUGAUGAGGUAUUAGCAUCCCCACCUUUUUGAGGAAGUCUUGUAAUAUUUCAAAUUUCGAGGACAAAAUUUUUGUAAGAAGGAAAGAGUUGUGAUAUUCCGAAAUUUGACCAUUUUCGAAAUAUAUGAAGUUGUUAUUUCAUCAAUGCGCUGAAGGUUAAUUUACUUUGAACUGAUCAUUUAUGAAAUAACUAAUCUAUUAGAUGAGGCCGUAAAUAGUUAAAACACGAAAGAGUAGAAAAUUCAGUUAAAGAUCGACCACUCAAUCAUAAGGAUCGACAAUGGUCAAUAUUACACUGUUAUAAAUCAAUUAGCGAAUGGAUCAAUGGAAGUACGUAUACAGUUUGCGGGUGGUUCCACACAAUUACGAUACUCGCGUCAGACGACGAUAAACCGAUUUUCUAUUGAUCUUGUACUCAUGAUACAUAGUUGAACUCUCGUGAUUACAUGACAACCAAAGGUCAUCCACGAUUCGAAGUGAGGUACAAAGGUAGAUCGAAAAUUAUCGAUCACAAGUCAACUACGCAAAAACCUCUAAAAGCCAUCUGAUAUUUAUGUCGUACUAAAGUCGCAUUUGAUCGAUUUUAACCAUAAAAUUUAAUUCAAUUUUGGGAAUUGAACUUUUGAGGAUUUCCAAACCCAUACAUUGGACAUCCCCAAAAUUUUCGGCAAGUUCAAAAUUUUCAGAAAAAUAAUUAUAAUACAAAAAUUGGAAACCGGAAAGGGAACCAGGCCUAAGGGAAAAAUUAGAAAGUUUGGACAAAAAGUAAAUGAAAUGUCCAAAGAAAAAAGAAAUAAAGGAAAUGAGGAGAGGAUUUUACGGGAUUUUGUUGGAUUUAUCAAUGAUAAAAAUUUUUGGAAAAAUCUUGAGAAAUUUCCUCUCCCCCCCCCCCCCCCCCAUUUCCCCCUUGGACGGCUGAACCUCCUUCCUCCUCCUCUCUCUCUCAUUUUGCUUCUCCUUCUUCAUCUUCAUCUUCUUUAUUCUUCCUUGGGUGACCACCACCACCGCCCACAUCACCACCGUCCACCACUACCUCCAUCUCCACUGCCCAAGCCAAGCCCAAGCUUGGUCGUACGUUUUGAGGAGUUACCGCCGCCGCGCCAUCUUCGUUGUCACUUGUCCACGCCAUCACUGUUCCUCACGUUGUCGCUCACUGACCUCACCACCGCCACAAGCCACCACCAAACACUCCUCCCUCCUUAGCCAAGCCGUGGGUCUCAAGUGUCGAGCUACCACCAUUCGUGUCUCCACUCAAGCCAUGAGACCCGAGUUCUCGUCACCGUCGCACCGCCGUUGUCGCGAGCUCCCCGUCGCUAGAAAACUAGUGAGUUAAUUCAUAAUCCUUGAUUAGGAAGUUAAUUUCCGUAGAUUUAGUUUAGGGCUAAUGGUAGUAGUGGCCUUUAAUGAUGAUUUAGCCCUAACUAAGGUUAAUGAUGGAUUAGAUUAAGGUUAAUAAAGGUUACUCUUAACUAAGGAUGGUUAGUUUAAUUAAUCAUGUUCAGGUUAAUUAAGUGUGGUUAGUUUAAUUAAUUAUAAUUACCUAAAUUAAUAUUAAGUAUUUAAUUAAUUGUGAUUAGUCUAAUUAAAUGUAAUUAGUUUAAUUAAUUGCAAUCAAUAUUAGUUAAUCACUAUUAGACUAAUUAAAAACGAUUAGUAUUAAUUAAUAUAGUUAGUUUAAUUAACUGCAGUUCAUCGUAAUUAAUCAUGAUUAGUGUAAUUAAUAGCUAUUAGCUUAAUUAAUCGCAUUUAACGCUAAUUAAUCAUGAUAGUGGAAAUUAAUGAUGGAUUAGUCGUUAAGUAGAAUUUUACGCUUGUUUUACUGGAUGAAUAUGUGCUUAAUUCAGCUUGUCUAAGCUUUUUAUGCCAUGAUGUUGAUUGCCCAAAUCAUGAGUUUAAUGUUUAUUUGAAAAGAAAAUGACAAAUUUUGAGGUGUCGUGUUUGGACCUCAUGUUUUAUAUGUUAAAUGGGACAAUGGGAUUUUAAAAUAAAAGCGUGCAAAUUUUGGUGAGUUAAUUUUAAGUACAAGAGCACGUUCAAUUAUUUUACUGAAAUUUUAAAUGUAAAGAUUUUCAGAGGUUUGUUAUCUAAGUGCGAACUCUACGGUAGAUUAAAUUGGCUUGAAUCUUGGCAUGCUUGUGUGGUCAUUUAAUUGAACUCGUCGGUGUACUUGUGUGGUCACUUAAUUGAACUUGUCACCCAAUGGGAGUUUGAGGACAAUGCCUAAUGUUUAUUGGAUGCCCAACGGGGGUCUGGAUGCUGAGUUGCAGUUGAGGCCGGACCAAUGCUCAUUUAUGAAAUUCCAUCUAGGCGGGGAUUUUAGACGAUGCCGUUCCCGAUAGGGCAGGACGUUCCCCGAUCAUGCUAGAAGACCGUUAACUCAUGUGUUUGUGGCAUUGUGCUUGAUUAUGAGGUAAAACUAUGAGGCACGGUAUGGGACAAACCAGAACAGGUUUUACCUUAUAAUUGGGACCUGUGUAGAUGCAUGGUGCAUGAGAGUUAUGUGUUCUAGUUAUUAAUUAUACUUGUUGAAUGAUAAUGUCAUAUGUGAUGUACUAAUAUGCAGGAGUGUGCCAAGGCGAGACAUGAUUGUAUAUCGUUGUAUGUUUAGACUGCCUCCGAAACGAAUUUGCAUCCUAAUCAGGGCUUAGGCUGGUAAAUCGCUGAAAUUUAUAUCUUACCCCAUUAUUAUUAAUUAUUUUUCAGGCUCAUAGUAUGGAGAACCAUCAUAUUAGGUUCAAGGUCCCUAUGGAGAUGAAAAGUUGGCAUCUCAUUAGAGAAGGUUAAGUUAACUUUAGACCCCUACAGGUUUUUGUAAUGGUUUGUAAAAAUGAAACUUCCCGAGUUAAACAAACAUAUAAAACAAAGUAGCAUUUUGGAAGUGUCACUAUUGUACUGCUUUACUGUCCCUAUUCUUUACUGAUUGAAUGUUGUUUAUAUAAAUUGCUUCUGCAUGGGUUUUAAUUAAAAGAGAAAAAGGAUGGAUCGGCGACAUGUCUUGGAAUGUUGCACUUUAAUCGAUAGUUGAGGAACGUUCACGCACUCGGGAGUUCGAGGUUUGACAAUAGGAGUCUAGUUAAUGUGCAACUGGAAUAAGAUUACAACAACCAAAUAGGAUAAGUGUGCUGAGCUUUAAUCCAAUAAAUUCGGUUUAACAAAUCGAUCUCGUCCUCUAAUCAGAUUAGUUUCGUAUACUUGAUCGAAUUGUUUUUGUUUGUGGCUGAAACUCAUACUAUAAUUUGACAACAUACUAAAAGAAGAGUUUAUGACGCAACAAAGGCACGCAUCAUUAGACUUCAAUCUCUUCAAAAUGCUAAAAUAAACAAUUAUGAGACCCUCAAACAAUAAUGUGGAAGAUUAAGAGGACAAUUAAAUUACAUAAGGGCUUAAGGAGAUGAUACCAGGGUAGAAGAAAAAUUAUUUGUGACACUUAUUAGAGAGUAGAAUAUCAUUGUCGACUCUGUAGAAGAACUGAUCUCGUCCUCUAAUCAGAUUAGUUUCGUAUACUUGAUCGAAUUGUUUUUGUUUGUGGCUAAAACUCAUACUAUAAUUUGUCAACAUACUAAAAGAAGAGUUUAUGACGCAACAAAGGCACGCAUCAUUAGACUUCAAUCUCUUCAAAAUGCUAAAUAAACAAUUAUGAGACCCUCAAUCAAUAAUGUGGAAGAUUAAGAGGACAAUUAAAUUACAUAAGGGCUUAAGGAGAUGAUACCAGGGUAGAAGAAAAAUUAUUUGUGACACUUAUUAGAGAGUAGAAUAUCAUUGUCGACUCUGUAGAAGAACCGAUCUCGUCCUCUAAUCAGAUUAGUUUCGUAUACUUGAUCGAAUUGUUUUUGUUUGUGGCUGAAACUCAUACUAUAAUUUGUCAACAUACUAAUAGAAGAGUUUAUGACGCAACAAAGGCACGCAUCAUUAGACUUCAAUCUCUUCAAAAUGCUAAAUAAACAAUUAUGAGACCCUCAAACAAUAAUGUGGAAGAUUAAGAGGACAAUUAAAUUACAUAAGGGCUUAAGGAGAUGAUACCAGGGUAGAAGAAAAAUUAUUUGUGACACUUAUUAGAGAGUAGAAUAUCAUUGUCGACUCUGUAGAAGAAUUGAAGGAUUUAAAAACCAUGUUUGUGAGUGAAUUAAUUGACUCUUUAGGGGCGUAUAAAAAAAAAAACUAAUGCUACGAGAUGAAGAUUGUAGCCAAAACAGAGCACAAUAAAGCAUAUACACGAAUCUCACGAAAAAACUCUCUCUCAAGGAUUUUUUUAGUUCAAUCGUCAGUGAUCCUUCUCCAUCGCUCCUCAGAUGUUGUCACCACCAUCGAUUGACCACGUCCGUUGCUUCCAAGUCUUGUCCGCCGCGCCUCUCUUCUCCCUCCCUUCUUUAAUGUGAGUGUUCAAAGCUCCUUAUGCUUGCUCGGUCCUUCUUUGCCGGCACCAAUCACGCUUGAUGUUUUGCUUCGAACCACGAUAUCUUUACAACAUGAAGUACUCAAGAACAAGGCUACCCUUCAAACCAUGACAUCUGCUUCCAAAUUGUCGAACAAAGCUUGAAUGAGAGAGAGAGAACAAUAGAGGAAGAGAGAUAAAAUUGCUUUAAAGCGGCAGCAUUUUGUGAUUAAAGAACAACUCAUCAUCACAUGGAUUUCUUAAAAUGAAAAAAAUACUUAAGCAUUAACUUUUAGGGUCCAUUCAUUUCGUGAAAAAUAUCAUAUUUUUGGAAAAUAUUUUGUAGGAAGUCAUUUUUCAAGAAAAUAACUAUAUUUUUUGGUGUUCAAUUGAAACCUGAAAUUUAAGUGAAAAAUAUUUUUCAUUGUCCGUUAUCUAAUUUGAUUUUUUAAGAUAAAGUACCAAAAAAAACUAAAUUUCAAUAUUUUUAAUUGACCAAAAAAAUUUAAUUUUAAUUUAUAUAUAUUUAAAAAAAUUAAUUUUAAUUUUUUUAAAUCAAAUUUUUAUUUUUAUUUUUUAUUUUUUCUUUCUUUCUUUUUCUUUUCUUCCCUCCUUCUUCCUCCUCCUUCCUAUGCCACUGCAUGCCUCGACGUGGCCAACUACUCAGCGGCCAACCAAGACAUAAUCGCUAGAUCCAACAAGCUCGAGGCUCGGCCGAUCCAGGUGAGCCGUGAGCUUGCCGGCCAAUGGAUAGGGCUCGCCUGGAUUGGCUGAGCCUCAAGCUCGCCAGCCUCAACAGAGCUUGAGGUUACUUGGAUCGAGUGAGCCGCAAGCUCGCCAACCCAAUACAGGGAAGCCCAAGCUCUGCCAAGGCUAGCAAGCCCAUGGCUUGCCAAAUUCGAUGAGCUCGAGCUUUCCCUCACCGGAUCUGGCCUUGGGCAAGGCUGGAGUUGGCCUGUGGCCUGCAAUCGGCCAAGGAAAAAGAAAAGAAAAGGGAAGAAAAAGAAAAAUAAUUAAAAACUCAAUUUUAAAAAAGAAAUAAAGAAGAGGAAAAACAAAAAAUAAUUCAAAAUAAUUCAAAUAAAAAAAAAGGAGGAGGAGAAGGAAGAAGUGAGGGCUUAUAGGGAUGUGAGUUUUUCUUAGUUUAGAAGACUAUUUUCCUUUUAUGGAAAAUUUUUUCCUUAAGUAAUUCAUUUUCCAAGAAAGAAACAUUGAAAAAUUCGGAAAACGUUUUCUCAGAAGUUAUUUUAUAUAAAAUGAAUGGAGUCUUUAUGAAAAAGCCAUGUUAUAUUUUUUGUUGGAAUUUCUCGUCGAUUGGCACUUUAAGAUUUCGUUUUCUUUUUUUCUUUUUUUCUCUCGAUUCCACACUUAAGUGAACCGACAAAAUUUUUUAGAAAUGAAGUGAGUACCGUACAAAACUUUUAGCACUUUUAAUAUCUUAUGCCUCCAUAAUUUAGUUUGAUGCAAUUGUUCUCCCGCAAUAGAUUCAGGAAAAUCCGUGGGGGUUUACACCGUGGACAUACAAAGUAUCAAAACACAGACCACCCUCUUGUGAUUCUUGAACAAAACAAAGUACUUACAUAAAUUACUGUGGUGUUUACUCUUUCGUGAUGUGAUUCGUUUCUUUUUGCCUCCAUGUAUGGAACUAUUUUAUUAUCCUCCCUCUUUAGUCGUGCUCCAGGAAAGGCGGUCCACAGAAUUAACGUGGACCCCCAGAAAUGGUUGCAAACUCGAUUACUCCUAGAAGAUUAAGAUCUAAAGGGUUGUCUUAAUGACACAGAAUUAUGUACUGGGUCAAUUGAUGUGUUGUGCUUGUUUACGAGUAUAUACCCAGAAUCCUAAAAUGAGCCUUCUGGGCUUGUCCAAGAUGGGCUUUAUCCUUCAGCAUUUGCAACAAAAGGGCUCAACAAAAAGCCUUUUGAUCUUCCUUUCCUUGAGGAACGGUUGACCCUGACCAUGACCAACAAAAGGGCUCAACAGCUAAUGCCUAUGAUCGUGUACUAUAAAGCUGUCUUUGGUGGGAUUUUUUUGUCGAAUAAAAUAAUGGUCGAAUAAGAUAUUGAUGGGAUUUGUUAUAUGGUAUCUAUUCUUUCGUAAAUAUCCGGAUAUAACAUAGAUAAUAAGAGAACUGCUCUAUUGACGAAGAAAUCUGCUGCUCUAAAGCACUGUUAACGAAAACUUCGCCUUCAUGCCGCACAGCGAAGACAUCCCCCAGAUCAGGGGCCCCGCGACUUCCGCGACAGUUCUCCGUGGAGUCCAAGAAGCAGUCGCGAGAGAGGAAAAAAUGAUAAAAGAUUGAAAAAAGGGAUCUUUCAGGGGAAGGUGGCUCGGUUCUUCUCCCUCGAUCCACCAUUGCCAUACGUCACUGCUACUUCAAAUUUCACCGAGCCUUGCCUUAUUGUCAUCACUACAACACCGUCAUAUUCCUUUUCCCCCACUUUUUUUAAAUGACUUUCAUCGACAAUGCCAAAAUUUGUCAACUCAACACCAAACAAGCCAGAAAGUCACGCAUACCUCCAUCCUCAUAUACCUUCAUUUCUUUCCCCUUUGUUUUCUCUCUAAUCCACUUUCUUUUUCCUUAUGUGUAUGUUGUCCUUAUGGAUAUAUUAUGUAUUCAUCAUCACUACAAUAUUCACAAUCUAUGUCUUUAUGCAGACAAAGCAUCUAAAAAAUCUCCCACAUCUAGACAACACAUGGUUACAGUUAUGAUGAAUGGUUUUGACUCAACCAAUAUUAAUUAAAAAAAAAAAAACUGGAUAUAUGUUGAUGGAUAAUCUAAAUGAAAGAAACCAGUGCGAUUAACUAUAUCAUUAGAUGUAGAUAAUCCCAUAUUUAUGUCGUUAAUCCACAAGGUUUUGGCUUUCUCCUUUAUAUGAUUACUUAAUAAAUAUUACAAUUUAUUUUGGGUUUGAUAAUAAUAGAACUCGACUAGUUGAAAUUUAUUUACUUAAAGUGGAUCCUCUCAAAAAGGUAAAAAAAAAAAAAAAAAUACAUCGCGACCAGAAAAAUGGCCAUGGUUAUAUUGGAAGCAAAAGACAGAUGUGAUUAUUUAGAUGUUGAUGCAAUCCGAAACCGAACAUUUCUCGCUUCUCCACCCGCCACAAAAAUAAAUGAAUAAUCAACAAAAAAAUUUUAAUAAAGAGAACAAAAUGAAAUGAGACCAUCUUUUUCUUUUUCUUCAAAUUAUGAUUUCACUGUUGCCGGAGCUAGAAAAUUCGACUUAACUGCAUGAAGAAUAAUUCAGUCGAUUAAAUUUACUGCUAGUCAAAUCAAACAGAAGAAACUAUCAUUAAAGUGAUUUAAUUUUAGUUGAGGAAGUUUUCUUCUUCUUCUUUUUCUUCUUUUCCGUUUGGACACGUGAUUAUGAAUUGUCAUUCUCAUCGACUCCACGGUGGUUUAGAGGGAAAAAGCACAUCAAGAAUGGAAUCCCCUCCUUACCAUGUGCGGUCGGAUGGAACCAAAUCUACAUUAGUUGGUCCGCCUGCAAUUUCCCCCUGUUAUAGGUGGUCGUCAGUGCGAAAUAUGAGACCACAAUACAAAAGAAAAUUAUAUUCAUCCAUGGCAGUUGCGAGGCAGUAUGCUUUUUGAGCACGUGGCUAAAAAUAAUUUAAUAUGAAUUGCCACAUCAUGUUAAACAACUCAAUUGAAAUGCAUUUGAAUCUUUAUUAGGCUUGUUUAUAUCAGCUGUCAAUAUUCUCUCUUAUUCGAUUCCUCGUACAAAUUGUCGGAUUUUCCAUUGUACAUGUGCAUCAUGAACAUAAAAUCCCAUAGAAAUGGAGAUGGGCCGCCACCACCCCCGAGACAACCGCGAGAAUCUCUCAUUUGUUUAGGAAGAAAGAAGACUAAGCAGCCCAGACAUGCGAAGGACUCGAAAAUAUGAUCUGCAUCCUUUGAGAAAGAGACAGAAAGUUGGUGCUCUUCUUCUUGUUUUGUAAGUCGUAUGAUACCGUUCUCUAGGCGUCAUAAACUCGCGUGCAUUAUGAUAUGUUUACUGAUCUGCAAUUAAGUACGAAUUGCAUUGGUUAGAUAAUUGAUCUUUGUACUUUGAGAAAGAGACGAAAUGGCGGUGCUUGUCUACUUUUUUGUGAGCUGUAUGACAAUCAAUCUCUAGCUGUCAUAAACUCGCGUGUAUUAUGAUAAAAUAAGACCGGUAGUUGACUUGAUAUUAUGGUCUUUGUCCUUUGAGAAAGAGAUCUAAAGGGAGUUGAAUUUGUGUUGUACCCACGGAAGCAAAAGCGUUUAUCCUAGAUUCAGUUAAAUAAUCUUCAGCCCUCUGUGCAUAAUCUUCAUUAGAUUUUAAUGAAUCACACUCCAUUUGAUUAAAUAAUUGUGAAAAACACAUCCUUAAUAUUUGAAAAGCAUAAGCUACCAUGACGUAUUUUAGUCAGUAUUAUCUAAGACCUUACCAGCCAUCUAAAUUUACACAUUUCACAGAUUAUCAUCAUAUUAAAGAAAUCUACCAAACUUUUGGAUAGUUACCAAAAUCAUUUGAAUGGUAUGUACUAAUGCAUAUCUGCAAUUACCAAUGUCAUAUAAAUAUCUAUCAAUCUUUUAUAAUCUUGAAGUCCUAAUGUCCGAUGUUGAUAAGCAUAAAUCAAAAUCAACGGCUAACUCUCCUACAAAAUACAUACAAACAUGAAACUUACUGCCCUAACUUGAACUUAUGAGCAUGUCUCAAUAGGUGAACUAUUACAUACUUCGUUUGAAUAUGUAUCAACUCAGUUUCAAAGCCGUGCAUGUUUGUUUGGCUUUAAGAGAAGGUAAAAACUUUUCUUUACUUUUCCGCCAUAAUUUAGAAUAUUGUUUAAAUUUCAAAAACUUAUGAAAAAAUAUAUGUGAGUCUACGUGCUGGCAUUUGAGUACUUUCAGGAGUUCAAGAUUUAAAAAGAAGUUAAAAUGCUUAAACUGUAAUUAUUUAAGUUAAGCAAAAAAAUAAAAAAAUAAAAAAAAUAAAAAGUUGUUCCGAACAUACUAGUGACUAAUGGAAACAUGUCAAUAUAGGGGAGGAGCAACUUGGUCUUUUCUAAAUAGGGUUUUGCUUAGAGGUGUGCGAAUAGUAUUGCAUAUAUAAAGCUUUUAAGGAGUUAUUGGGUCAACAGUGGAGAAGGAUCCAAUAUGAUAUAAAUAUAAGCACCUUUUUACAAAAUUUAACAACAAACACGCCAAUUUUAUAAAAGAAAUGAUGCAACAAACUUUGAUUAACUACUUGAGCUUGUGAGUCAUGUCUAAAUACUUAAGAAAGAUGUAUCACAUGAUUUACAACUCGAUUUCAGAAACUAGUUUUAUAUUGAAAUACCGUUGAGUGAGGACAGGAAACGUACAUGCACUGGCCUGUGUAAUUAAAGGAAACUUUUUUUUCCUCUCUUUUCUUUGGAAGGAAUAAAAAAUGACCAUCGGGAAUAAGUAUGUUUAGAUGUUAGGGUUUAUAUAUGGCCGUCAUGCCCUUGACAUCAAUAAUGCACAUUGGGAAGGUGAAAUCGGAGGGUUUCCCAAGCCACUAAAUCCGGGUCAAACAAAGAAGUGAUGGCUCCACACGUCUUUUUAUUUAAGCAAAAAGCCAUUCAUUAUUACAUUGAAAGCAAGAGGGAGGAGAUUCUAAUAAGCAUACCCUUUUCCGUUAUUGCACUCACUCUACAUGCACUUACUUGUAAAUUUCCUCUUCAAGGCUUCCUCAACAUGUUUCCAAAGUAUUGUUUUCUUGAUGCAUAUAAACUCUCUUCAUGGAUGGUUGAGCGGAUACUUGAGAUAAAAUAAAAGAGAGAACAUCUUUCUAUUUCUCUCCAAAUUAUCAUUUCACUGUUGCUGGAGCUAAAAAGUCGAUUUAACUGCAUAAAGAAUAAUUUAGUUGGAUAAAUUUACUGCUAGUCAAUCAAACAGAAGAAACUAUCAUUAAAAUGAUUCAGCUCAAAAAACAUUGUAUGACUGAUUUAAUUUUAGUUGAGGAAGUUUUCAUUUCUUUUGUUGGGGUAUGAAAAAGCACCACAAGAAUGGAAUCCCCUCCUUACCUUGUGUGGUCAGAUGGAUUAACUGACGCUGACAUGGAUAAUUUUUAAUAUUUUUUUUAUUUUUAUCGAUUUUUUAUUUUUUUCUUUUCUUCCUUCCUUCCUUCCUUCUUUGUUUCCCAUUGUGGCCAACAAGCUAUGGCCAAAGGGUCGUCGAAGCUUGCCGGCCACUAGGCGAGGGCCUCGGACCACAAAGCCCUCAUUGGUCGCUAGCAAGAGUCACGGCCCUCACUUGGCCUCGCUAGCUACAAACACAAGCAGCCUCACCCAUGGUUGGAAAGUACAUGGCCUCCUUUGCCUGUGGCCAGCGAGGCUAUUCUCACCCCCACAAACCCAAGGCACUCAUGUUCUUCAGUAGCGUAGAAGAAAAAUAGAACCAAACAAAAAGUGGAGGUAUAGAUUUUUUACCAUUAAUUAUGCCCAAGAGCAUAAGUCCAGUGAAGUAACACAAACCGACCACGGGCAAGGCCACCUUCACUUGCUGCUAAUGAGGCCAUCUGAGGCUAGCCUCGCCCAAAUCUAGGCUAAGCCGUCUUACCUGCAGCCCCCAAGCCUCGACCCUCACUGGCCAUAGCUCGCCGGCCAUAGUCGAAAACAAAAAAGGAAGGAAGGAAGCAAAGGAAAAGGAAAAUAAUAAUAAUAAAUUUGAAAAAAUAUUUAUUAUUAAAAAUUACCCAUGACAGCGCGACCGAACGGCUGGAGUCCAUGUCAACACUAGCCAACCAAUAUUGGUUGUAUACGCUGAAUUGGCACAAAUAUAAAAGGCUUAGAACUCAAUGAAAAAAAUGUUUAAAAUUAAAUUAGCACACUUACAAUAGAUUUAGAAUUUUUUUGAUAAUUUUUCCGCUCGUCACGUCAUUUUAAAUGAGUCAAUUGAAACGCAUUCGAAUCUUUCAUAGAUUUGUUGACAUCGGCUAUUAAUAUUCUUUAUCUUAUUCGAUUCCUCGUACAAAUUAUCGGAAUUCCAUUGUAUAUCUGCAUUGGGAACAUAAACCCCCGUGGAAAUGGAGACGGGCCACCACUACCCCCCAGACAACCUCGAGAAUCUCUCAUUUGUUUAGGAGGAAAAAGAUUGAAUAGUCCAAGCAUGAGAAAGCUAUGUGCUCUCAAUAAUAUGACCUUUGUCCUUUGAGAAAGAGACGGAAUGAUAGUGCUUGUCUUCUUAUUUUGUCGACUGUAUGACAUCGGUCUCUAGGCAUCAUAAACUCGGUGCACUGUGAUUAGCCUAUUGAUCUAUAAUUAAGUACGAAUUGGAUGGACCAUAACCAAUGAGGUUAAGGCUUCGGACAUGGAUUAUUGUGAUAAAAUAACACGGGUAGUUGACUUAAUAAUAUGGUCUUUCUCCUUUAAGAAAGUGACCUAAAGGGAUUGGAUUUGUGUUGCAUACACAUAAUCAAAACCGUUAUCCCAGAUUCAGAUAAGAAAUCUUCCUUUCUUUGUGUAUAAUCUCCAUUAGAUUUUAAUGAAUCACACGCCAUUUAAUCAACUGUAAUAGCGAAAAACACAACCUUUUGAAAGGCAUAAGUUACCAUGACAUAUUGUAGUCAAUAUUGAUUGAGAUCUUACUAACUCUCUAAUUAUACACAGUUCAAAGAUUAUCAUCAUAUUAAUGAAAUUUGCCACACUUUUGGAUAGUUACUAAAGUUAUUUGAAUGGUAUCUACUAAUGCAUAUCUGCAAUUACCAAGGUGAUAUAAAUUUCCAUCAUUCUUUUAUAAUCUUGAAGUCCUAAUGUACAAUGUCGAUUGAUAGUUUAUCAUUAUAAAUCGAAAUCAACAACUAAUUGUCCUGCAGAAUGCAUAUAAAAGUGAAACUUAUUGCCCUAACUUUAACUAAUGAACCUGUCAUGCAAAGGUGAAAUGUAACAUGCUUUGUUUGAACAUUUAUCGACUCGGUUUCAAAGCCGUGCAUGUUUGUUUUGAUUUAAAAUAAAGUAAAAAGUUUUCUUUACUUUUCCGCCAGAAUUUAUAAUAUUGUUUAAACUUCAAAAAAUUAUUAAAACAAUACAUGUAAGUUUAUACGUUAGUAUUUGAGUACUAUGCAAGUUUCAGAAGUUUAGGAUUUAAAAAGAAGUUAAAAUGCUUAAACUGUGAAAUUCAAAUUAAGCAAAAAAUUAAAAAAAUAAAAGUCGUUCCAGACACACUAAUGAUAAAGGAGACAUAUCAAUGUAGAUUUAGAACUUCUUAUUAGUUAUCCAGUACAAUACACAAAUUCAAAGUUAACCACCCAAAAUACUUAUAACCAACAAAUACUCAGACCACCCAAACCUUAAACAAGAUGGAAAAUAAGUUUGUAAGGAGGAGCAACUUGGUCUUUUUAAGCACCAUUUGCUUAGAGGUAUAUGAAUAGUAUUUGCAUAAAUAAAGAUUUUAAGGAGUUAUUGGGUCAACAGAAGAGAAUGAUCCAAUACGAUAUCAAUAUAAGCACCGUUUACAAAAUUGAACAACAAACACGCUGAUUUUAUAGAAGAAAUGAUGCAACAAACUUUGAUUAACUACUUGAGUUUGUGAGUCAUGUUUAAAUACUUAAUAAAGACGUGUCACAUGAAUUACAACUGAAUUUCACAAACCAGUUUUAUAUUUGAAAUACUAUUAAUUAAGGAAAGGAAACGGACAUGCACUGGCCUGUGUAAGGAAAGGAAACGUUUUUUUUUUCCCUCUUUUCUUUUGAAGGAAUGAAAAAAUGACUAUGGGGAAUAACUUUUUUUGUAUGUUAGGGUUUACAUAUGGCCGUCAUGCCCUUGACAUCAAUAAUGCACACUGGGGAGGUGAAAUCGGAGCGUUUCACAAACCACUAGAUCCGGGUCAAACGAGGAAGAAGCGUUGGCUCUAUUUGUCUUUUUAUUUAAGCAAAAAGCCAUUCAUUAUUACUUGAGAGCAAAGGGGGAGGAGAUGCUUAUAAUAUACCCUUUGUUAUUACACUCUACAUGCACUUACUUGUAAAUUUCCUCCUCGAAGCUUCCUCAUAAUGUCUGCAAAGUACUGUUUUCUUGAUGAAUAUAAACCCGAUGGAUUGUUUUUCUUUUUUUUUUGGUCGAUCACUUGAUGCAUGGUUGAGUGGAUAGUUGAGCCGCAACCAAGAUUAUGACAUAUUGGAGUGAUAAAAUUCAAACUAAGUAAAAAUAUGACAUUUAGCUCCAUUCCAAAUUUGUGGAACUAAUGGAACUUCUGAGAUAGCUAGUAUAAUCACCUAAAGGGGGGUGAAUAGGUGCACAAACAAUUUAUCGAGAUACGGAAGCGAUUCUUGGCAAACGAUAGAAAGGAAAUUCUCUAUUGAUUAACAAAAUAAAAUACGAUCAAGAUAAAGAGAGUAAGGAAGAGAAAAUUGAACACAGGAUUUAUAGUGGUUCGGCUUAAUCCAAGCCUACGUCCACUCUUCCGCACUGACAGCCCACCGGCUGGAUUUCACUAUGAUCAAAAGAGAAGUUACAGCACAGCUUUGCCUUGAUUCCACAGUGUAGAUGUUCUACCACACCUCCUCAAGGUUUCUCACAAAUAUAGACUCUCUUUUGUAUACAAGUAUUUGCUCAAAGUGAUUGUCUAAACAACAAGGAGCUUCAGACUUUGGAAUUCUUCUAUCGCGCACACCUCGAACAACUAAGAACGUCUUCCUUAUAUACUCCUUUAUGCCAUCAUACCCGUUGGCACUUACCAAAUGAAUUCCUCCAAUCUACCCAUUGGACGGAAUCAAUUAGGAAGAUUGUUUUAGCUAUUAAAGGAACGUGUCGAUAGCCCAUCAAUCCUGUUCGUCCAUACAAUCAGGAUCUCAGUUUCCAUAAGUAGAACCUUCCAAGAAUAUUUAGGCAAUCAUCGAAUCUUCAAUCAUCGAAUCAAUCUCGAUCAAUCAAAGGAUUCUGUUACAUCUUUUCCAGCCACGAGAUCUUCUCCAGUUGAUAAGGUUGAAUCCUUAACGAAACAUCCAGUUCUGGAUAACCUUUCUUCAACGGAUUAGAGACUGUCAAUGAGGAUAGACUUUGAGUCUUGAGUCUGGCUGUCCGGAGGUCUUCAGACUUUAAAUAUCAGAGUCUGCAAACCUUCAGACUAGACUGAUGGAAACGUUUUGUCAGCUUCAAAACACUUCAAGAAGAUUUCUCCAACAAUCUCCCCCUUUUUGAUGGUGACAAAACUUUCCUGCAGAUUUGGACAACUUUGACCUGUAAAACAUUUCUCAAACACAUAUGCAUAUCUUAAAUGGCUAAAUGAAUAACACUAGAAUCUGCAACCACAGAAAAUAGGUUAGUCUAGUAUACGAUAAAGCCUUCCAUAAGAUAUCAAUAGUAAUUAAUAGAAGCAGUCAAGUCCAAGUCUAGUUCAGUUCUCAUCUAGACACAAAACAAAGUCAAACAGAGUUCAAACAAACAAACAAACCACACGAUUAAAAGUUUAACAAUUGAAAGUUUGAUCAAAUCUUGCAUCUCUCCCCCUUUUUGUCAGCAUUAAAAAGGUUGAGAUGAAAAUAGAAUGAAGUCAAGAUUGCUUGGGAAUGCGGACAAGCUGGAAAUCUCCCAUAGACUGAACGAUGCCUUCCAGCCUUUUCAAGUCUUCCUUCAGAUGUGCAAUCUCCUCACCCUUGGCAUUGGCCUGAAUCUGAACAGAGAGGGCUUGGAUCUUAUCAUUCAAUGAACAUGAAGAAACUUGACCCGCAUUCUUCAAGUUUUGAACAUCGCAUCCCAAGGCAUAAAUUUGACAUUGCAUCUCCAAGAGAAUAUCCAUGAUUCUGCGAAAAUCUGCUGCAUUAUCAGUUUGAGUACUUGCUUCGGCCCGAUCUGAUGGAGUAAAUGCAGACGAUGGUAGAUCAGCAUAAUCUCGCAGGUUUGGCGAUGAAACUUCAUGACCUUCUUCUGGAAACUGAGAGGCAGAGACAUCCUCUGGGUCUGCAGGUGAGCGACUGACUCCUUCACUUGCAUCAGGAUAUGAAGAUUUCCUUCCUUUUUCUUGAUCUCCCCCUGUUUCCAUGCUUGCAGGUGGAAAAGAGUGUUCCUCAAGUUCUCCUUCUUCUCUUCUAUCUUCUUCAGGUAUUUCCUCAUCUGCUUCUUUUUCAGCUUCUCUUUCUUCUUUUUCCUUCUCCUCUACUUCCUUCUCCUCUGCUUCUUUCGUCAUUUGUUCCGAUUCUUUCUGUGAAACAAGACGACUUAAAUUCUUCAAAGCCAUUGCAGAGAUGGUAAUAUCUUCCUCAUCAUCUUCAUCCUCUACGAGGAGAGCUCUUCUUCUCUUGGAUGGAGUAACCAUGGGCUCCUUUCCUUUUCUUUUAGCUGCAGAAGAGAUUUGAUGAGUUUUGGCAGGAGUCUUCUCCUUGAAUUUCUCCAACUCCUUGCUCAGUUCCUUCAGACGCAUUUUGGUCACCAUUUUCAGUCCUACCACCAUAUGAUCGCAUGGUCGAACACAAAAGAUUUGCGGAGGCUGAAUAUUCAGAUGUCUGAAUAACUUCGUAACAAGACUUGGGUAAGGGAGCUGACCUCUGUCCUUCAUCAUUGCUCUAUACAUGUGAAACAUAACAGUGUGAGGGAGAGAAAACUUUUUCCCAAAGAGAAUGGCAUACAUCAGCUUUGCCUUUGAACUUGAAACAUCAGUUUUGAAAGUUGAUUUCAGUCGGAGGCAAUUGAUCACAAUCUUGUGAAGCAAGAUGUUGAAUGCACUCAUCCUUAAGUAGGUGAUCUUCUCAUCUGUUCUCUUGUCCUUCACCAGUUCCAGUGUGGCCCGAGCAAUGGAAACUUUGAUUGGUUGAUAUCUUCCCCUUUCAACUCCUAACACAUCUGCCAGCAUAUUCAUAUCCACAACAUAAUCUUGGUCUUUGACGCUGAAAGAGAAUCUAUUCGCAUCCAAAAAGCUAAGAUUUGAAUAGAAGUAUGCAGUUAAUCCAGCAUAGGCCUCUGUAGUGUCAGAGCAGAACUUUUCAAGUUGAAGAUAACUGAACUUUUCUCUUAAGUUCACAUUUACAGCAUCCAGAAAAUCAAAAUCCACACUCCUAGGGUUUAUUACCCCACGCUUCAGCAAUUUCGAGUACAGAUCCUUUUGUUCCUUUGAUCUGAACAAAUCUCCACUUUUUCCUUGAUUUUCAACUGCAAUACCCAUUUUCGGUUGAAAUUGGCUGUACAAUUUGUCAUCAUCAUUCCCAUCUAUAGGAUUCGGCCCCCAGUCACGAGGAUCACUUGGGAUAUUCGCAAGGGUUUCCUCAGCCACCCCUUUACGAGCAAUUCCCAAACUUUCCAUUUUUCGCAGAAAGAUAUAUUCGUUCUUAUAUCCUUUGUCUUUAAGAAAAUCAUCAACAUAGUUCAAAGGAGUACAAGUUCCUUUUAAGGCACGAUAUAGCUUGUAAAUAUAAGCGGGCUUUUGAACUCUUACAGGGUCUGCAUCCUCAAUGAUUUCUUCCUGUUGUUGAUGAUCAACGCCUUGAGGACUAGAUGGAGGAGAAUGACGCUGCUGAGAAUGUUGUGGGCUCGGUUGCUGUUCUGGAGACACUUCUUCUUCAGUAAGAUCGAAGUGCGUAGGCCCCUCACUCAUUCGCCGUGGUCCCCUGCUUGCGAUUCUCGAAGACUUUCUUGAAGAUGACAUCUUUCUCAAUUUUUGGAAGAUUCCUUGCUUAACUUUCCCAAGAAAGAUGACAACUUUUUUGAAGAUUAAACAGAGAAGACAAACGGGAAUGGAGGAUCGAUGCUUUCUAGGGUUUUUGAGAGUAAAGUGAAGAGGAAUCAACAGUGCACGAUCGGUUAAAAGGAGAAAUAACCGAACCGUUACAAAGGAAAUAAAAAGAUGCAUUUUCAAAAUAACUGUCUUUUUCCGUGAAAAUAGUCAUUUUAAAAAUAACUUCUUUUUGGAAAAGGAAACGAUGCAAAAAUUACGCCGAUUAAAGAUAGCAAUAAAACACGGUUACCAAUCGUACCUUUUUAAGAUAAGAUUUGAGAGAGAGAGAGAGAGACUAACUUACAGUCUGACGGUCGUACCAAGACUAACUCAAAGUCUUGUAUGACUGAGUUUGAAAGUCUUUAGACUUUGAUCUCCUCGUACCUUAAAAUGUUGAGUCUGGAACGGAUGGUUUCGAACUGAUUUUUCUCCAACGGCUUUGUGAAUAUAUCCGCCAGUUGGUUCUUUGAGUCAACAAAUUGAAUUGAAACAUCUCCAUUUUGAACAUAAUCUCUAAUAAAGUGAUGUUGAAUCUCUAUAUGCUUCGCUCUUGAGUGUAGAAUUGGAUUUUUGGUGAGGUUGAUAGCGCUGGUGUUGUCGCAAUUAAUCUCUGUGCAUGAGUCUUUAAUUCCAAAGUCUCUUAGCUAUUGUUUUAUCCAUAGAAUUUGCGAAUAGCAACUUCCAAGAACUACAUACUCUGAUUCUGUUGUUGAAAUAGCCACGGUGCUUUGUUUCCUUGAAAACCAAGACACUGUCCUGUUUCCAAGCAACUGGCAAGUUCCCGAAGUGCUUUUUCUAUCAACUCUGCAACCGACCAGAUCCGCGUCUGAAUAUCCCAUAAGAUUAAGGUCUCCCUUCUUAGGAUACCAAAGACCGAUGCUUGAAGUUGAUGAAACAUAUUUAAUAAUACGCUUCACAGCAUUCAAAUGAGAUUAUUUUGGAUCUGAUUGAAAUCUGGCACAGAUGCAAACACUAAACAAAAUGUCAGGUCUAGAAGCAGUAAGAUAAAGAAGAGAUCCGAUGAUACUCCUGUACAGCUUUUGAUCGACUUUCUUCCCUUCUUCAUCUUUGUCUAUCUUCAAGGAACUUGACAUUGGUAUGUCAGCCUUUUUGCAAUUGUCCAGACCAAACUUUUUGACAAGAUUAUUUGCAUACUUUUCUUGAUGAAUAAAAGUUCCUUCCUCCAAUUGUUUUAUUUGAAGUCCAAGAAAGAAGGUUAACUCACCCAUCAUGCUCAUUUCAAAUUCUUCCUGCAUAGACUUAGAAAAUUUCUUGCACAGACUUUCAUUAGAGGAUCCAAACAUAAUAUCAUCGACAUAUAUUUGAACAAGCAGAAAACUUUUGUUUUCUCUUUUAAUAAAAAGAGUAGUGUUCACUUUACCUUUAACAAAUCCGUUUUGAAUUAAAAACUUACUUAAUCUGUCAUACCAAGCUCGAGGUGCUUGCUUUAAGCCAUAUAAGGCCUUUUUGAGUCUGAAUACAGAGUCUGGUUUCCUUGGGUCUUCAAACCCUGGUGGUUGUUCCACAUAGACUUCCUCAUGGAUGAAUUCAUUUAGGAAAGCACUUUUGACGUCCAUUUGAAAUAACCUGAAAUUUUUAUAACAAGCAAAUGCAAGUAAUAAACGAAUUGCUUCUAACCUUGCUACCGGUGCAUAAGUCUCGUCAUAGUCGAUCACUUCUUCUUGUGUGUAUCCUUUGGCCACGAGUCUAGCCUUGUUUCUUACGACUUUACCUUUCUCGUCCAUCUUGUUCCUGAAAACCCUUUUAGCUCCAACAACUGAUUUACCUUUAGGUUUUGGAGUUAAUUCCCAGACAUCAUUAAUUUUGAAUUGUCUGAGUUCUUCUUGCAUAGCUUCAAUCCAGCUUUCAUCGGAUAAAGCUUCUUCUAUGCUCUUGGGUUCUAUUUCAAAAAUAAGUGCCACGGCACUAGACUCUUCUCGCCUUUUGGAUCUUGUGCGAAUUCCUUCAUAGAUGUCGCCAAUAAUAAGAUCUUUGGGAUGACUGGACUUAUGUUUCCAGUUGCUGGUUAAUUUAUCAUAUUGAUGAUCACUUCCUUCACUUGAAUCUUCAACAGUCACUUGUUGCUGAUCCUUCAAAGUCUGAAUUGCUUCUUGAGAUUUAGACUUUGUAGAGUCUAGAGCAGAUUCAGUCUCUUCAAGAUGAGUCUGAAUGAAUUCACUUUGUGUAGAAUCUUGAAAUUUGACAUUCAUUGAUUCUUCCACAGUUUGAGUCUUCUUGUUGUAGACUCUGUACGCUUUGCUUGUGGUUGAAUAUCCAAGGAAGAUGCCUUCAUCUGACUUUUCUUCAAACUUACCAACUCGAUCAUUUGCAUUUUUCAAUAUGAAACAUUUGCAUCCGAAUACAUGAAAAUACGAAACAAUGGGCUUCUUUUCUUUGAAAAGUUCAUAGGAGGUUUUUUCUAGAAUAGGUCUUAGAAAGACUCUAUUGAUAAUAUAACAUGAUGUUGAAACUGCUUCAGCCCAAAAACGUAAAGAGAUAUUACUUUCAAUUAAAAGAGUUCUAGCCAUUUCUUGAAGAGAUCUAUUAUUUCUUUCCACGACUCCGUUUUGCUCUGGAGUAUAUGGAGAGGAGAACAAAUGUUGAAAUCCAGAUUCAUCACAAAAUUUUGCAAAGUCUUGAUUUUCAAAUUCACCUCCAUGGUCUGUUUUUAAACUUGAAAUGACAUACCAUUUUUCAUUUUGAACCUUCUUAGCAAAUUUUUCAAAGUAAGAGAAAGUUUCAGACUUACUUGCUAAGAAAUAUACCCAAGUAAAUCGUGAGUAGUCAUCCACAAUUACUAGGCAAUAUUUCUUCCCUCCAAUGCUCUGCGUUCUUGUUGGUCCGAAGAGAUCCAUAUGCAAGAGCUGCAGUACACGGUUAGUGGAAACUUGAUUUAUUGGUUUAAAAGAAUUUCUUACCUGUUUUCCCAAUAUACAUGGUGUACAUAGAUCGGACUUUUGAUAUGAUAGAUUGGGUAGAUCACGAACAAGCUUCUUUGCUGAGAUUUUGGCUAUCUGCUUCAUGUUGAUAUGCCCAAGCUUUUUGUGCCAUAAGUUCGCUUCGUCUUGGAUUGAGAUUAGACAUUGCGAUUCAUCUGGUUUCACGUCCAAGAGGUAGAUAUUCCCAUGUCUUCGACCCAUGAAUGACUGAGUAGAGUCUUUACUGGUUCCUGAACAAAUACCCUCUUGAAAGUUGAUUCUAAAACCAGCAUCACAAAGCUGACUGAUACUAAGCAGAUUGUAAUUGAGCCCUUCAACUAAAGAAACAUUGAUUAUUGUGAGGUUCCCAAUUUUUACUGUUCCAAAUCCUACUAUUUUUCCUUUGCUGUUUCCUCCAAAUGAGACUUUUCCACCAUUCAUUUGGGUGAGCUUUAUGAAGUAAUUUGAAUCCCCUGUCAUGUGUCUCGAGCAUCCACUAUCCAGAUACCAUUUCACUUUUUUCUUGAUAGUGACCUGCAUUCAAAAAGAAACUCAAGCUUUCUUUGGUAUCCAUAUUUUCUUGGGUCUUUUUGAGUUAGUCUGAUAUAUGGUUUUUGCCUAGACUUUAUUGACAGGUCUCCACACCAUAGGACAUUCUUUCUCAAAAUGAUCUGUACUAUUGCAUUUUGAACAUCUAAGAGCAUUGCGGCCUACUGGUUUUACAAAGUUCCUUUCAAAAUGAUUUUUGUAAGCAUUUCUUAUGGGUCUUUGUUUGAUUCUUUCCUUUACUUUAGGAAAAUCAAUUAAAGGAAUGGUUUCAGCAGUCGUUCCCAAACCAGAUUUAUUGAAAUAAGGUCUUUGAACAUAAAGUAUUUUCUCCAGUUUUUCAGAACCUAGAGAAAAUCUUUUGGAAAUAUUUGAAAUAUCCUUUUUUAAGAAUGCAUUUUCUUUUAAAAGAUUAUUUUCACUUUCUUUGAGAGAAGAAACGUUCUGGUCUAAGCAUUUCACUUUUUCCUCCAAAGCAUUCUCAUGUUGUUUUAAAGCAGAAUUUUCUUUUUUGAGUUCGGAAAUUCUUUUAAGAGAAGUCUUAAGACUAAAACAUAAUUCAUCAAUGUAUUUUGAAACUUUAAUAGGGAUUUUGAAGUUACUUACCUCGAAUUCACUUUCUGAAUCUGAAUUAGUCUCGGAGUUUGAUUCUGAAUCCGAUUGUGCCAUUAGACAUAUGUUGGCAUAAUCAUCAUCACUAUCUUCACACUCCGUAUCACUUCAGGUUUCAACUUUGAGAGCUUUUCGAUAUUUUUCAGUUUUUCCUUUCUUCAUUUUCAAAAGAGGACAGUUGGGUCUGAUGUGUCCCUUUUUCUUGCAUUCAAAGCAGACUACAUCUUUGUUUGAUUCAUCAUCUUCAGCAGACUUUGUCUGUUGCUUCUGAAAACUUUGUUUCCUUGAAUUGAAUCUUCUUCCUUUUCUGUUUAACUUUCUGAAUCUUCUUAUCAUAAGAGCAAGUUCUUCAUCAUCCAUGUCGUCUUCAGAAUCUGUUGCAUCAGAAUCAUCAUUAGAUCUUAAUGCAAUAGAUUUCUUACCUUUAGGGUCUUCGUCUUCAUUGAUUCGUUCCACUUCAUAAGACUGAAGGGUCCCAACCAACUCAUCGACAGACAGUGGCAUGAUUCUUUGGGUCUCUCUGAUUGAUGUCUUUAUAUGAUUCCACUCUUUGGAGAGUCCACGCAGUAGCUUGUUCACUUUCAUGGGAUCAGAAAUUGGUUGGCCUUGAUUUUCAAGACCAUUCACGCUAUCUGUAAAACGACUAAACAUGUCAGUUAUAGAUUCUCCUAGUUUCAUUCUGAAGGCUUCGUAUUGACCGAGAAGAAUGUUGAUUCUUGUCUCUUUCACUCGAUCGGUUCCUUCAUAAGUAAUGUGUAAUCUAUCCCAAACUUCUUUGGCUGUAUCACAAGAAGAUAUUCUGUUAUAUUCAGUAGGUGAUAAAGCACAAUAUAAUGAAUAAAUUGCUUUUGCAUCAAGAGCUUGUCUCUUGAUUAUCUCUUCCUGAGUCAUUUCGCUAGACUCAACAGAGUCUUUUCCUCUUUCUGAGACAGGAGCAGCUUUGGGAACAAUUCCUUUUUCUACAACGUCCCAUUCCAGAUGAUCCUUUGAUCUUAAGAACGCCUUCAUCUUGUUUUUCCAUAUGUUGUAGUCCUUUCCAUCAAAAUAAGGUGGUAUGGUGUUGCUUUGCCCUUCUACCAGCCCUAGAGCCAACAUACUAGCCAUGGAUCUUUAACUCUGAAGUAAAAUACUUCAAACAAAGUGAGUACACAGGCUCUGAUACCAAUUGAGAUAGCUAGUAUAAUCACCUAGAGGGGGGUGAAUAGGUGCACAAACAAUUUAUUGAGAUAUGGAAGCGAUUCUUGGCAAACGAUAGAAAGGAAAUUCUCUCUUGAUUAACAAAAUAAAAUAUGAUCAAGAUAAAGAGAGUAAGGAAGAGAAAAUUGAACACAGGAUUUAUAGUGGUUCGGCUUAAUUCAAGCCUACGUCCACUCUUCCGCACUGACAGCCCACCGGCUGGAUUUCACUAUGAUCAAAAGAGAAGUUACAGCACAGCUUUGCCUUGAUUCCACAGUGUAGAUGUUCUACCACACCUCCUCAAGGUUUCUCACAAAUAUAGACUCUCUUUUUUAUACAAGUAUUCGCUCAAAGUGAUUGCCUAAACAACAAGGAGCUUCGGACUUUGGAAUUCUUAUAUCGCGCACACCUCGAACAACUAAGAACGUCUUCCUUAUAUACUCCUUUAUGCCAUCAUACCCGUUGGCACUUACCAAAGGAAUUCCUCCAAUCUACCCGUUGGACGGAAUCAAUUAGGAAGAUUGUUCGAGCUAUUAAAGGAACGUGUCGAUAGCCCAUCAAUCCUGUUCGCCCAUACAAUCAGGAUCUCGGUUUUCAUAAGUAGAACCUUCUAAGAAUAUUUAGGCAAUCAUCGAAUCUUCAAUCAUCGAAUCAAUCUCGAUCAAUCAAAGGAUUCCAUUACAUCUUUUCCAGCCACGAGAUCUUCUCCAGUUGAUAAGGUUGAAUCCUUAACGAAACAUCCAGUUCUGGAUAACCUUUCUUCAACGGAUUAGAGACUGUCAAUGAGGAUAGACUUUGAGUCUUGAGUCUGGCUGUCCGGAGGUCUUCAGACUUUAAAUAUUAGAGUCUGCAAACCUUCAGACUAGACUGAUGGAAACGUUUUGUCAGCUUCAAAACACUUCAAGAAGAUUUCUCCAACAACUUCAAGGCUUUGUUAAUUGAGCCUCUUGUUUUAGGUCUUUCUCAUUCUGUUUGCAUCCCUAAGAAAGAAAAUAGUGAACCACCACAUCGUUUUCCUCUUAUGGUCGGCCUAUGUGAUGGCUGAUUGGAUAGAAGCAUUCGCAAUCAAGCUCAUCUCUCACAACCGAGGCAAUUCAUGCACUUAUGCAGCUGAAGUAGACGACACACUUCGGGCUUUUUGAGCCUCAUUUCUCUUAUUACAUUUUGGUGAUUCAGACGCCACUACCUUCUCUAUUAGGGGUAGUUUUCUUUGGCGACAGCUCUCGCUUAGUCUCAUCUUCCAAAUCAAUGCCUCUAUCUAUGUUUUUGUGUAGAUAUUUCCUAACAACAAGUGUUGUUAAUCUCAACGAUGCUGGUGAAGUUGUGAGCUUAAUUGAAUCUUUAAAUAAGCCUGCAAGCCUCAUGAAGUAUGGCCAAGCCCUAAUUCCCUCAUGAUGGCCAAAAAUUGCAUGUGCUAUGCACAUGGAUAUUCUAAACUUGGAAAGAUUUCAUUAUUUAAUCAAAUUUGGGGGAAAUAAGAAUGUUAUCCUUGAGAAUUUUAAUUGCAUGAAACUAAGAAGUGAAGAUACAUUCUCUUGGGUUUAGGCAGGUAAGGAAAGUGAUAUCUUGAAAAAAAAGGCUAAACGUAAACCUAUAUAAACACAUUGGUUCACGAGAAGGGGCUUGGACACAAUACACGCAAUAAUGUCCUGUGGUUGGUCUAUUUGGGAUUAAAAUAGAAUGUAUUUCUCCGGUAAUAGGGAUUUGAAAUGGGUCAUCAAUAUUUGUAAUUACAACUUGAGGAUUUAGAUGCAUGUCAUGUAAUUCAUUUUGAAAGAGUGAAUUAUAAGAAUCGCCUGAUAUAAAAAGUCACUGCACAUAAGAAUUCGGCCAUUUUAAAUAAGAGUAUCGAGUCCAAGUCAUGUUAGGGAUACUAAUACUGACAUGCAAAAUUUAUCCACGAGAUGAUGCAUUAAUUUUUCUAUGAAAUUAGUCGUUUGUGGAUCAAAUCAACAUUUUUUCUUGAGAUAUUUAUAUUUACUGUUUACUAAUUAUAGCAAUUAUGGUAGAUUCAAGUACUUCUUGAUUGGAGCUUAUAAGCUGUUAUAAUGGACCGAGACCCUUGGAGUGCCAAAAGUUGGCACAAAGGAACAUUUAAGUGCCAAAAGUUAUGAAACUGAUACUUAAGUGCCAAAAUCAUAGCAAAAUGGAUCACUUAAGUGCCAAUUCGGUCAAAAUGUUGAUGUAGCGAUUUUCCGGCGAAGCAAGUACAAAAUGGUAUCAUUUUGGUGUUAAUGUGAUAAAAAAAUUAAUAUAAAAAUUAAUUAAAUUAAAUUUAAAAUUAAAUUUUUUAAAAUAUUUAAAAAUAUAGAUAACUUUAAAAAAAAAAAAAAACUUCCCGCUGCUGCCAGGAAGGGCUGGCGAUGAAGGGGGAAGAUCGGCCAAGGUGGCCAGGCCAUGGCCAGGGGCCGGCGACCCUAGCUGACCGGCGACGAGGGCCCGCGAGCCCUCACCCCGAUAUGGGGGGAGGAUCGCGGCCCUCACCCAAAUCCGACAAGGGUCAAUGGCCCUCGCCCGGCCGGGCCAAGGGCCGCCGCCCGCUGGGGGUCGCCUCAGCGAGCAGCAGCCCUUGGCCCAGUUGGGCGAGGGCCGUAAGCCCUCACCCCAGAUCGCCCAACCCUCACCAAAUCUGAGCGAGGGCUCACGACCCUCGCUGCCGGUCGGCGGGGGUCGCCGACCCCUAGCCAAGGCCCAGCAACCCCGGCCGACCUUCCCCCCUCCGUCGCCGACCCUUCCCAACGGUGGCAGGGAGGCAGAGGCAAUAAGGGCUCAGCCCUCAAUCGCCUCCCUCUUCUUUUUUUUAAAUAUAUUUUUUAAUUUUUUAAUUUUUUAAUUUUAAUUUUUAAAUGUUUUAAAAAUUUUAGUUUUAAAUUUAAUUUAAUUAAUUUUUAUAUUAAUUUUUCGCCGGAAAUUGCGCAUGUCAACAUUUUGGCCGGAUUUUGCCAAAUUGAUACUUAAGUGAUCCAUUUUGCUUCGAUUUUGGUACUGUGUCACUUUCAUAACUUUUGACAUUUUAGUAUUCCUCUGUACUAACUUUUGGCACUUAAAGCAUAUUUUUGCCCGGAAAAAACCUAUCCCUUAAGAACCACGAAAAGCCUUCAGUCUGUUAUUAGGAGUACCUUAUUAAGGAAAGAAACUGCACACGCUGCACCAUCGAAUCAAAGCAAAUAUGGCAAGUUUUUCACCUCCCCAACAUCAUUUGGUUGGGAAAUCACAUGCCCCAAUAUCAGAUCAAAAUAUCAUCAACAGGUUCAACAACCUUUCCUAAUGUCAAAGGGCUGCAAAAUCCGUAGAUUGAAAAUAUAAGCAGCCUGGUCGACUUGAAGGGAUCCACAGAACAUGCAAGUUUAUUGAUACGCAUACUUGAUUUCGCGAAGGAACUCAUGGUAAAACUUCCCGGAACUUCACUUAUCAGAUUCUAUGCAACGUCCUAUAUGUAAAUAAAGAAAGAAAAUUUUACCUCCAGAGAGUAGUGGCUUGAGCACAAUCAUAGAGUACAUGGCGUUCGGCCCUACAAGGUCAAUUUUUUCCCUCAAAUUGGGUAACAUAAGAAACUCAGAGCACUCGCAAUCCACAACCUUCACCAAAAGAAGAUUGGAUUGUAAAGCAAAGUUAUACAAGCUAGCCAACUAGGUCUCUCUCUGCUGUUAAGUAUUGACUGGCAGCUGACUUGGUCGGAGAGCAAGGCCAAAGGAUGUAUUAGAAAGAAAACCAAAAUUCCCGGAAGUGAGUCCAAGAGGAGGAGUUUCUUACAACAUCACAAAUGCGGAGAGCUCACUCGUCCAUAUCCUCUUCUUCGUCGGCUUCCGCCUCUUCAUCCUCCCUCCCUCCUGAGCUGACCCCAUACAUUACACUCCAUUAUAUCGGAAGGACGGACGGAGGCAGAGGAGCCAUUGUCCCGCCGCAGUUUUUCCUGUUGCACAUAUACCUAAUGAGGAAAUACGCAUGGGGGAAGUCGGUCUCUUUAUCCUCUGCAAUACGCACCUCCCACCUGCUCAUUUGUUCAUCGGCAUCCUCAUCCAUCCUUCAUCGUCACCAUUGUUGUCUUCGACUCUUCGCUGCUAUCAUGGUUCUCAUUCUGGUCAUCGGAGCAAUUGGCCUGACCUUGUGCCGAUCUAGCCAAAUUCAAGCUCACCGAGCCUUGUUGACCUCUAGCGAAGGUUCAGCUAAUUGGAAUCUGGCGAGCUCAACCUUGCCUGUAGCAGGCGAUCGCUCGAAAGAGAAGCAAAAAGAAAAAUAAAAAUAAAAAGUAAUUAAAAUUUUCAAUUUAAGAAAAGAAAAAAAUAAAAAUAAAAAUAAAAAAUUAUUAAAAGAAGUGCACUAAGGUCCAUAUCAAACGGUGGAAAAUGUUUUCUCGUUUCAGCCAAACACUGGAAAAUAUUGUUAUUCUUCUAAAAAAAAAUAACUUCUUAAAAAACACUUUUUAGAUAUGUCAAAAAAAAAUUAAGUUUAUUUUUGGAUUUUAGCCAAACGGAGCCAAUGUAACAUUGACUCAAUCUAUUACAAUAAGUAGGUAAUCACUUCUUCAUUUGGACAACAUUUAAAUGCUCUCACAAUUACAACCCAUGAGUGGUAGAUACACUUAAAAUAGAUAAAUCCACAAUGCAUUGACUCGUGCUCCUAACAUUGACUCAAUGAGAGGUUUAGACUUUUGCGGCAGCUUCCUGGUAUUGAUGCUGAGAUGCCAUAAUGUCAAAUCCAGUGCACCUUCACCACCCGCAUGAUGAUUUAAUUGUUUUUUUUUUUUUUUUUUGGGUCCUUUUAUACUACCUCGCCGGGGACGUUUCAACCGAUCGUGGAGGAAAAUGUUUUCUGCCAACAUGGGCUCUUAUGUCAGCCAUGACGACCGGUGGGGUCCACCAAAAGCUAAUGAACACAUUCAAAAUUUUUCAGAUUCAAACCUACUCCGCCCCGCCCCCGCCCCCCCGGGGCGCGAAGUCGUCGACCCCGAGUCAAUGCAAAGCAAGACCUUCAAAAACCUCACUCCCCUCCUUCCCAAACCUCCGAUUCCGGAGCUCUUCCGAUCCUCGAUCAUCGUCCUCGCCGUGUUGAAUUAGGUUCCGAUAGACGAAUCGAGCGUGGCCUGGUUGGUCUACAGCUCCGCGUCUCCGAUGAUUUGAGCUCCGGGCUUGAGGGCGUCAGAACUGUCGAGGCCUCGGGUCACGAUCACUCUCGGUCGUUCUGGUCAGGUAUGUGCCGCUUUAGCUCCUUGGCGUCCUCGUAUGAGAUCUUUGGAUCAACUGACGUUUGUUUCAGCUGGACUCAUUGGUUUGCGGAUUCCGCGGUAGCUUCAGUUUCGUUGUUCGGGCCUGUAUCGACUGCGAUGAUAUGGUUUUGUUCGAUCGGUUAUGAUUAGGCGUAAGGUUGAUACGUGCUCUGCUUUUCUGGAGAAAUAUGUCUGAUUACGUGAUCAGUUGAACCCCGAGGGAGGCUCUACCGUCGGAUAACUGAGCUUGUUCUUUGCAAUUUUAGCAGCGGUUCCAUCACCUGGCCGUGGGAUUGGGCCUGUCACGGUCGAACAGAAACUUGUGGAACCUGUGAAACUUGCGGAACCAUGCCUCCUAUGGAACUGGACGAGUCCGACUCGAUUGCCCCACUUGACGAGAGCCUCCAGUUCAUGCGCUCCGACGACGAGGAGCAAUGGCGCUGGAAGAAACGGUCCAUCUACAGGGUCCCCGCACGCAUGACGGCCCUCAACCACAAGGUCUACCAGCCGCAAGUUGUCUCCUUCGGCCCCUACCACCACGGCAAUAAACGCUUCCUCCCCAUGGAGGAACACAAGCACCGCGCGGUCCGACACUUCCUCAAGCGGUCCAAGAAGCCUAAAGAGUGCUUCUUUGAGUCCCUGAGGGAGGUGGCAUGGGACCUCGAGGAGAGCUAUGAUGCGCUGGACCCGAAGUGGAAGGCAAGCAGCGGCGAGGGUGUGGCACGCCUGUUCCUGGAGCUGAUGAUAACUGACGGCUGCUUCAUGCUUGAGAUCCUGAGGUUCGCAGCCCACAAGGUAGACGACUACGCGCCCAACGACCCCAUCUUCAGUGACCACAGGACCAUCCACAUAAUGUCAGACAUUGGCAAGGAUAUGCUGAUGCUGGAGAAUCAGCUUCCGAUGCUAGUGCUGGAUCGGCUGGUGGCUGUGGAGAGCGAUGGCAAAAAGGUUACUUUCUUAGAUUUCGGUCGGUUGUAAGACGAGAAAACAUUGCAAGUACGCAAACUGCCAUACUAUGUGCACCUAACGGUACAUCUUUGUGAUCUCACGUGAACCCUACGAUGGAUCCACCGAAUCUAAUGCUCUAAAUAGAUUGAUUGCACGGUUCACAAUCAACCGAUAAUUUGAUUAGUAAAUCUAUCACCGAAACUUCAUUUAUUUCCCUUUUUCGCGAGUAGUAUCAAUACGACCACAAUCUCAGAUUCAAUGUACUGACUUCACUCCAACAACACAGGACGACGAAUUCGUCAGCAGGCUCAUCCUCGAGGUCUUCCCGUUCCCCAGAAAGGGCAUCACAAGCUCGGGCAAAUGCCUGCACGUCCUGGACGUUUUCAGGAACAGCAUGCUGAUGAAGCCCGAGAAGAAGGACGAGGAGGUUACUUUCUUAGAUUUCAGUCUGUCGUAAGAGAUGCUAUUGCAAGUAUGCUAACCGCCGUACUAUGGGCACCUGACAGUACAUCUUGGUCAUCUCACCCUACGAGGGAUCCGCCGAAUCUAAUGCUCCAAAUGCACUAGACGCACGGUUCUAGAUCAAUCAACAAUUUGAUGAUUAAAUCUAUCACCACCAUAGGAAGCUAUAUUUUUCCCCCUUUUACUCAAGUAGUAUCGAUCCAACCACAAUCUCAGAUUCAAUGUAUUGACUUCACUCCAACAACACAGGACGAAGAAUCCGUCAACAGGUUCAUCCUCAAGAUCUGCUCCCCCAGCAAGGGCAUCAUAUGGAUGGGCAAAUGCCUGCACGUCCUGGACGUUGACAGGAACAGCAUGCUGAUGGAGCCCAAGAAGGACAAGGUGAAGAGGGAGGACCUUCGGGAGAUUAUACAAUUGGCCCCGGCCACCGAGCUCAGCGAGCAUGGGAUCAAGUUCAAGAGGAGCAAGACCGAUAGCAUCAAGGACAUCUCCUUUGCGGGUGGGGUCCUGACGCUCCCCAAGAUCUGGGUGGAUGAAUGCACCAUGUCCAAUUUCCUCAACCUCACGGCGUUCGAGUACCUCCAUGCUAUGUAGCACGGACACUCUCCGGAAGCCUUCGAGUCGUGUCCGACACUCCGACACGUGUCCGACACGUUCCGACACGUCCCGACACGCGGUCAACGAGUGUCGAAAAAUUCGACACGUGGUCAACUCUCUCCGACACGCUUCGACACGCGAGUCCAGAAUUCCGACACGUGAUUCCGACACGCACGGGGUCAAUUUUAAAAAUUUCUAAUACUUGAAGGGUCAAAAUAUAAAUAUACAAAAAAGAAGUGAUAAAAGAAGUAAUAAAAUUACUACAAAUAUACACGCACAAGGUUAAUUUUUUUUUUCAGUUUUGUUUUUUUAUAAUUGUUUUAGUUUUUUAAAAGUCUUUUACUAUGAAAGAAGUAAUAAAAAAAUGCUAUAUAUGAUAAAUAAAUAAAUAUAAAAAUAUCAUUUCAGCAUUUUUCUUUAAAUAAUGUUUUUUUCCUCUAGGUUUUAUGUAUUAUUGUAACAAAUUAAAAUAAUGAAUGAUAUUAUUUAAUAUUUUUCAUGUAAAUUAAUUCUAGGCUAUUUUUAUUAUUAUUUAUUUAUGUAUUUAUAUAUUUAAUAUAUAACGUGUCGAAAUUCUCUAUUUUUAAGAAAUGACGUGUCGGCGUGUCGUGUCGUGUCGUGUCGCGUGUCGCGUGUCCGUGUCGAUGCUACAUAGCCUCCAUGUCGGGAUUGAAAACGAGGUCAUGUCCUACAUCUACUGCAUGGACCAAAUAAUCAACAAGGGGCAGGACGUUGCGCUACUCCGCGCCCACAGUAUCAUCAUGAAUUAUAUGGAGAGCGAUGAGGCGGUAGCGGAAAUGUUCAACUCGCUGGGCAACGUUGUGGGGAUCAACCCCAGCGACAGCCUCACGGACGUGAUCGAGAAGGUCAACACGUACCGCAAUAAGCACUGGAACAAGUGGAGGGCUAAUCUCAUCCACACCUACUUGAGGAAUCCUUGGGCUGCAUUGUCUCUCAUCGCCGCCAUCUUCCUCUUUAACAAGUGGAGGGCUAAUCUCAUCCACACCUACUUGAGGAAUCCUUGGGUUGCAUUGUCUCUCAUCGCCGCCAUCUUCCUCUUUACGCUCACCAUAAUUCAGACUGUAUUUUCCGUGCUCGACUACUACAAAUGAACACUUUGCCUCAGUACAACAGUAUACUGUAUUUUUUCCACUUUUUUUGGUUUUUCUCCUGAUGAUGGAUGCUCGAUCAUCGUCUCUUGAUCGGUUUGGGUUGUUACGAAUGAUUUUCCUCCUGCUUUCAGUCAUGUUCAUAUCCCUUUUCAAUUUUUUGAAUAAUGGACAUUUUUAUUUAACAUUAUCAAAUGAUGAUUCUCUUGUUUUAUUCUCCUUCAUGUUCAUGUUUGUCCAAUUUGAAUCGGGUAGGGUGAAGGAUGACCAAGUUUUAGGCAAAUGGAAUCUACCUUUGCAACAUUUCUUCUUGAUUAAAUUUGUUAAGUUGCAGUGAAUUUAAGUGAGAAAACAAAUAUGGCCUUCAAAGUCAUCUCUAAUCACCAUUUGCUUCAAAUAUCGUAAAAGAACCAAAUUGUUUGAUGUUAAUACCUAAAUUUGGUUAAGUAUUUAUGAUAAAAAUUGCAUAAAAAAAUUAGGAACCAACUGGACCUUAACAAAAAGGAUUUUCGCACCACCUAGGUCUUAGUUUUAUUUUACAAUAUUUUCGGAUUUAAAAAAGAAGGAAAAAAAAAAAAGAGUGAGGCCUGAGCAGGUUGGGCCUUCGCGCCCAGCCCUUCCUUUUUUCCCUUCCGCAUGGGCUCGGGCCCAUUUGGCCCCAGCUCCCCCCUAACGGCCCGGCUCGGCCCUCUCGUUCAUCUUCCGCCCACCUUCCUUGCGCUGCGCGCCAUCCGCGUAGACAGAGAAAGAGGGGGAGAGGACGGCGAUGCAUGUGGAGCAACGCGAGGACCGGAGGGAGACCCGGACGGAUGGGCGGGCGCCUUUCAAUACGGUAGAGGAGGCGGCCUAGCUAGUGCUGUCUCGACUGGUGGGAAGCCGGUUCGGUUGGGGGAGGACGGUCGGAGCGCCGAAGACCGACGAUCGAGGAGCCACCGCCGACCGGCCCCCCUUGGCCUAUGAAUAAGGCGUCAUGCGGAGGCCAAAAAGACACACACAAAGAGAGACACAGAAGUAGCGAGCUCCGACCCCCCCGAGAGUCAUCUGGGGCGUCCCGAAUGACCGAAUCUAAGAGAGAGAGAGAGAGAUUUGAGUUUGAGAGCUGUGAGCGAGGGUUGAGGGCAAGAUCUGAACUGUAAAAGAGGGAAGAGAGAUUUGAGGGGGGGAAAAAAGUCUAGAUCCAAGGGAGAGAGAGGGUCGCGAGGACCCGGCCUCGCCACCGCGUGCAGCACUGGCUGCUUGGCCCGAUGCCGCCGCCGUGCAGCCACCAACGAUGAGGCCUGCUCUCAUCACUCCCGUCGCCGCCUGCGCCUAUAGCCGUUGCCUUUUUGUCCCACAACGACCCAGCUGCCCACUAGGCUCGACCGAGCCCCUGCACCGUCGAACCCGCCGUCGCCUCUUCUGUCGAUCCACCGCCCUGUGACUUCCCAGCCGCCCCUAUCGGCGCCGUAGAGAGGCAGAGAAGGAGAGAAGCGCGAGUCGAGUUAGAGCCGGGUCGGGCGCGGGUCCAUAAUCGGGUAGGGCUUUCGCUGAUAGGAGGGAGAAACAGGCUAGGCUUGUGUUUUUUACUUUGUUUUGGGUCUCGGCCAAAUUCGCGGGCCAGGCCUCGCCUUUCAUUUCCUUCGCGGCUGAAGGGAACGGUUGGGCUGGGCCCCUUCGUGGAAACCAGCCCCGCCUGAGGCCUGUGCCACGUGGAGUUCCGACUCGGAUCCGUUUUUAGAAUAUGAUAUAUUCUUAUUUUAAUAUUAAAAAAUAUUUUAAUAAAAAAUAGAAAAAUCCCAAAAAAUGAUUUACACUUUAAAAAAAAUGGACAAACCCAAAAAUAUUUUAUAUUUUCCAAAAAAUCAGAAAAAUAAAAAAUAAUCUUCAAAAAAAUAAAAGCUUUUGAGUGGUUUUUCUUAAAAUAUGUGAAAAUACUUAACAAAAAAAAUCCAAAAAAAAAAAAAGUGUUUAAAUUCAUGGAACCAAAUAUUGGCUAAUUCCAAUUGCGCCCUUAUGAAACAUGGAUUUCUAUUUCCUAAAUCUGAUUAGGAAUCGAAUCCUAAAAUUCGUAAUUGGUACAAAAUGCUGUAUAAAUGCUUUACUUGAUAUUUAAAUAAGAUUAGGUAUCGGAAGGAUAUUAAUGAUUAACUAAUGUAAUCAAGUCUCUAAUCCUACUUUCUCUGAUUACGCUGGAAUGAAGAAUAUCUCAUAAUAUUUCACUUGGGUUUCUAAUCAACUCACAUCAAAUUGAUUAAUAAUGACUUCAUAAUGAAAUUGACUUGUAUGUUAAAAACUCAAAUCAUAAAUCAUGAAUUGGUGCGUUUGGGAGAGCCUGAACUAAGCCAUAUAUGCUUAGCGAGCCAUUAACCCCCACCCACCCCAGCGUGUAAGAGGGCGCUGAAAAGGGAGGUCACGUCAUUUUAUUAUUGAACUCAUUAUAUAAUUUGUUAAAAUGAUUUCCACUAUAUUAAAGAUAUUACAAAGCAUUAUACUUUAUAAGGAAACGUACAAUGAUAUAAAUAAUAAAGCUAUAAAUCCCUUGAUUUUAAUAUAUUUGAGAAUCUACUUGUGAUUUUCAUUGACAUUUUCAUAUUCUUCUCUCUUGAUUGAUAAAUGGGAAAAGUGCCAAAAAAGUUCUAAACAUUUUGUCUUUGUACCGAUUUAUUCCUAAACCUUUUUUUGAUGCCGAUUCAAUCCUAAACCUUUUUCACGUUGUGCCUAUUCAGUCAUUUCUUACCAAUUUUGGCCGGAUUUUGCUGAUUGGAAGUCGGUCAGCUGAUGUGGCCUCAUCGGCACUAACGUGGACAACUUUUAAUAAUAUUUUAAAAUAUUAUUUUUAUUUUAUUUUUUUAUUUUUGUCUUUAUCCUCCAGUCGGUGAGGGCAAGCCUCGCCGGCCCCCGCUAGCCAUGGGCGAGGCUCGCCCUUGCCGGAUCUGGCGAGGUCGAGCCUUGCCGACCCUCGUCAGCCAUGGGCGAGGUGGCUGGCGAGGUUAGCCUCGCCCUCGCCGGCCGUUGCCUCUAGCCGGUCACUGAGGUCUGGAGACCGACGGGAGGAAAAAGACAAAAUAAAAAAUAAAAAAUAAAAUAAAAUAUUAUUAAAAUAUUAUUAAAAGUUGUCCACGUCGAGGCCACGUUAGCCGUCGACGUCCAGUCAGCAAAAUCCGGCCAAAAUUGGCCGGAAAGGACUAAAUUGAUACAAUAUAAAAAGGUUUAGGAUUGAAUCGACACCAAAAAAAAAGGUUUAGGACUAAAUCGGCACAAUGGCAAAAGGUUUAGGACUUUUUUGGCACUUUUCCGAUAAAUCAAUGCCUUAACUCCCCUUCAAAUUGGCAAAUGGGACAAUCCCAAAUUCUCAAUUUGCAACGUAAGUUUCCAAAUGCGUUUUUGGAAUAAUAGCUUCGUGAAGAGAUUAACAAUUAGAUGCACAAAUAUUCUUAUCUUUUACAAAAAAAAAAAACAAUUAGAUGCACAAAUAGAACAUACUUAGUCACAAGAGUUCCACGAGCCACUUUUUCUCGCACAUAAUGAUAAUCUAAUUCGAAAUGUUUAGUUCUUGCAUAUAACACAAUAUUAAUUAACAUAUGAAUUGCACUGAUAUUAUCACAAAAUAAUAUUGAUGGACUUAAGAGAUGAACACCUAAAUCUCUUAAAAGGAAAGAUAUCCAAACAAUCUUAGCUAUUGUCAACCAAUUGUACCAUACUCUAUAUUAGCACUAAAUUGAGCAAUCAUUCAUUGCUUCUUAGCACUCCAUAAUAUACAAUUACUACAGGUACAAAAUAUCACAGUCAAUCGUCAAGUCAAGUGGCAAUUUGCCCAACCUUCAUCACAAAAGGCAUACAACUCUAUAGUUAACUUGGACAAGAUCAGCAUUUCUUGAUUUAUCGUGCCACUAAUAUAGCGCAAAACGUGCUCCACAAUUUGAAAAUGAGUCAUAGUGAGCCAAUGCGUGAAUUGAGAUAUAAAAUUGACUGCAUAUGAAAUAUCUAGAUGUGUGAUGGUGAGAUAUUAAAGAGUUCUGACAAUACUUAAAGAUAACGUUCGAAAGUAAUUUCGCAUUUGAGACAAUGAGUGCGAGUGGCUAUAGGCGUGGAUCUUGGCUUGCAAACAUCCAUUUGAGCACAUUCAAGAAUUGACAAAGCAUAUGCGGUCGGCACAAAUAAAGACUAUCAAAUAAUAUUCUAACCUCCACAACCAAAAAGUAAUAUAAUGGCUCUAUAUCCUUUAUUGUAAAUUCACUACUCAAUGAAGAAAUAAAUCCAUCAAGCAAGUUUGGAUCAUUACUAAUGACAAUCAUAUCGUCCACGAAUAAAAGUAGAGCUAGAAUGGCAUGAUCUGAUUUUUGAAUGAACAACGAAGUAUCUACAAUGCUGCAAAAGAAACCAAAUGCUAAAAGAAACAAGCUAAAAUGAUCAAACCAUGCUUUUGAUGCUUUCUUGAUUCCACACAAAGCUCUCUCAAGUUUGCAAACAUAAUACAGGUUUUUUGGUCCUCAAAACAAGGCAGUUGCUCCAUAUAAAUAGAUUGUGACAGAAAUAGAUAUCUAUAUUAAAAAUAAAAAAUAAAAAAAUUGACCAAAAAAAUAUUAAAAAUGCAAAACAACAAAUGGGGAGUAGAUUAAAAAAGAAAAAAAAAAUCAAAGCCCACUUGCAUCAAUCGUACAAUCUGACUACUCUCCCUCCUAUACAUCUGAAAAGACCCUCUUUUCAUCUAAUUUAUAGAUAUGUGAAACAAAUUUUUCAUUGGACCCUCAGAAAAAUAUGCAUCCACGGGAAAAAAAAAUGUUGAUAUACUGACAAUGCUAAUUUAUAAUAACUUUUCUAAUAUAACUAAGUACGAUGUAUUACAUAAUGGGAUGAGAUGCCCAUACUUUUUAAGUUUCUACAUUGAGUUAUGCAAUAUCAAUUUUGCAGACUUUAAUCAUCAAAUUGAUUUGAAAUGCCUGGGUUUGUCAUGUUUGGUGCAUGAGGACCUAUAAACUGCAUAAUGACUUGUCUGCAGUCUCACACUCGGUUCAAUAGAUGUUAAGGCUAUUGUUAAACUUGGAUUACAGUCUUUGCCUGUUUUGUCUAAUUGUAACAUCGGUAAUGCACACAGAGCUGUCUGUACAACGUAGGGAUUUUGAUAUUUAUUCUAGACAUUCCGUUACCAUUAGCACACCCCUCAUUAUAUGCAAGGCAACCCCUUCAUCGUCUCAUGCCAACUCCUAAAGCCUGUAGUUGUUUCAGAAUCAUUUUCGACAAAUGAGAGGACAAGGGUCUCCUUCUGUCUCGCCCCGUCGUUGCUGUUGAAAAACAUACCAAGAAACAUAUAUUUGGGACCAAAAUCAGUCUCUACACAGACUCGAGACGAUGGAGAAAGCAAAAACGGGACACACGAGUAGAAUGUCAUUCCUUGUAUGGGUGAGAUUAGGGACAUAAGGCAAGUUGAGCCCGAAUUAGAGACACUAGCAUCAUACACCGGAUGUAUCUUUGGCCGUCAAACUAGUUAUCGAAGAGGUGGAAAAAUUCACCAGCUUACAAGUCUAAACACAACCAGGCCACAUAGCCCCCAAGGAUGCCAAAAGACUCACGGAAAAAACCUGUCCCUUAAGAACCACGAACAGCCUUCAGUCCAUUAUUAGCAGCACGUUAUUAAGGAAAGAAACCGCACACGCCGCACAAUCGAAUCAAAGCAAAUAUGGCAAGUUCUUCACGCCCCCAACAUCAUUUGGUUGGGAAAUCACAUGCCCCGAUAUCAGAUCAAAUUGUUUAUCAACAGAUUCAACCACCUUUCCUUAUGCCCAAGAGCUGCAAAAUCCAAAGAUUGAAAACAUGAGCAGUCGACUUGAAGGGAUCCACAGAACAUGCAAGUUUAUCGAUAAGCAUACUCGAUUUCACGAAGGAACUCAUGAUAAAACUUCCCAGAACUUCACUUAUCAGAUUUUACACGACGUCCUAUGUGUAGGUAAAGAAAGAAAAUUCAUCUUCAGAGAAUAGUAGCUCCACCACGGUCACACAGCACACGGCAUUCGGCACUACAAGGUCAAUUUUUUCCCCCACAAAAUGGCUGACAUUAGAAACUCAGAGCACUGCAAUCCCAAACUUUCACCACAAGAAGAUUGAAUUGUAAAGCAAAGUUCUACAAGCUAGGCAACUAGGUCCCUCUGCUGUUAAGUAUUGACUAACACUUGACUUGGCUGAAGAGCAUGGCCAAAGGAUGGAUUAGAAAGAAAAACACAUUCCCCGAAGCGAGUCCACAAGGAGAAGAGCUUCUCACAAGAUCACAAAUUGGGGGAGCUCACUCGUCCAUAUCCUCUUCUCUGUCGGCUUCGGCCCCUUCAUCCUCCCUCCUGAGCUGACCGCAUACAUUACACUCCAUUAUAUCAGAAGGAGCAUCAUCCCACGGAGGCAGAGGAGCCAUUGUCCCGCCGCAGUUUUUCCUGUUGCACAUAUACCUGACGAAGAGAUACGCGUAGGGGAAGUCAGUCUCUUUCUCCUCUGCAAUACCCACCUCCGACCCACUCAUUUGUUCAUCGGCAUCCUCAUCCAUCCCUUCACUGUCACCAUCAUCAUCUUUGCCGAUAUCAUCGUGCUCGUUCUCAUCAUCGGACUAAUUGGCCUCGACCUUGCACCGAUCACAGUCGCAGGCGAACCCGUAGUCUUCCAUCAACCUCCUCUGCCUAUUCGCAUAAUUCAAGUUGACAGGAAAAUAACUCAGGCAGAUCUCCCUCCCUUGAGGGACAUCAUGGAUCAUCCGCACGAUUAUAUCACUAUUGCCAUCAGAAGCAGAGUCUACAUAGUCAAAUCUGCAAGCAUUUGGCAGGCAAUCGUGGUUGAAGAAAGAAGCUCUUGGAUAAAUACCGUAAGCUCUCACCGAUCUCUCCCCAUCCACCUCGCCCCCACCCCGCGACAAAACCGGCUCCAUCAAACCGAAAGCAUUGAGCUUGUCCUUCGACAGCAAGGCGACGAUCAAUUCAAGAGAAAACCCCAGAGGAAAAGGCGAACCCGGAGGAGGGGGAGGACAAACCGAGGCGAGCAGCGAAUGCAGGAACCGCGCGGCCGAGACGGUGUCGUCGGCGUGCGCCUCGCG